rnacentral:lncRNA from 1 species
UUGGCAUUCUACUUACUGUGUAAGUUCAACACACGAUUUUACCAUACAUACAUAGGGAGGUACAUUUCUUAUUCAUUGAUUUUUUUACAAGAGUUAUAAAUAGAUACUCAUUGCAUAUUUUAUUUGGAGUACGGACGUCAGAAAAAAAUCCUACAUCCGCAGUCUAAUUAAUGAACAUCAUGUUCAUUGCCCUUUGCCCUGGCAGGCCCGACGCAAAGGCACCGGAGGGUCGGAGAGAGCGCCGUCCACGAUCUGGUCGAAGAUAAACUUGUAAGCCGCUUCGGUCAAGUGCACCCCAUCCCAGCUCACGCUCUUGGACGGGUCCACGCACGACUUCCCCCCCAGGACCGGAUCGCCACACCGGAUGUUCUUGUCGAAGUUGUAUUGGCCGCCGCCGUACCCGCAGCACACGCGCAGAGGAUCCCCAAAACCGAACUUUUUGGCUUCGCUCAUCAGCUUGUACAUGGCGGCGUACAGGUCGACGUAGGUGAAGGCGGCCUCUGGGAGAGCGACCCUAAGCCUCGCCACGACCUCCUUGAGCCGGGCGUUGAAGAACCGGGGGCCGGCGUUGAGCGCGAUGGAGCAGCCGGCGUCAUCCUUCUCUCCGGCAAGGUCCGGUCGGUAGACCAGGCCGUAGGGGAGGCACCCGAACGUCCCCGUGUUGUGCACCCAGAAGUACCUCCCGCCGAGGUUGUACACCGUCUGGAUCGCCGACUCGAGCCUCUCCAUCAGAUCGGGGACGUAGGCUUCCACUUGCUCCGUGGUCAUGUUGUCUAGGUAGCCCAUGGCGAGGUCGUUGGCGCCGAUUUUGAAGGUGUAAAGCGCCUUGGAGACCAGGUGCUCGGGGUUCGGCAGGAUCUCCCGGUAGACUCCGCCUACGUUGUUGUAGAUGUGCGAUAACUAUGUCACAUCUAAAUGUGUCCUAAACACACCCUUGCUAAAAAUACAUCCAGGAGCUGCAUUUAAGUUUGAUUUUCACCUAUGUUGUUGUAGACGAAGCGGCUCCUGNNNNNNNNNNGCUGCACGUCCAGGGAAAUGGGGCUGUACCCGGAGGUCCACAGGCUCCCGUUCACCCGUCUGAUGGUUCCGGCGGCGCUCGCGAAAUUGGCUCCCUGCGUGAAGUUGCUCCCUAGUGAAUCCAGGUACGCAUUCAGGUAACGUAGCCCCAGGUUUUGAGCUGCGAUACGUCGUACGUGUUAGGAAAAAUAAAAAAUCUCUAGUUUUGAGUUGUUUGUGCAGGAAAGAAAAAACUCUAAAUCCAUCCUAGUUUUGAGUUGUAGAUAAAUGUCAUGAGUACCCAUGAAGUCGAUGACGAGGCGGCCGUCGCUCUGCCGCCCGGCCGGCAUGCCGAAGAAGGUCUGGCCGUAGGGCGGCUGCACCGCCGGGAAGNNNNNNNNNNGAGGAGUCGCCGAAGUUGAAGAUGGCCGGGAAGCCGCACGGGGAAUCUUCGGAGCGCACCAUUUCUAGUACCACCAGCAACACCACGAACGUGAUCAGUUUGUUGGUGGCCAUGGUGGUGCGACGGCGAGCUGAAAUCAUUUCCGACCUCUCGACCGUGUGCCGUGACGGUGAAGCUGCUUGAAGUGGAUUUAUACACGCCGGCACCGAGGUCGUCACAGUCGAGCACCCGUGUUGGACUGGCGGUCUCCGACGUGAUCCUAAAGAGAUGGAAUAGCUACGUUUUGUUGACAACUAGUAUUAAGCGGCUGAUUUCCAUGCACCACCCUCCAUAGACCAACGGGUCAUCACCGUUUGCGUGGCACCUUAGGACAAGCAACAAGGCGUGCUUGACCCUUGAUUACUCUCUAGCACUACAGUAUCUUGACGUUUAGUUCCAUGGUGACGUGGCCAAGAUGCAUUCAUUUCUGCGAGAAAUAAUUAUGGACUGAUGAAAUAUCUUCUGUACAAUAUUUGAGUAGCGACACGUGUCGGAGUGGGAACAAGUGAAGGCGAUGGAUUCGGGGGCGGCGAUCAACUCGAUGCUGCAGACUGAAGAACGAUCAGGAUGCAUGAAGUCCUUUUGCGUUUGUCUUUCAAACUAUGCUCUCGUUUCGCAUGCGGAUUAUGCUUUAUUGUUUAAAUUCGAACUCAUUUGCCGAAAUCGCUGUCAAAUUCCAACUAUGUUCUAUUGCGUGGUUUUUCGGUUUGCGGGUCGCCGCGGUGGCACCCGAGCACACACCACAUUGACAACCCGUAUAAUAGCAUUUUUUUGCGAAUAUGCUUUAUACGGCUCCGUUUUGGGGGGUCCACCUCUGUCCGCACCCGCGCCGCCCGCAAGAUCCAUUUUUCACGAACUGUAAACGAUUUUUGCGGGUCGAAAUUAUACGGGGUCUGCUAGAAAUGCCCUUAUGAUCAUGUUGGAGCACCAGCCCAAAACGGAUGAUGGACUCCGACGACUUGACGGUGCCGGCGUGUAUGAAUCCUGACGGCCAGUGCCAUUCUCAAAAGGACAAAAGAAGAAAAAAAGGACCAGUCCAGUAGUAAUGCAUGUGGUACUUCAUGUUCUGGAUGGAUGCUGGACUUGACUUGCCGGCCGGCCUGUAUAAACCACAAAUCAUUUUCCCUGCAGCUUCACCGUCACGGGCACCGGACGAGCGGCGGGAAAUGGCUUGAGCUCAUGGUUGAACUACCAUGGCGACCAAUCUCAUGUCCGUCGUGUUGCUAAUGGUGAUAAAGCUCUCUGCUGGGGCGCGCUCUGACGAAUCCCCGUGCAGCUUCCCGGCAAUCUUCAAUCUCGGUGACUCCAACUCGGACAACGGAGCUUUCCCGACCCUCUUUCCGGCUGUGCAGCCGCCCUACGGCCAGACCUUCUUGGGCAAUGGGCAUGCCGGCCGGGCGGCAAAGCGACGGCUGCCUCACCAUCGACUUCCUGGGUACACAUCUAUCUACAACAUCUCAUAGGGAUCGUAUGCAUCGUGCUGCUGCAGAGGUGAUAACCGAUGAUUUUAUUUCCUAACACACGUAACGUACGUAUUGCAGCUCAAGCAUGUUACCUGAGUGCAAUUUACUCAAUAUAACAUGUUUGUCAUGUAGUUCACCAUAGAUAUAUUUCUUAUUCAUAGAUUUUCUACACGAUAUUAUCUCAUUGCAGAUUUUAUUUGGAUUACGGAUACUAGUGCAGAUUUUAUUUGGAGUACGGAUGUCUGGAAAAAUAAUCCUACAUUCAGAAUCUAAUUAAUGAACAUCAUGCGCAUUGCCCUUUGCCCUGGCAGGCCCCACGCAAAGGCACCGGAGGGUCGGAGAGAGCGCCGUCCACGAUCUGGUCGAAGAUGAAUUUGUAAGCCGCCUCUGUCAAGUGCACCCCAUCCCAGCUCACGCUCUUCGAUGGGUCCUCGCAAGACUUCCCCUCUAGGACCGGAUCACCGCACCGGAUGUUCUUGUCGAAGUUGUACUGGCCGCCGCCGUACCCGCAACACACACGCAGAGGAUCCCCAAAACCGAACUUUUUGGCUUCGCUCAUCAACUUGUACGUGGCGGCGUACACGUCGACGUAGGUGAAGGCGGCCUCGGGGAGAGCCACCCUGAGCCUCGCCACGGUCUCCUUGAGCCGCGCAUUGAAGAACUGGGGGCCGGCGUUGAGCGCGACAGAGCAGCCGGCGUCGUCCUUCUCCGCGGCGAGGUCAGGGCGGUAGACCAGGGCGUAGGGGAGGCACCCGAGCGUCCCCGUGUUGUGCACCCAGAAGUACCUCCCGCCAUGGUUGUACACCGUCUGGAUCGCCGACGCGAGCCUCUCCAUUAGAUCGGGGACGUAGGCCUCCACUUGGGCCGUGGUCAUGUUUUCUAGGUAGCCCAUGGCGAGGUCGUUGGCGCCGAUGUCGAAGGUGUAAAGCGCCUUGGAGACCAGGUGAUCUGGUUUGGGCAAGAUCGCUCGGUAGAUUCCACCUGCGUCGAUAUCGAGGAACCUCCGGUAAGAAAUUGCUAAAAGACAUCUAGAUGUGAGAUAACUAUUGCACAUCUAAGUCCUAUGUGAUUGACCUUACGUCGAGAUUCGUGUGAGUAUCUUUUUUACUUUUUACUUUUUUUUAUGCUUGAUUUAGCAUUUUAGAUGUGCGAUAAUUAUGUCACAUCUAGAUGUGUCCUAGACACACCCUUGCUACAAAAUAUAUAUCGAGGAGCUGGAUUUAAGUUUGAUUUUCACCUAUGUUGUUGUAGACGAAGCGGCUCCUGUUGAUGAACUGCUGGAAUUGCCAGAUCUGCACGUCCAAGGAAAUGGGGCUGUAUCCGGAGGUCCACAAGCUCCCGUUCACUCGUCUGAUAGUUCCAGCGGCGCUCGCGAAAUUGGCUCCCUGCGUGAAGUUGCUCCCUAGCGAAUCCAGAUACGCAUUCAGGUAACGCAGCCCCAGGCUUUGAGCUGCGGCACAUACGUGUCAGGGAAACAAUAUAGAAAAUCUCCAGUUUUGAGAUGUUGUAGGUAGAUGUGUGUACCCAUGAAGUCGAUGGUGAGGCGGCCGUCGCUCUGCCUCCCGGCUGGCAUGCCGAAGAAGGUCUGGCCGUAGGGCGGCUGCACCGCCGGGAAGNNNNNNNNNNUAGGAGUCGCCGAAGUUGAAGAUCGCCGGGAAGUCGCACGGAGAUUCAUCGGAGCGCACCCUCUCUAGUACCACCAGCAACACGACGAACGUGAUGAGUUUGCUGGUCGCCAUGGUGGUGCGGCGGCGAGCUCUCGGCCGGUGUCCCUGACGGUGAAGCGGCUGGGAGAGGAUUUAUAAUACACGCCGGCACCAGCAGGUCGUCAGAGUCCAGCACCCGUGUUGGACUGGCGGUUGGAAUAGCUACGUUUUGUUGAUAAGUAUCCUCCCCGUGUGAUGUUGAUGCACCACCCUCUAGAGAAUGACGGGUGAUCACCGUUUGCGUGGCACCUUAGGACAAGCAACUACGAGGCGUGCUUGACCCUUGAUCACUCUCUAGUGCUACAGUAUCUUGACGUUCGGUUCCAUGGUGAUGUGGCCAAUAUGCAUCCAUUUUUACGACAAAUAAUUCUGAACGGAUGAAAUAUCAUGUACAGUAUUUGACGUUAUCAUGAUGAUGAUGUGGCCAAAACCGUUAUUACUUCUGUCAGAGAACUUGCGCAGAACAAGGAAAAACGUGUGUGGGAGGGUCAGAGACACGUAUCUGAACGGUGACGUGGCCCGCCUAGUGUCCGUCAGCAGCAACGCGGUGUUUCGAGUGGAGCAUGUCGUCGGUGGUCUAGCUCGUGAGCGACCCGAUCAAGUAGGAGGAUUUCAAGUUCAAGAUCCGUGUGUUUACUGUUAGAGACUCACUACUCGCCCCGAUCUCUCGUUUGAUUUACUCAUGGAUACAGGUUAAAAUGUUGUUGUGUCACUAGUGGCUGGUGGCCCUUGUUUUAUGGUUGGCCCGCACAGUGGACGGUGGCUAAGAGCAUCCCUAAGAAACUCCGUAUAAUGCUCCGAUCUGUAAAAUAACUAUCGAAAUAUGGAUCGGGGAAGAAAUUGCUAUCAGACCAGACCCCGCAAACGCGUCCGAUCUGUAAAUUUUUUUGUCGGGGCGACAAAAAUUCGUCCUCAACCUUCAGAUUCACGGGGUGGGAGGCCGAUCCAAGCUCGUUCCUUAUCCGCAACGAGAUUUGGCACGAGAGAAAUUUCCGCACGGCCGUUCCCCGCUCCCCCUCCUCGACAACCAUUUCCCCGCCCACCGCGCGUUCUGGACCUUCUUCCCCGCCAUUCUUAGCCGGCGUGGAAGCCUCCCACCCGACGGAUCUCGUAAACGUGGAGGUCGCGCACGUGCAAUCAUGUCCGGCGGAUCUCGUUGCCGGCCAUGUCGCCCCCGACGUUGCCUAAGCCACCAAUGCGCCUGCCCACAAGUGGCAAGGCAACGUUGUCAUGCAGGGCGGCAUUCCGGUUGGCCCCGCCGGAAGGGAAGGCGCGCUGGGCGCCACCGCUGCUGCGUGAACUGCUUGGCCGCCUGCGCGGAAGAUGGGCAAGGUUUCGGGCGUGAAGCGAAAGAAUGUUCAUACGAAAAAACCGUCGUACACUCACUCCGUCCUGGUGAGACGUUCCCCGACGGUGCCUUUCUACGGCGCUGCUUCCACCGCAGGCGAGGUGUUCGAUGAAAGGACCGGAAGGUAUGCAUCUUCGCUCGCUUAUUUUUGCUUUGAUUUUUCGCCAUUGUGGUAGGUCAUGAUGUGCUGUCACUCAAUGUAGAGGAGGAUGCUUGCGUAUUAUGACGGCGAUGGUUUCUCGUUUGAAGUCGAAACCAAUAUCGCCGAUGAUUUCGGUGCUGGAGUAGGGACAAAUGCAAGCGAUGGAUUCAAGGGAGUCGAUGGAUUCAGAGGCGGCGAUGACCUCGAUGGUGCGGAGUGAAGAGCGACCCGGAUGCAUGAGGUCCUUUUGCGUUUGUCUUUUAAACUAUGCUUUCAUUUCACGCGCGAACUAUGUUUUAUUGUUAAAAUUUGAACUCAUUUGCCGGAACCGCUGUCAAAUUUGAACUAUGGUUUAUUGGAAGGUUUUCCGGUUUGCGGGUCGACGCGGCGGCGUCCGAGCAGAUCCCGCAUUGACGAUCCGUAUAAUAGCAUCUUCUGCGAAUAUCCUUUUUUAUGACCGUUUUGGGGAAUCUGCCUCUGUCUGCGUCUGUGCAGGUCCGUAAAAGCCGUUUUUCGCGAAGUGUGAACGACUUUUGCGGGUUCGGCUUUAUACGCGUUUUGCUAGAGAUGCUCUACCACCUCCCCCUUUUUAACCCGACUUAUUCCCCAGCCGUUGCCACAUAGAGCUUUCCAAGAUCCCGAGUUGCUUGAACAUUCCUUAUCGUGUCGAAAUCGCCAUGGCAGUUGUUGUAGUAGUAACUAUUUUUUUUUAGAAAAGGAGGAUUACCUCCGGCCUGUGCAUCAGCACGAUGCAUACAACCCCUUUAUUUAGCAAGCAAACAAAUAUCGGUCCAACAUUGCAGUGGUAGCUAUGGUCGAGGUCGACUUGAACAAGAUCAAAGGAGAAGCCGUCCUCGAUGUAGUAGUCACAGCCGUUGGGAACUUGCUCGAGGAUGCUGUCUAAAUAAAUAGGAAGGGGGGUACAAAGUAUAAGCACAAACUUUAGUGUGGUACCAAGUAUAACACAUACUACACUUUAUAAGGAGAAGGAAGAAUCAAAAUAUAUUAUACUUCCAGCAUGUUUUUCAUCUGUGCGCAAUUACAAAUUAAGAAUAAACUUAUAGCCUCACAACUUGGCUACGCGGAAAUACGCAUAGUUACUUAGUCAAACCAUAAACUAAGGAUGAGAACUAGGGUUGGAUCGUGGGAUUCUGAGAAAGAAAGUGAGAAGGGUGUGGUCGAGGGGUGGUUUUGGACUUCCAGGCCUGUUGAGCUGUGAUUUUCUUAUUUUUGCAUCAUGUGCAUGUUACAACGCUACACGUUACAACAUUAUAGCAAGGCAUAGCGUCCUAAUUAUGUGAUUAGCAUCGUAGCGGAUGAAUUUGUUAAAAUGUAGCAUCUUCUUUUCUAAUACGCUUUAACCAAAAUUGCGCGCUAUUUUUUUUCGUUCGACGUGUCAUAAUUUUUAUUAGCAUUCUUUCAAACCCUUAGGAAACAAUUCUUUGAUUUUGCUGUGAUGGAGUCAAGCAAACAAAUAUCUCGCGAAUUGCGGCGCUGAUGGAGGUGCAAGUGGCAGCCGCGGAGCUCGCCGCUGGCCGUUGGGGCGAGCGGCGGCGGUGGCGGCCAGAUGUUUAGGGUUUGCAUUCGAAGCGAUUUUGCAGAUGGUAUUGCGAGAAUGCCUGGUUGCCAUGAUCUGAUCAAAGAUUAUCUUGUUUUUUCUAACGGAACAUUUUGGUGCCCUGUAUCAAAUUUUCGAUCUGAAACUGAAAGAUCGACCGUACAUGCUUUUCUGCUUCAUUCGCUGUCAUAUAUGGCCAUCUCUAUUAUUGCUCGGUAACUUUGCAUUUCGCUGGAAGCAAUCUGCAGAAGGCUGGUGGGGAAAGGACCGUGGCGGCGGAGAGCUGCGACCGAGUCCGAGGCCAAGGCCGCGGCAUCGAAGAUCACGGUCAACUUAGAACCCAAGUUGCUGGAGUGCUCCGGCUGCUGCAGCCCAUUGGCUCCACCCAUUUUCCAGGUACCCAACAGGAGUACAGGACCUUGUAUUCCUUUGCUGAAUGCUUUCUGCAUUUUACUAGAUUCAGUUAUACCCUGCAGUUUAGGUAUGCUGGAUUAUUGACCAUUUGUAUAGUUUCUGAUACCAUCUGCAUGUUGAUGUAUAGUUUCUCCUACUUCACUUUCAGCAAAUCUUGCGACCGUCAAUUAGUAUGCUGCUUCUAGACUUCUGAUUCCUUUUCUUCUGAAUUCAGUACAACUGGUUCGAAUCUUACUAGUGAAGACAAUAAACUUAAAAUGUGGACAGAUUGUUCACAACUCAUUUAGUUAUGUCUCUGACAAGAGCAAUAUUGUUAUGACCGACACUACUUAUAGCCGGAGGAGGCCUAAUUGGCCCGUUUAGUUAGGGGCUUAGCCCAAGUUAUCUUAUUUUUAUUAGUAGUACUAGCAAAAGCGUCCGUGCGUUGCAACGGGAGAAAAAAAAUCACCAUCUUCAAUAACGAUGACCACAUUAUGUUCAUAUCUCAUCGCAUAAUUUCAAAAAUUUGUUCACAAAUGCAAGAAAAUAUUUCUUCUUUUAAUUUUAUUCACAAUUCAAAAGUUGAAAAAUGUUCAUAUAUUUUUUUUUAAAAUCAUGGUUGUCAAAAAACUUGGUAACUCAAAGAAUUAUUCUGAAUUUCAAUUUUUUUAAAUAUACUAUAAUAUUUCGAUUCACCCCGACAACUAAUUCUUCAAAAUUUACUCAGGUAUAUAAUCAAAAAGACUCAGAAGCAUUACCAUUUAACUGCAUACAUUCAAUCAUUCGUGAACAUUUUUAAAAUCGAGAUUUUUUUACUAUGUAUAAACAUUUCUUUAAAAUUCCAAACAAUAUUUUAAAUUACGAACUGUUUUCAAGUAUUUUCUUGUGAAUUGGCGAAUAAUUUAUUUAUUAAAAAUUAGCCAGCUUUUAUGUUGACCAGUGGGCAGUUCUACAACCAUUUGAAUUAAAACUAAAACUGAGCCAUCCACAUAGUUUUAGAACACAGAUGAAAACACACUCUUAAUUUCACAGAACGUUUUUUUGCAUAAACACCAAAAAUAAGAAUAACAGGAGGAUCACUCCCGGCUCCAUUUUCAUCACGAAGCCCAUGACCAUAGGCACCAACAGCAUCUCUUGAGAAGCAGUACUGAAAAUAUUACAAAACAGAAUCAUGGAUUCAUGAUGCAUCAAAGGCAAACAUCAGAGAUAGUAAAUCUUAUAGGAUCUGAACAGCAGCACCUCUUUAGAUGGAGACAGUUGGACGCUUCCCCCCUUGGUGGUAAAGAAGGCCAGAGGUAGCUGUCCAAGAUUGAUAUAUUGGUGCAGAGGAGCUAUGCUAAAUUUGUGGACAGGCGGUAACACGAAAUAGAAACAGAACGAAUGGGGCUGGAAUCCCCUACCUAUUUCAAUCUCUGCACACUGCACGGUAUGAAGAUCCAAACGAAAAUUACAGGAAUUAACUUUCUUUGCUGAGAAAUAUUAAAAUGCCAUAAGAAGCUGGUGGUGACCAGGUUCAGAUGGAGAGAACCAAGAAUCCCAUUGCAUUCAUAUUCAACCAAGAAGUGACCUUAAUGAUGAUAUGGUUUGCAGUAGAGAAUACAGAAUUCACACUUUGAGAGCAAAAAUUAGUGACUCAAAUACUGCAUCGUUGAAGCUCUUCAGAAAAUUGGUGAGCAGAUGAACCCACCGUUCUUGCCCCUUCUCCUCAUUUGUUGCUGGAUGCUAUAAGAAGAACACCACCUUGGCUGAAAUCUGCAUCAGGUCAAUUGCCAUGAAACUAUCUCCAUCGGGUCAAUUGUCCACAAAACAUCCAAGGUCGCCACCGAGUUCGCGGAAAAAGAAGCUCCGACUUCGUCGGAGGUAGAAGAUCAUCCGUUGAGCACUCCAAUGUCGCCUGCUGCGGCUACACGAGAGGUAUGUAUCACACCGACCACUGUAUUUUACACAAUGUUUCCUUGUUGAGUGUGAACGAAGAACAACACCAGGGCUGAUAUGCCUCCUGCAGCCAGUGAUUUCUGGCUUCAGUUCUUCAUGUAACUCAUUACUCCACCAGCUGCAAAAGGUAGUAGCACAAUGAUCAGUUGUUGGUAAAUGUUGCAACUUCCCGAGAUAAGUCAAUACUUUCAGCAUGCUUUCAGUUAUAACACUGUAAAAGGUUGCGGAACCUCAUAGUUCUAUAAGAUGGUUGAUGGAGCUAAAAUAAUGUCAGUGGUAUUUAGGGGGGCAGUAAUUGAGCUUGUAUUACUUACCUUUAUCCUACGGGGCUUCUUCUCUCUUAAGUAAUCCGGCUCAAUCAUGUUGGAAGUCUGCCCCAUCUUAGAGAAAAAGGGGUCUGAAUAUCGUUUCAAGGAGGCCCCAGCACCAGCAACAUCGAACCUGCAGAAUAAUCCUUGUGUGUAAUUACUGAUAACACAUCCAUGGUAUAUAUCCACACACAAAAAUAGAAAGCAUCCACAUAUAGUGUAGUUUUUAAGGAGGUAUGAGUUUUUGACACUCCCAUUUCUGCAAAUACCAUCUUAGCAUACUGCUUCAUCUUUCCUUGCUAGAGCUCAUUAUCCCUAAUCUCCCAGGUAACAUUGGAGGCGCCUGCAACUGAACUCUUGUUGAGCUCUCCUCUGACCAUAGGAAGCUGGUGACAUCUGAUUAUGUGUACUAAGUUGUGCUGCGGUAGACAUGCAUCAGUGGCUGAUCUUAUCCAAACUGAUACAGUACAAGCUAAUUGUGUUUGCUAUCGGCACUACACAGACCGGCAGGACAACCAACAUACGCACUCUGACGAACUGAAUGCAUUCAGAUCCUCUAUCCGCGCAAGGGGCGAGGGCGGCGAGGCUCCGGUGGCAGGUUGAUGGCGGAGAUGGUCUCCCCCGGACCGGAUCGGGGCGGCGGCGACGGAGAUCGAGGCAGAGGGCGGCGCGGUACAGGCGGCGCUUGGGGCCGGCGAGUGGAGUUGGCUGCAGGCCGGUGGCCGACGCGGGGUGGCUCGACUACGGAUGGUGGUUCCCCGGCGAGAUGCAUGCGAGGGACCGGCGGCGUGCUGCGAGGUCUCGAGCAUGGAGCGGCUCGUCGCCAUGAAGGAGCUCGGGAGGAUUGCGGGUUGAUUAUCAAAAACUAUGAGGACUUUUUUGCAAAAUGGCAGAAAACGAUUCGUUGUUACUUAAAACUGGACUGCGGGUUGAUUACCUAAAACUGCAAGGGCUUUUCUGCAAAACGACCGACGACGGACGACAGAAGCGCUGCGCGCUUUAUUAUUAGGAGAGAAAGUUAUAUAAACAGUUGUAAGACACCCUUUUGGAAUUAAGCAAUAAGACAUACUCCCUCCGUUCGGAAAUACUUGUCAUAGGAAUGGAUGUAUCUAGAUGUAUUUUAGUUCCAAAUACAUCCAUUUUUAUACAUUUGUGCGACAAGUAAUUCUGGACGGAGGGAGUAUUCUAUUGCUCGGCUUUCGGAGGAGCCGGAAUCCCUAACCCUAGUCGCCGCGUCUUCCAUCGCCGUUGCCUCUCCACCACGCGAGACGGCGCCCUCGCCCUUGCCAGCUUCCCUCCUACCCCUACAGCCUCCGGCCAAAACCCGGUAGGAUCCUAGCUCCUACCAGUUUGGUAUCAGGAAGCUUCGGUUCGAUCAUGUCUUCGCCGUCGCGCUCCACAUCCCUUCUGCUGCCGACCUCCACCACCGCCCCGCUCGCCACCACCUCCGCCGCCGCACCGCUUCCCGCUGUCCUCACCCCGGAGGAGCUUACAGGAGCGAUCCACUGUCGUGCAGGGGAUCCGACUCUACCUAGCCGGUCCCUACGGGCCACCGCGCCACCACCCACCGCCAACGGGCUGCUGCUGCUUUCGUGGCAGCCGCCGCACUCGCUGGGCCGUUGGAGCCGGCGCUUCAGCUUUCGCGGCCACCAGCCACCUCCUCCGGGCCGGGCCCCACCUCGACGCCGGGGGUCCCUCUUCAUCAACUCCACUUCCCGCCCUUGCCGUCGCCGCUAUCGUCCUGGGUAACCGGGACGCAGUCGGUCUACACGACGGCCUCGGCGCCGCCGUACAUCCAGUCGCCAUCGGCGCCACCCCCUAGUAAGGUGGACCCUCCAGCUUCGCUGAUCCUCAAACUGGCCCCGACGGGUACCCGGGGACGACCCCGCACUUCUCCGCGCCGACGAGCCCUACCAUCACGGCGCCCAUACCCAUACGCCACCGCGGUUCGCCAAAUUGGACUUUGCCACCUACGACGACACCGAGGACCCCCUGAACUGGCUCAACCAAUGUGACCAGUUCUUCCGAGGGCAACGGACGCUCGCUUUGGAACACACCUGUACUGAAUUCUUCUACCAGAUCGACAUCCUCCACAGAUUCUACUGUCACCUGGAAGAUUGUGCUGGUCUCUUGGUUCUACUUAANNNNNNNNNNGUAGUUCUACUGUAUAAUAUGACCAUCUAUUAUACACGAGACCAAACAGUUGAGCACAUGCCUUGUUGUUUCAGACCUUUGUUUGUUGGUUUCUAGUGGCCUCUAAGCGCAAAAUCACAUUUCAGGCUACGCAGUAGUGAUAAUUAUACCAUACCAGUAUGAUGCUACAUAGAUUAUUGAGUUAUUACUUUGGUUGAUUACAUCUAAUUCUUCAUAUAUAAUAUCAUCUAUUAUGGCCCACUUAGUAGUGAAAUUUACAGUUGGGUAAGACCAAGUGCAGUGUAUUAUGACUCAGUGUCUACUUUCUGUGUUACUAGGCUACUUCAUUCAUCUUAAUUAAGUUUUUUUGUUGUUUUCAUUUUUCAUGAAUCAUUAGGCUCUGCUUCAGCAGGCAAACAAGUUAGGCAUAUUGGACUUAUUUAUGGUAUCUAGCAUCCUUAAUGAAUCACUAUGUGUUGAAGUAGCCUAGUGAAUGUAAGGGUCUAGGUUUAACCCAUAACUUCUCUAAACAGUGUGCUGUAUUGUGUUAUCUAUACUGCUUUUGCUUUAGUUCUACAACUCUGCAAAGCACUACAUUCACCGGAUACAAAAUUCCAAUUUGUUUCGACUAUGAAAAACUUGUUUUGAUUAUAUUUUCUAUUUGGCCACGUGCAAUUUCUUAAAGGGCCAAAUGGCUAGUGAGGAAGAAAGGUUGCAUAUGGCUAGUGAGGAUACGGCUAGUGAGGAGGAACCAGAUAGGGCUAAUGAGGCUGCGGAUGAAGCGCCAAAAAGGGUUACGGAGGCCAAAGGACCGGAAACCCGGUGGAAUCCCGGUGUUGCAACACAAUUAAUUUCGAAGUUUCCAACCAAAAUGUUGAAAAUGCUUGAGCAGUUAAAGCUUAGUAAGAUGGCGGACAUGAAGGUAACAUUCCUUCAAUACAGAAAAACCUGNNNNNNNNNNUAUUUUGGACAGAUGUGUUGUUCAUCAAGACUCAAAUCAAACUGAACUUAAAAUAAGGAUGAUAAAUCAGCGUGGUUCAAUCCAAAAGUUGUUCAACAUAUUCUUGAGCUGACGCAAGACACUGAUAAGGAGUUAAAAGCUAUGUAGUUAGGCUCGUAGUUGCAAAGUACCCAAAAAAGACAAAGAAAAAGGCAAACACAAAUGUAAAAGAGGAGACAUCAGGCCACUGCCAGAGGAGAAGAAUAAUGGCAGAGCGAUCAUGAUGUCGGAGAACAUUGGUUUGUUGUUUGCACACUCUGAUGAGGAAGAUAUCAGAUCACAUGCUGAAAUAGAUAUGCUCGUCAGGCUUUACUUUGUGGCAGUGCAUGAUAGAAUGUUACUGCCAGAUACAGCAUCUUAUGUAACCAAAAGCGCAGUUGAAAAUAUAUAUCAUCUAGAAAAACUUUGUGAGCUUGACUGGGUACAUAUGGUCUUCAAUGCCUUGAAAAAAGCUUAUCUGACGAAGGACAAAGCUUAUAUGAGGUGAUGUGUGGAUGUCCUUUUGGUAAGUAGUACUAGCUACUGCAAGUAAUAAUUGUUCUCAUUUUGUGUCUAAAUUUAGAGUUAUUGGUUCACAAAUAGUUUUUUGCGGACUGCAUUGUGGAGAAUCCUGUGAGAAGGGAAUUAUCAGGGAGAAUCAAACACUAUACUGAUGACAUCCUCAGGAAACUUCUCGAAUAUCAGGAUAGGAAAAGUAAGUCUGGGGGUAAGAAAUUGUAGCAACUUCUUAUAAUUAUCGAAUAUCUUGAUGCAACUUAUAUUUCUCAAUGUCAUUUUGAGGAGAAGAACUUGAAGUCGCUAGAGGUAAUUAAUGUAAGUACAAACAAGUUUACAAAUUAUCUGUUACCAUUUUUAAUUAUUUAUUUAUGUUAUUUUCAGUUUAUUAGGUGGGAGGAUAGCACGUAGAGCGAACUGUAGAGGUGUUUGAGAAUGACAUGGUACAUAGUGCUUACGAAAAGCGUGUUUUAAAAAGAAGGCACGAUGGAAUUGUAGUAGAGUAUGUACCCGAGAAGAUAGUUGAGUCCGAGUUUAUAGACUGCUUCAAACUAGAAGGUCGUAGAGAUACUGCAUUUAAUAUGCGACUUGUGGUCAGAACAAUGGCGUGAUACAAUUGUCCUUCAGUAUUCUUCUGAUACAAUUGUGGACGCCGAGCCUGAUCUACGUUUUUGGAUAAGUACUUACAAUAAAAGAAUACUUAAGGAUAAUUGUAUCACGCCAUUUUUCUCACCACAAGUCGCAUAGUAGAUGCAGUAUUUGUGAGGUCAUACGACCUUCUGGUUUGAAGCAGUCCACAAACUCAGACUCAAUUAUCUUCUUGGGUCCAUACUCCAAUACAAUUCCGUCGCUCCUUCUUUUCAAAACACGCUCCUCGUAAGCACUAUCUACCAUGUCAUCCUCAGAUACCUUUACAGUUUCGCUGUAGGUGCUAUCCUCCCACCUAAUAAACUGAAAAGAACAGAAAGAAAUAAUUAAAAAAUGGUAACAGAUAAUUUGUAAACUUGUUUGAACUUACAUUAAUUAUCUCUAGCGGCUUCAAGUUUUCUCCUCAAAAUGACAUCGAGAAAUAUAAAAAGUUGCAUCAAGAUAUUCGAGAAAUAUAAUAAGUUGCUAUAGUUUCUUACCCCCAGACUUCCUUUUCCUAUCCUGAUAUUCGAGAAUCUUACUCAGGAUGUCAUCAGUAUGGAGUUUGAUUCUCCCUGAUAAUUUCCUUCUCACAUGAUUCUCCACAAUGUAAUCCGCAAAAAGUAUUUGCAAAUCAAUAACUUUAAAUUUAGACACAAAAUGAGAACAGUUAUUAUUUGCAGCAGCUAGUAGUACUUAUCAAAAGGACUGCCAUAGAACACCUCGUAUAAGCUUUGUCCUUCGNNNNNNNNNNNNNNNNNNNNNNNNNNNNNNNNNNNNNNNNNNNNNNNNNNNNNNNNNNNNNNNNNNNNNNNNNNNNNNNNNNNNNNNNNNNNNNNNNNNNNNNNNNNNNNCGCCUUUUUCUCUAUCUUUUUCUGGGUACUUUGCAACUACGAGUGUAAGUGCAUAGACCAUCUUGUCGUGUUCUUAUGUUACAUCAUGUGCAGCUUUGAACUCCUUAUCAGUGCCUUGCGGCAGGUCAAGAACAUGAUGAACAACUUUUGAAUUGAACCACGUUGAUUUAUCAUCCUUGAUUUUAAGUUCAAUUUGAUUCGAGUCUUGAUGAACAACACAUCUGUCCAAAAGCUCUCCACAGGUUUUUCUGUAUUGAAGGAAUGUUACCUUCAUGUCCGCCAUCUUAUUGAGCUUUAACUGCUGAAACAUUUUCAACAUUCUAGUUGUAAACUUCGAAAUUAAUUGUGUUGAAACGCUCGGGUUGCACUGGGUUUCCGGCCCUAGGGCCUCCGUAACCCUUUUUGGCGCUUCAUCCGCAGCCUCACUAGCCCUACCUGGUUCUUCCUCACUAGCCAUAUGCAGCCUUUCUUCCUCACUAGCCAUUUGGNNNNNNNNNNNNNNNNNNNNNNNNNNNNNNNNNNNNNNNNNNNNNNNNNNNNNNNNNNNNNNNNNNNNNNNNNNNNNNNNNNNNNNNNNNNNNNNNNNNNNNNNNNNNNNNNNNNNNNNNNNNNNNNNNNNNNNNNNNNNNNNNNNNNNNNNNNNNNNNUAGAGAUACAUUAAGGAUGAUACAUACCAUAAAUAAGUCCAGCAUGCCUAACUUGUUUGACUACUGAAGCAGAGCCUAAUGAUUCAUGAAAAAUGAAAACAACAAAAGAAACCUAAUUAAGAUGAAUGAAGUAGUCUAGUAUCACAGAAAGUAGGCAUUGAGUCAUAAUAAACUGCACUUGGUCUUACGCAAGUGUAAAUUUCACUAUUAAGUGAGCCAUAAUACACGAUAUUAUAUAUGAAGAAAUUAGAUGUAACCAACCAAAGUAAUAACUCACUAGUUUAUGUAGCAUCAUUCUGGUAUGAUAUACUUAUCACUACUGCGUAGCAUGAAAUGUGAUUUUGCGCUUAGAGGCCACUAGAAGCCAACAUACAUAGGUCUGAAACAACAAGGCAUGUGCACAACUGUUUGGUCUCGUGUAUAAUAGAUGGUCAUAUUGUACAAUGGAACUACUAGUUACCUAAACAAUUUAAGUUAACCAUGUUAAGUAGAACCAAGAGACCAGCACAAUCUUCNNNNNNNNNNAAGCAGAACAUCAUACAUAUGCUACAUAACAACAACAACGACCGCUUUCAAAGACUUCAACCGAUGCAAAAGGAUCACCAUUACAAAAACUCGGCUUAAUGGUUCCAUCACAAGGUAAAUAUGUCAUAGUACUUGUUCUAUGAAUGCGAGAGUGAAAUAAAGUAGGAAAAUUUCAUCGGGUUGAAAUUCAGACUUAAGCAUUGUGUCUCUUAGAAAACUAAAAAAAAGAGUAGUGUUGGCUAGUAAGAACAUUAAGCAAAUUUACAUAGAGUUCCGCGUGAAGGAAUCAUGGAAAUACAAAAGCUCAAGAAGCCAACAAUGUAAAACAAGGCAUGAAAUAACAAAGAUUGUGCAAGAUAAAAAUUUGAGUACCUAACGAAGACUGUGCAACAUGAAAGUUGGAGUGCCUGAUGGUCUACUCUAGUCUCUAAAACCGCGCUAAAUUAUGUCUGUAAAGAAGUUAUCCGAGUGAAUGUAAGGCUUGAGGUUUAAGCCAUAGUGAUUGAUUAAGAAUGCUACAUAUUGUGGAUAGGUCCAGCAUGCCUAACGGAAAGUUGGACGACGCCAUGCUUAUCUGAACAGUGCUAUCACCUUCCCACCGUUCCUCCACAUCCGAGGGGCCUACUGUCUAUAUGUUAAACCCAAACCCAAUGAGCACCUGCCAACGAGGAUCUGUUCCACGCAGAAUUUGGUACGAUUGCUCAAUUAUUCACAAACCAACAAAGUACAUGUAGUUUGGGUAGUUCCUUCAGUUUAAGAAGUUCCUUUGGUUUGAGAAUUCAUCGAUUGGUGAGGUGAGAUUGAUAGAUUUGUUAAAUCAAUGAAUCUGUUCAAUUGGUAUACAUAUUGGUGUUGAACCACACACACUUCCAGGACCAGGAGCAGCAAGAAUUUUUCAAAAAGGAUGACACCAUGAGCAAGAAUUUUUCAAAAAGGAUGACACCAUGAGCAGCAAGAACGAUCCUUAGUGUUAGUAACCAAACAAUUUGCAGAUCAAGGGAAGACAAGGAGGGCACCUUUUGGGCAAUUUGUCGAGCACCUUCGUGUUGCCUACACUGCGUCGAGCCGCUGCUCACUGCGAGACUCAGCCUGUGCCGAUCCUCCGCCCCGCCGAGCCGCUACUCACCAUGAGGCCAGUGCCGAUCCUCCGCCCCGCCGAGCCGUUGCUCACCACGAGGCCCGUGCCGAUCCUCCGCCCCGCCUGGCCGUUGCUCACCAUGAAGCCUCAGCCCGCUUCAGCCUUCGUUGACGCCGACUCGCGAGGCCGUGCGAAGAAUACGAAGAGAGGCAGGAGGGCGAAGAAUACAAAGAGGGGCGAGGAACAUUUAGUUAUGUCUCAAUACUGGAGAAGCAUUGUUCACAACUCAUUUAUUUAUGCAAACAUAUAUUUUCUCCCGCUUAAAUCUUUUAAGUAACUAGCAAAAUGGCCCAUGCGUUGUCACGGAAGAAAAAAAACAUAAUCUCCAAUGAUGGUGACUACAUUAUAUUCACAUAUCAUCGCUUGAUUUAGAAAUUUUGUGCACAAAUGUAAGAAAAUGUUUCUUCUUUUAAAUUUAUUCACAAGUUGAUGCAAUCUUUACAUUUUCAAAAAAUAUAUAUCAUGGUUGUCAAAAAUCUUGGUAACUCAAAGAUUUAUUCUGAAUUUCAAGAAUUUUGUUUAGAAAACAUAUAAUAAUAAUCCGAUCCAUCCAACAGUUAAUUUUUUAAAAUCCACACAGGUAUAUUGUCACAAAGACUUAGAAGCAUUAAUGUUUAAUUACAUACAUUAGAUAUUUCGUGAACAAUUUUACAAAUAUGGAAAGAAUUUUAAAAUCGAGAAGAUUUUUUACAAUUUACAAACAUUUACUAAAAAUUGUGAAUAUUUUUUAUAUUUCGAACGAGUUUAAAUAUUUUCUUUUAAUUGGCGACCAAUUCAAGAAAAGACGAACAUAAUUUUUGAUGUUGGAGGAUUUUAUUUCAAAUUCACAAACAUUUUUUGAAACGCAUGAACUUUUCUGAAUAAAGAAACAUUUUUAUAAAUCAGUAAUAUAUUUAUUAAAUUUAUGGACAUUGUUUAGGAAUUUGAAAAAAAUAUAUGGAAAUCCAGCGCUUUUUUGAAUCCUAUUUUUAAUUCAAAAUAAAAUUUCGUCAGCAUUUUAAUUCAAAAUUCCUAUUUUUUAAUAUGCAAAAGUUUUUGUAGUUCUAAAUUAUUUAAAUUCUAAAUAAACAAAAAUGGAACGAAAAAUUUUAAAUUAAAAAAAGAAACUAUCAAAACAGGCAUUAGCUAUUUUUAAAAUUUUGUGACAUUUUUUAAAUGCAUUAACAUAUUUUAAAUUAGAAAACAUUUUUUUUAAAUGCCUUUAAUAAUUUUUAAUACAUGGAAUUGUAUUUGAGAUCAUGGACUUUUCUUAUUGUACAAACAUUUUUCUAAAAUUGCAAACAGUUUUUGAAGUCACACACAUUUUAAUUUUUUAAAUAUGUUGAUUUAUAAUUUUCAGUUUAUUAAAAUUUUAAAGAUUAUUUGAAGUUCUAAAUUAUUGAAAAUAAAAAAAGUAAAAUGGAACUGAAAAUAAAUAAAUAAAUGGAACUAAAAGCAGGCGCCUGUCCAUGGGCCGGCCCAUACGGUGUUCUGGAUAUUCUCCCAGCGUGCAGAGCGUAAUAUAGGAGAUUUUUACAUGGGCCGGCCCAGUCCAAGAUUUUUUUGCUUUGUGAAACGUUUUCUAUUACUUACCGGUGGCAUGGUGGGUAAUUUAUGCAAACUUUAGGGGUAAUUUCCAAAACGGACGACCAGAAACCGUAUUUGCUUUAUUAUUAUUAUUUGGGAGAGAUAAAACGUCCCUUUUAAAAAAAAAAAAAAUUCUUCCGUGGCUUUCUGAUUGCCAUGACCAAGAAUAUGUGAUGCAUUACUAGUAUGUUUGUGCACUUGUCAUGUUUUUGACAGUUUCUGUAAAUACCGUAUGUUUCUGUUUCUCUCUUUUUGUCUGCAGUGUACAAAUGGCCACAUCACAUGCUCAGAGUGUCGCACCAAUGCGGAGUACACUUGCAGCUUGUGUGUGGAGCCUGCCAAACGCCCGCUGCGGCAUCAUGGAGCGCGUACUUGGCAGCAUGACCACGCCGUGCUCGUUCCGGGAGUUUGACUGCUCCGCUACGAACCCGUUUACGGAGAAGCUGACCCAUGAAGAAUCCUGCCUCCACGCUCACAUACCCUACUGUCCCAUCCCCUACUGCCGCCUCUACGCCAACCAUGGCUGGUCCCUGCACGAACACAUCGAGACGGAACACUACUUGAUCCCAUACGGCGAGGUCACAGCCGGCAGCCUUUCCCCGGUGAUGGUGUCCGACAAUGAGCCGGUGUGCCUGGUGCUUCUUGACUCCACGACGGUGUUCCUGCUGGUGGUCGAGCGGACAAUGCCAUCGGGGUGCGCCGUGUCGGUGGUCCAGCUCGUCAGUGAGCCGGUCAAGAAGAUGGAGGAGAAGGAUUUCAAGUACAAGAUCCAUUUCAAGUACAAGAUCCAGGUGCGUAUGCGAGCAGGCGUCCUCUCUCUGUCCGGCGAGACGCAGAGCAUUGGGCGGCUGAUGAGGCCUUACCAGGCCACCGCGUCGCUGUUCGUCUCCGACGCAGUGUGGUGUCCCCGGUAUUCCGUUGAGUUGGCAAUGAGUGUAGACAAGCUGCAUGCCAUUGAGUUGGCAAACCUAUCCCAUCUUGUAGAAGAAUUCAGUACCGCUGGCACCUGGAAGAUGUCGAUCUGACACCUGGAGAAUUUAGUCCUGCGCCUCUGCCAUCUGGAGGAUGUCGAUUAGCUCUGAAUACCUCGUGUAGUUUCUCUGGCGAUAGUUUGGUGAGGACUUGACCGUGUCGGAGUGGAAUGUGGAUAGGGUUUUCUCAAUCUUCUAACUGUCGGUAACCUCAGUACCGCACAUCUGAAGAGAUGUACGAAUCCGGUGCAUUGUACUCCCCAACCGUCUUAAAGUCUGCGAACCUCAGACGGAUCCACUCCGCCUCUGCAUGUGGCUUGACGGUGUACUUCAGCCUCUCAAACCGCUGCUUAAGAGCGGUCCAAAGGCCAGAAGCACUCCGCUCAAUCAUAUACUUGUCUUCCAGAGUAGGGCAAAGGUGAUGACGGAGGAAAUGGAGAGCCUGGGCAUUUUCUGGCGUGAACCUGGGUGAGUUGGGGGGGGGGGGGGGNNNNNNNNNNNNNNNNNNNNNNNNNNNNNNNNNNNNNNNNNNNNNNNNNNNNNNNNNNNNNNNNNNNNNNNNNNNNNNNNNNNNNNNNNNNNNNNNNNNNNNNNNNNNNNNNNNNNNNNNNNNNNNNNNNNNNNNNNNNNNNNNNNNNNNNNNNNNNNNNNNNNNNNNNNNNNNNNNNNNNNNNGGAAACUCCCUGUUGACGAUUCCGGUCAUCUGCAAUUGAUGCAAAAAAAUAAUGAGAUUACAGCACAUAAUCUUUUGCAUAAAUGCGAUGUAGAAAAACUUAUUCAAUAAAAAAUGACGUUUCAUUAUUUAAUACAUUUUUAUUAUAUGAUUUACUUAAUGAUUAAAGUGCUAAACAAUUGAUCUACAGCAGUAAAAUCAUAUAAUGAAGUCAUGUUAAAUGAGAUAGUAUGUUACGCGUAGCUAAUACGAAAAAAAUAGUUCGAAAAACAAAUUUCCGGGCUUUUUUUUAAAGCCAGGAUAUACGUUUUUACGAAAAAAAAAAUGGGCAACCAGCCCAAUCAGUCUACUGCCAGCCGGCCCGACCCCCUUUUUUUAACUAGCCCGACACCCACCCCUUUAUUUUUAUUAGCCCCUCACGCCGGUCUGGCCAGCCAAACAGCAGCCCAUGGGGGCGGCGGCCGAGCCCACCAAGGCCCGGGGGCGAGCCGACCCAUCAUGUAGGGCGACGCUAGGGUUUCCCUUCGCGAUGUUUGUGUGAACGAGGUUGGCUAGGGCGGCGGCUGUGGCAAGCCAGCGAGCCGGCAGCGCACCACGAGGCCACCGGGGCGCGGUACGGCCACCAGGGCACAAUGUGCAUGCGAGGCAGGAGCGGCGGAAGCCGAGGCUAGCAUGGCGCGGCGCGGCCAAGGGGCCAGACGGCGGCCGAGGCCAGCAGGGCGCGGCACGGCCAAGGGGCCAGAUUACGGUCGCGGCCAGGCAGCAUCGNNNNNNNNNNNNNNNNNNNNNNNNNNNNNNNNNNNNNNNNNNNNNNNNNNNNNNNNNNNNNNNNNNNNNNNNNNNNNNNNNNNNNNNNNNNNNNNNNNNNGGCAGAUGGAUGUCAAAACGGCGUUCCUUAACGGUUUCCUUAAGGAAGAGAUGUAUAUGAUGCAACCCGAAGGUUUUGUCGAUCCUAAAAAUGCUGACAAGGUGUGCAAGCUCCAGCGAUCCAUUUAUGGACUGGUGCAAGCAUCUCGGAGUUGGAACAAACGCUUUGAUGAGGUGAUCAAAGCAUUUGGGUUUAUACAAGUGGUUGGAGAAUCUUGUAUUUACAAGAAAGUGAGUGGGAGCUCUGUGGCGUUUCUAAUAUUAUAUGUGGAUGGCAUAUUACUGAUUGGAAACAACGUAGAGCUUUUGGAAAGCAUAAAAGGUUACUUGAAUAAAAGUUUCUCUAUGAAGGACCUGGGAGAAGCUGCUUACAUUCUAGGCAUUAAGAUCUAUAGGGAUAGAUCAAAACGCCUGAUAGGAAUUUCACAAAGCACAUACCUUGAUAAAGUUUUGAAGAGGUUCAAAAUGGAACAGUCCAAGAAAGGGUUCUUGUCAGUUUUACAAGGUACGACAUUGAGUAAGACUCAGUGCCGAGCAACUGAUGAGGAUAGAGAGCAUAUGCGCUCCGUCCCCUAUGCUUCAGCCAUAGGCUCUAUCAUGUAUGCGAUGCUGUGCACUAGACCAGAUGUUAGCCUGGCCAUAAGUAUGGCAGGCAGGUUCCAGAGUAAUCCAGGAGUGGAUCACUGGACAGCGGUCAAGAAUAUCCUGAAGUACCUGAAAAGGACUAAGGAGAUGUUUNNNNNNNNNNNNNNNNNNNNNNNNNNNNNNNNNNNNNNNNNNNNNNNNNNNNNNNNNNNNNNNNNNNNNNNNNNNNNNNNNNNNNNNNNNNNNNNNNNNNUCCCCCCUUGGACUCGGCCGACCCCCUUGGGGCUCCUUGAGCCCCAAGGCAAGGUCCCCUCCCUCCCACCUAUAUAUACGGAGGUUUUGGGGCUGAUUUGAGACGACUUUUCCACGGCAGCCCGACCAAAUACCUCCACGGUUUUUCCUCUAGAUCGCGUUUCUGCGGAGCUCGGGCGGAGCCCUGCUGAGACAAGGUCAUCACCAACCUCCGGAGCGCCGUCACGCUGCCGGAGAAUUCUUCUACCUCUCCGUCUCUCUUGCUGGAUCAAGAAGGCCGAGAUCAUCGUCGAGCUGUACGUGUGCUGAACGCGGAGGUGCCGUCCGUUCGGUACUAGAUCGUGGGACUGAUCGCGGGAUUGUUCGCGGGGCGGAUCGAGGGACGUGAGGACGUUCCACUACAUCAACCGCGUUCACUAACGCUUCUGCUGUACGAUCUACAAGGGUACGUAGAUCACUCAUCCCCUCUCGUAGAUGGACAUCACCAUGAUAGGUCUUCGUGCGCGUAGGAAAUUUUUUGUUUCCCAUGCGAUGUUCCCCAACACAUUCCUCAAUGCAAUUUCUCAGAAGGUAAUCGAUCAAGAAAGUCUAUCAGGGUUACAGAUUGAUGUGGUCCAAUGUUUGGUCAGCUUUGAGUUGUUGUUCCCGCCAUCCUUCUUCAAUAUAAUGACACACCUCCUAGUUCACCUAGUCGAAGAGAUUAGAAUUCUCGGUCCUGUGUUUCUACACAAUAUGUUCCCCUUCGAGAGGUUCAUGGGAGUCUUAAAGAAAUAUGUUUGUAACCGUGCUAGGCCAGAAGGAAGCAUCUCCAAGGGCUAUGGAACAGAGGAGGUCAUUGAGUUUUGUGUGGACUUUCUUCCUGACCUUAAGCCGAUUGGUGUUCCUGAAUCUCGGUAUGAGGGUAGGCUGACAGGAAAAGGCACACUAGGAAGGAAAGCAAAAGUAUGUAUGGACAGAAAUUCUUUCUCUCAAGCACACUACACAGUUCUACACAAUUCCACCGUGGUGGCUCCGUAUAUCGUGAGACACAAGAAUAUUCUACGCUCCGAAAACCCGGGGAAGGCUGACCCUUGGAUUAAAGGGGAACACGAGAAGACUUUCGGCAGUUGGUUGCAGACACAUCUCAUGAAUGACGACACCGUUGGAGAUCAGCUGUACUGUUUGGCCAGGCCACCAUCUUCGACUAUAUGUACUUUCCAAGGGUAUGAGAUAAAUGGGAAUACAUUUUACACGGUUGCCCAAGAUAAAAAGAGCACCACCCAAAAUAGUGGUGUCCGCUUUGAUGCAACAGACGAGAAUGGGCACUGUUUGGAAACAUAUUACGGGUACAUAGAGGAGAUAUGGGAACUUGACUAUGGACCUACUUUUAAGAUCCCUUCAUUUCGGUGCAAAUGGGUGAAGCUGACAGGAGGCGGGGUAGUUGUAGACCAAAAGUGCGGCAUGACAACAGUGGAUCUCAAUAAUCUUGCGUACAUGGACGAACCAUUUGUCCUAGCCAAUGAUGUCGCUCAGGUUUUCUAUGUGAAGGACAUGUCUACAAAAACGAGACAAAGAAAUCAGCAAAAGAAGAUAUCGUCCGAUGAGCCAAAACGCCACAUAGUUCUUUCAGGGAAAAUAAACAUCGUGGGAGUAGAUGACAAGACAAACAUGUGAGUAGAUUAUAAUAAGUUUCAUGAAAUUCCGACCUUCAAAGUGAAAACUGACCCAAACAUCCUAGUGAAUGAUGAAGAUUCUCCAUGGCUACGACCCAGAAGAAAGCAGAAAUAAUAGAUAGGAAUAUUGGUGCAAUAAUGUAAUAAUGCAUUAAACCUUUUAUGUAAUACAUGUAUGGAAUGUACUAAACCUUUUAGUUUUGAAUUAUUUAUUCAAUUUCAAACACUUUUCAUUAUCAUAAUUUUGUCAAAUUCUCAAAUAUGCAAAAAGAAUUUUAAUAAACAUAGUUUUUAAUUGAAAAUAACAAAAUAGUUAAUAGUUUGGAUAGUCAAAAUAAUUAAUUUUGAAAAUAGAAAAUAGUUUUGAAUUAUUUAUUCAAUUUCAAAAACUUUUCAUUUUCAUAGUUUUGUCAAAUUCUCAAAUAUGCAAACAGAUAACUAUUUAUAUUCUCAAAUAUGCAAAAACAAAUAAAAUAAGAAAAAAAAAUGAAAUCCCUUUGUAAUAGAUGAGUUCUCGUUCGAAACCCUCAUACUUCGAGCGAGAUCGUCUGUUUUGUACACGAAGUGCAUCCAGUUUUUGUCGUAACCCUCUCCACUUUUUAGCACAUGCUAUGUGGCUGAAAUGAUGAUACCAUGCCAACUUUCAACAUUUUCACAGUUUAUUUGUAGUGCUUUCCAAUUUUAGGGUCAACUAGCUCAAAAAAAAAGUAAAUGCACGAAAAAUACCAAAUGAAGUCAUAAAUUGUUGAAAUUAUGUGAUGUGCCUUUGAAUGGUGCAUUUUGAACACACAAAAAGUAUGGAGUUCAAAUAAGUUCAAAAAAAUGAAAUCCCUUUGUAAGAGACGAGUUCUCGUUUGAAACGCUAAUACUUCGAGAGAGAUUGUCCGUUUUGUACACGAAGUGCAUCCAGUUUUUGUCGUAGCCCUCUCAACUUUUUAACACAUGCUAUGUGGGUGCAAUGAUGAUAUCAUGCCAACUUUCAACAUUUUCAGAGUUCAUUUGUAGUGCUUUUCAAUUUUAGGGUCAACUAGACCAAAAAAACAAAAGUAAAUGCACGAAAAAUACCAAAUUAAGUCAGAAAUUAUUGAAAAUUUGUGAUGUGCCUUUGAAUGGUGCAUUUUAAACACACAAAAAGUAUGGAGUUCAAAUAAGUACAAAAAAUGAAAUCCCUUUGUAACAGAUGAGUUCUCGUUCGAAACCCUGAUACUUCGAGAGAGAUUGUCCGUUUUGUACACGAAGUGCAUCCAGUUUUGGCCGUAACCCUCUCAACUUUCUAGCACAUGCUAUGUGGGCGAAAAUGAUGAUACCAUGCAAACUUUCAACAUUUUUAGAGUUCAUUUGUAGUGCUUUUCAAUUUCAGGGUCAACUAGCUCAAAACAAAUAAGUAAAUUCACGAAAACUAUCAAAUGAAGUCAGAAAUUUCAUAAAGUUUUUUUUGUUAAAAUACUUAAUAGAAAACAAAAAAAAAGUCAACUAAAAAGAAUCAACUAAAAUAUUAACUAAAAUGAAUGAGUUAAGAAUAAUUUACUAAAAUUUUCAAAGUGCUUAUUUGUUGGAAAGAAUCAAGUAAAACAUUAAUAAAAAGAAACAAAAAAAGAUCAACUCAAUAGAAAACUAAAAUAGAAGAGAAAAAAAUAUUGAAUAGCAAAGAAUUAAAAUAUAAACUAGGACUAAAAAUUAUUAAAGUAAAAAAAAAUGCCGCCUAUUGGGCCAUCACGGCGUGCAUACGACUAGAAAACCCUACCCGACAGGUGGGCCAGGAUGAAGGCCCGCGGGCCCAAUAGGCCCAACAGGCAGCGAGAGGAGAGUUAGGCUCAUAGCCUGCAAUAGAGAGAAGCUCAAUUGAGCAAGGCGCGGCAGUGCUUAUAAAGCACUGACAGCGUCCCUCGCUAGGCGAGGUGGGACUAAAGGUUGCCCUGCGUCGCACCGGAGCCACCCCAGGUCUUUAGUCCCGGUUCGGGGCUCGAACCGGGACUAAAGACCACCUUUAGUUCCGGGUGGAGCCACGACCCGGGACUAAAGCCNNNNNNNNNNNNNNNNNNNNNNNNNNNNNNNNNNNNNNNNNNNNNNNNNNNNNNNNNNNNNNNNNNNNNNNNNNNNNNNNNNNNNNNNNNNNNNNNNNNNGUCAUCAUCUGUGUGAGGGCACCCAUGGUCCUCAGUUUAUGGUGUCUGAGUCUCUCGACAGCCACUCGUCGUUAAUAUUGUUCUGGACUGCUGCAAGUUCACUACCCCCUUCGUCCCAAAAUUCUUGUCUUAAAUUUUUCUACGUAUGAAUGUAUCUAGUCACGUUUUUGUAUUUACAUACAUCCAUUUCUAGACAAACUUAAAACAAGAAUUAUAGGACGGAGGGAGUACUUCACUGCAGUCGACUAUCUAAUUUUUCUUUGUAAGAAAUCGAUACCAGAACUUGCGCACGCACUUGCCUGGUUUCUACACUACUAGGGCCAGGUCAAUGGCAUCCGGAGGCUUGACAUGCGUGUCCUGAAAUUUUGCCAUAAAUUGGGCCUCUAAAUCGUCCCCGUACCACUCGAAUUCAGCGGCAUGGAGUGCGGCAGUGUCAAGUUGAGCCUUUAAAUAUUAACGGUAGGUAUUUUAUGGCAUGCAAGUCGUCGCCAUCUGCUAUGUUGAUAGCGAGGGUAUAGUCUUCUAUCCAUAUAAAGGGAUCUGUUGAUCUGCCAUAUAACUUGAUGUUAACGAGCUUGAAGCCAGGUGGAACUUGUCCGCCAUUACUUUGUCUAAUUCCAAAAUUUUAAUCUGGUCACUUCUCCGAACAAUUCAAACAACUCUUAUCAAUACUAACUAAAAGCAACAAUCAUAAAAGUUUCUUGGAGAAAAAAGAUGAUUCUCUAGGAAAUUUUAAACAUUGUAGAUUUAGGGAAAAAAAAGCUAGGAUGCUUUUUUUAGAACAGGAGUCUCACCUUCGGUUUUUGAACCAGAGAGAUUCAUACGGCCUCUUUAUUAAAACAAUGAACAAAUAGUCUGCAAUCCAAUACAAGCUUACGAAGAAGCUCCGACAUAAAUUAAAAAAUAAAUAGCCACAACCGGCGUAAAAUAGGAUGAAAAUCCUAUCCACCUAUUCUAUUAUUGUAUCAUCAUCCAAACCGGUUGUAGAUAUCCUCAGGUACCAUUUUUCAUCGGGUAGAUCCAGUAACCAAAGACUCCCUGUUCUUCGCAGGAGUGAGUAACGACCAUAUACGGAUCAAAGAAGUUGCCCUGUACAAAAUCUGCCAAAAAUUGGCAUGAUUUUGCCUGUUAAAGACCAUGUCAUUUCUGCUAUUCCAUAUAGCCCAAAGUAACACACAUACUCCUAUGCAAAUAUGUCUUGUCGUAUAAAUGUCUACUCCAUCUAGCCUCGUCCCAAACAACGUGUGAAUGUUAUUUGGAGGUGUGAUAUUAAAGGCUAUACGAAUGGAUCUUCAAAGAUUUUUUGCUAAAUGGCACUCGAGAGAGAGGUGUUUGACAGUCUCAAGUUGAUCACAUAAGCUACAUCUUGUGUUUCCCGCCCAAUUAUGCUUUGCCAAACUAUCCUUAGUGAGAAUCACUUCCUUAUGAACGAACCACAUGAAAAAUUUCAUUCUUCAAGGGACUUUGAUCUUUCAAAUAUGAAUCUAUUUGGGAAUUGAUCUAGAGUCAAUGAGGUCCAAGUACAUCGAUUUCACCGAAAAGAUGUCAUUCUUAGAUAGUUUCCAAUGAAGUGUAUCAGACUCAUCCGAUAUAUUAACCUCCAUCAGCCUCUUGACUAGAUUAAGCCAAACCAACCAUCGAUCUCCCGACAGACUCCUUCUAUUAACUGUAUGUUUGGAGGAACAUAUUGUAAGACAGUAGCAACGUAGGCCUCCUUACGCUGCACAAUAUUAUAUAGAGCCGGAUAUUGUGUGGCUAGCAGCGUCUCCCCCAACCACGCGUCUUCCUAAAACCUCGUAUUCUCACCAUUACCAACGAUAAACUUAGACCUAUGGAAGAAAGAUGCUUUCAUUCUCAUUAGUCCCUUUCCAAAAGGGUGAAUCAUUGGGUUUCAAAGUGACCCGAGCAAGGUUUUAGCAUGCAAGUACUUAUUUCUCAAAAUUUGUAUCCACAUGCCUUCCGACUCUAGAGACAGUCUAUACAACCAUUUGCUUAGUAGACAUUUGUUCUUGACCUCUAAAUUCUCAAUCCGAAGACCUCCUUGCUCUUUGGGUCUUAGAUAACAUCCCAACGAGAAAGUCUAUAUUUUCUUUUGACAUCAUCACUCUGCCAAAACAAGCGGGAUCUAUAGAAGUCCAACCUUUUUCGUACCCCAAGAGGUAUCUCAAAAAAGGAAACAAGGAACAUUUGGCAUGCUUGUGAGUACUGAAUUAAUCAAGACCAGCCUACCUCCAUAAGACAACAGCUUGUCCUUCCAGCAACUCAGUUUUUUCUCGAACCGGUCCUCAAUACAUUUCCAUUCCUUGUUAGAUAACUUCCGAUGAUGCAUUGGUAUGCCUAGAUAACUGAACGGCAAGCUACCUAAAGCGCACCCGAACAGUUGUUUAUACGUAUCCCGCUCUUCUUUGGCUUUCCCAAAGCAGAACAGUUCACUUUUAUGAAAAUUUAUCUUCAGACCGGGCAACUGUUCAAACAAACAAAGAAUCAAUUUCAUAUUUCUCGCCUUUGCAACAUCAUGUUCCAUAAACAGAAUCUAGGAUGUGACAGCUGCUUCAAUGGUUCCACCUUGCUUAGCUACUUCUUGCAUCUCUGACGGAAAGGAGACGAGGGGGUGAGGCCGUGGAGGAUAUGGGAGCGCGCGGCACAGGGGACGUCGGGGCUGACAAAUCCUAGUUCGGGCUCCAAGGAUCUGGUUGUCGGCUAGACGAAUCGGGAGGGUACGGUGGUCACCUCUGGUCUACAAGAGAUGGCGAGGAAGUCGGGAAGAGAAAGCGGCACGUUCAAACUCAGUAUAAUUUUACAUCGAGUACAGUGGCUCACUUUGUGCUUCCAUUCGAACUGAUUAUGUGAUAUUUUUCUCUCUCUUCUCUAUUUCCACUUGAGAACAGAAAUCAUAUUCUUCCACAAGAUAACAACAAUACAAAUAUAUAUAUAAGAGUGUUUAGAUCCCUAUUUACUGAUCUAAAUGCUUUUAUAUUUCUUUACCGAGGGAGUACUAGUUUGCUUCUCAGUGCAGAAGUACAAGUUUUCGACAACCAAUUUAGGCAUCAUCAUUGUUGCAAACAAUGAUGAUGAACCACCGGCCGGUAGGGAGUUUGGUGAUCCGGCAGGGCACACUCCUUAUAUAUAUACCGCCUUCCUACAGCUUCUAUCCAUUCAAACUACAUAACCACAGAAAGCAAAGUCAAACACAGGGUGGUUUAGUUAUGGAAAACAGAGAAAACAUCGUGGCUUGUAGGAACCCAACUGCUGGUGACGACGAGGAAGCGACGUGGUCUCAUGCAUGGGGCCUCAUCUCGGGCUUCGCCGUCUCCCUGACCCUGAAAACGGCAGUGGAGCUCGGCCUCAUUGACGCACUCACCAACGCCGCCGGCCGCGCGAUGACGGUGGACGACCUUGCCGCGCAACUCCCGGCACCGAACAAGGCCCAGGCAGCAGCCUCGGUGGACCGGCUUCUCCGGCUCCUCGCCGCCUUCGACGUCGUGCGUUGCUCGACGGAGACGGGUCCUGACGGUGAGGCGGUCCGGAAGUACACUCCCGCGCCGGUGUGCCGGUGGCUCACCAGCAACCACAGCGAUGGGUCGCUGGCCCCCUUGGCCUUAUUCGCCGUCGACCAGGACUACUUGCCGACCUGGUAAGUGUGCGCUCCAUCACUUCGCCGAUGGCUGACUGCCAUGCUAAUUAAGCAUUAGCAUCCAUGUAGGAAUCAACUGGGUGCGGCAGUGGUGGGCGGCGUUCCACCGCCGUUCGAGAGGGCGCACGGGGUGCCGCUGUUUCAGUACAUGGGGAAGAACCCACGGCUAAGCGGGGUGUUCAACCAGGCCAUGUUCCACAUGUCAGUCAAGGUCAUCAGCAAGAUGGUCGAGCGCUUCGACGGCUUCGACGGAGUCGGCGUCCUCGUCGACGUCGGCGGGGGGACGGGCGCCGCCCUGGAGAUGAUCACCUCCCGCCACAAGCAUAUAAGGGGCAUCAACUUUGACUUGCCGUACGUCAUCUCGCAGGCGCCGUCUCUCCCAGGUAAAACAUUUAUGUUAUCUUAGUAACUAUUUAUCCUAUUUCUUAUUGUUCUUCACUUCUUGUGUUCCAAACAGAUUUAGCUUAGCACUUCUUUGAAUUUUGGCCGCAGGUGUGGAAAAUAUAGGUGGUAAUAUGUUUGAGAGUAUACCCACUGGAGAUGCAAUUUUUUUGAAGGUAUAUAUGCUGACUUAUACUCAUUUAAAAAAGUAUUAGUUUUUUUAGAUGUUACAAUUUUAUUCACUCAAUCUCCGUAUUGUUAAAAAAACAAUUGGCAUACACUGUAUUGUAAAGUGUGUUUAAGUCCGACAGACAAGUAGGCAGAACUAUGUAAAAUAAUUUGAACGAAUAAUUAAUACUAGUAAUAAAGCUCAUUCUAUGGACUGAACACUUUUAUGUGCAGUGGAUACUCCAUCUACAGAAUGAUGAUGCUUGCAUCAAGAUCCUCAAGAACUGCCACCGUGCUCUUCCAGCCAGCGGUAAGGUGAUCGUCGUGGAAAUCGUCCUGCCGGCCACCACGGAGGCGACUCGUGAGGCGCAGGAUAUGUUCCUUCUAGACGUCAUCAUGUUCAACAACCUUGAGGGUGGAAAGGAGAGGACUGAGCAGGAUUUUGUAAACAUGGCUAGGCUCUCUGGGUUCGAUGGUGCCUUCCGUUCCACCUACAUCUUCGGUAACUUCUGGGCCCUCGAGUUCAACAAGUAGCUGCCAUGGUCAUGCAGACUGCAGCAACUCCGAUAUGGAUAUAUCUACGCCAUGCCUGAAUCGUUGUUUCUAUUAAUCUCUUCUCCUGUAUGUAUUACUUCGACUGUAUCCUUGUUUACAUUAAUGUUGUAUAAGCUGGGCAACAGUACCUAUUUGUAUUCGCGCAAUAUGAUGUGAACUUAUUUGUAUUCUCCUCGGCGUGAGGAAGGACGUUAUAAUAUUUAUGCUUCCUCCUACAAUAAUCAGCUCAUGGAAACGAUCCAUUUGUUCUGACCAUUGCUGCAUUACUUGUACUACUUGGCGGAGCCAGGUAGAAGCUGUUGGGGGACCAAAGGGUAAAACACAAGCGUUUAAGGGUGUAAAAUGCUAAAAAAAUCUCACCUAAGCUCUUCUUAAAAAAAMYUUGUAGUUGUAUAACGUUGAGGGGGUCAUAGAGGAUUGAGUAGUUAAACAAUUAAGUAGUUAUGUGAGGACUCUCUCUGAANUUCUUGUGUUCCAAACAGAUUUAGCUUAGCACUUCUUUGAAUUUUGGCCGCAGGUGUGGAAAAUAUAGGUGGUAAUAUGUUUGAGAGUAUACCCACUGGAGAUGCAAUUUUUUUGAAGGUAUAUAUGCUGACUUAUACUCAUUUAAAAAGUAUUAGUUUUUUUUAGAUGUUACAAUUUUAUUCACUCAAUCUCCGUAUGUUAAAAAAACAAUUGGCAUACACUGUAUUGUAAAGUGUGUUUAAGUCCGACAGACAAGUAGGCAGAACUAUGUAAAAUAAUUUGAACGAAUAAUUAAUACUAGUAAUAAAGCUCAUUCUAUGGACUGAACACUUUUAUGUGCAGUGGAUACUCCAUCUACAGAAUGAUGAUGCUUGCAUCAAGAUCCUCAAGAACUGCCACCGUGCUCUUCCAGCCAGCGGUAAGGUGAUCGUCGUGGAAAUCGUCCUGCCGGCCACCACGGAGGCGACUCGUGAGGCGCAGGAUAUGUUCCUUCUAGACGUCAUCAUGUUCAACAACCUUGAGGGUGGAAAGGAGAGGACUGAGCAGGAUUUUGUAAACAUGGCUAGGCUCUCUGGGUUCGAUGGUGCCUUCCGUUCCACCUACAUCUUCGGUAACUUCUGGGCCCUCGAGUUCAACAAGUAGCUGCCAUGGUCAUGCAGACUGCAGCAACUCCGAUAUGGAUAUAUCUACGCCAUGCCUGAAUCGUUGUUUCUAUUAAUCUCUUCUCCUGUAUGUAUUACUUCGACUGUAUCCUUGUUUACAUUAAUGUUGUAUAAGCUGGGCAACAGUACCUAUUUGUAUUCGCGCAAUAUGAUGUGAACUUAUUUGUAUUCUCCUCGGCGUGAGGAAGGACGUUAUAAUAUUUAUGCUUCCUCCUACAAUAAUCAGCUCAUGGAAACGAUCCAUUUGUUCUGACCAUUGCUGCAUUACUUGUACUACUUGGCGGAGCCAGGUAGAAGCUGUUGGGGGACCAAAGGGUAAAACACAAGCGUUUAAGGGUGUAAAAUGCUAAAAAAUCUCACCUAAGCUCUUCUUAAAAAAACUUUGUAGUUUGGUAUAACGUUGAGGGGGGUCAUAGAGGAUUGAGUAGUUAAACAAUUAAGUAGUUAUGUGAGGACUCUCUCUGAAUAAAGAUUUUUAGAACUGAUAUUUAUUUAAAAACAACAAAGAAAACAAAAGACACUCCAUGAAUACCACAUAUUUUGUGAACAAAUAAAAAUUUAUGCUCAACAUAGUCUAACCGAUAUUUGUUUGCUGAAGAGAGGUGAGAUGCGUAGCAUUCCCAACUUUAGAUGCUUGAGACUUCUUGAAUUAUUUAUUUUGGGUGCCUUGGACAUCCCCAAUCUUGAGAUUUUGUAUCUCCUUCAAGUCUUUCAUAUCCCGGCUUCACCUAUGUCUCAAAAACUUCAUCCACAAAAAAACUCAAAAAGAACUCGUAAGUUAGGUUAGUACAUAUAAGAAUAAAUCAACACUUCAUGUACUGUAAAGACAUGUUACAUAAUAAUUUUAAACAUUAGUUAUUGUAUACUUUUAUUUCCAUAAUUUAUAUCUACUAAUAUAAGUCAUGAAAACUCUAGGAUAAGUGGAUAAUAAAAUUAUGACAACAAUAUGUCCAAACAAAACCGUAUAUAACAAUUAAUUCUAAAAAUGUAUUUAUGCAUCUUCAAAAAUUAUAAAAAUUUAGGACAUGAUAACGAAUUUAUAUCAGGGUACUGCAUAAACAUUUCAUAAAGUUUGAGCGUGCGAGUAAAAUCUGAUAAUUCAAAUACUACAACAAACGGUUAUAUUUUUGUACAACACAUAUUACGCAUGCAAUUCAUGCAUUCUAAAGGCCAUUCUUGGUACUUUUUAUUAAAAACUAAGAUAAUAAAUAGAAGCAAACAAAUAUUAACAAAAUCAAAUGACGCUCAAAACAAAACACAUAUCAUGUGACGAAUAAAAAAAUAGUUCAAAUAAGAUAUACCAAUAAUAUUGGAGAAGAAAGAGGUGAUGUCCUUUUCAGGAAUCCUCAAGCUUAGACACUUGAGUCUUCCUUUAAUAUUACCUUGGGGGUGCCUUGGACAUCCCUAAGCUUAGGUUAUUGUUGUUCUUUAGGGGGCUCGUGACCGUUUUGGAUUGGCCAAUGUAGCCGUUCGGCUUACAACUCAGAUGUUCAUUGUUCGGGAACUGGGCCUGGCCCAAAGGCCACGCACGAGGCGGUAAAGCCAGUUAGCGUGGGAGGCACGCGGGUAGCCUCUUUCGUUUCCUAAACUUACAUUAAAUGGGUACUUAUCCCUUCAUCCAACAUCCCAAUAUAAACAGAGUAGAGGUUAUUAUUGAAACAAACUUCCUGGUGUUCUUUGACUCUGUGUGUUCGACUACUUCGUCUACGACGCCCGCUCUCGCUCCGCAACCUUGGACCGGACUCGCCGACAGGAGUUGCGGAACACGUUAUGAGCACGCUUUGCUCCACCAACUCUCCAUCGAGCCUACAUCAAGCCUGCAUCAAGCAUGCUCUCGUCGAUCGCAAAGAGGUAUAAAUCCAAUCCCCCUCUUUGCAAAAAUGGAUUCCCCUCGUUAUCACGGUUUCGAUUUUGCGAUUAGUUUACUUUUUCGGAUUUAAUCUACCUAUGGUGUGGAUUUCUCUCACAUGAACUCGCUGACGAACACGUCGCCGAUCAAUGUCGAUGUUCAUGGAUUACGAGAGAUUUGUUGAAUACACCUAGGGAGACGGUGAUGAGAAGUACUCCAGAUGAGCACGACACCGCCGCGACGUACCGGAUGUACACUCGCCGUGACGUCCGUCAGCAUGUUUAGUUUUUUUGGAAUGCUACAGUAGCCGUCGUCGCCGUACACCCGCAGUUGCACCGACCACGCCCGCUAGCCGUCGUCGCCGGACACCGCCCUCGGCCGCACCGACCGACACACCAGCCACUGGCCCUGCUGGCCAGCUCGUGAUGCGCUAUGCUCAGGUGGCUGGCCGACUCGAGCUCGUGCUGCAUGCUGCACCAUGGCUGGCUCGCUGGCUCGCCGCGCCGUGCCAUGGUGGCUGGCUCCGGCUCGGGCUGCGUCGUGUGCUGUCGGCUGGCCAGCCCUCGCCGCGCCCUGCUGGCUGGCUCAGGCUCGGGCUGCGCCGUGNNNNNNNNNNNNNNNNNNNNNNNNNNNNNNNNNNNNNNNNNNNNNNNNNNNNNNNNNNNNNNNNNNNNNNNNNNNNNNNNNNNNNNNNNNNNNNNNNNNNAUGUUGGACAAAAGCAGGCUGCGCUGCAGGCGCUGCAUGAUCUCAUUACAUCAAAGAGAUACAGAUCAUGGCAAAAGCCUCUUGAGAAGAUCAUGAUGAAGUAUGUGGAGCUGUGUGUUGAUCUAAGGAAGGGCAGAUUUGCCAAAGAUGGCCUUAUUCAGUACAGAAUUGUCUGCCAGCAAGUCAACGUGUCAUCUCUGGAGGAGGUCAUAAAACACUUUAUGCAGCUGUCCAAUGAGAAAGCUGAGGAAGCCAGGAAUCAGGCACAAGCACUGGAAGAUGCUCUGGAUGUCGAAGAUCUUGAAGCUGACAAGCGUCCGGAGGACUUGAUGCUCAGUUAUGUUAGCGGAGAGAAAGGCAAGGACCGAUCAGACAGGGAGUUUGUUACUCCAUGGUUUAAGUUUCUGUGGGAGACAUACAGGACAGUGCUCGAGAUACUGAGAAAUAAUUCAAAGCUUGAAGCACUAUAUGCUGUAAGCUAUUUUACUGCUUUGCCAUUACCUUAGUGCUCACUUCAUAUGUAGGUAUGUUUUUUAGAUCUGUCCUUUUGAAUGGAGUUCUUGUGAAAUAGACUAUUUGAUUCCUUCUGCACAUACUUGACCAAUUCACUCUAUCGGUACCCUUUUCUUUCCUUUGAUGAAAAGAAACCUGUAGUAUGGACUUUGUUCCAUGAACAUAGUGUUCUUUUACAUGAUAAUUUGUCUGGUUCUUUUGCUACCCUACCUAACUUUGUAAGAACUAAUAACGAUUUGUUUCCUUUUGUUACWAAGCUUACCAAUGCAUUAUGUAACUACUGUCAUUUACCUUCUGUUUUUAUUGUCUUACUAAAUGCUUUUCACCAGCUGAUCUAACAUUGACUUUUCAAUAUGCAGAUGACUGCGCACAAGGCUUUUCAAUUUUGUAAGUCAGUAUAAAAGAUACCACCGAGUUCCGUAGGUUGUGUGAGAUCAUUAGAAACCAUCUUGCAAAUUUGAACWAAUAUACGCGACCAGCGUGAUCGUCCUGAUCUGACUGCCCCCGAAAGCCAUCCUUAACAAUUGGACCUUGUUGCACCUGGUAACAAACAUUCACUAAACCAUUUACUCAAGGUACAUGUCCAGAUAGCUCAAAAUGUGGAUAAUUAGCUCUAGGUAUGUACUGGCUUAUGUGUCUUGGACUAUAUUAGACGGCUUACACAGUGUAAGCCAAGAUCCUAUUCACGUGCACUUGGCUUACUUAUAAGCUGAGAUCAAAACAAUGUCUCUUGGCGAAAUAAAGCAGCACGAUGGUCGUGUGAGCUAACGGUGGUGUCAAAUGGCACCUUUGUAAGCCGAGUGUACCACUUGGCUUAAGUUUCUCUCUAAGCCGAGUAUCGUAGGCCCCACAUGACGUAUACAUAUCCCGAGAGUCGUAAAUAAUUCAAUCUUAAAAUAGACGUACUUAAUUGCGUUAUCUAUUUUGAAAUGUUUCAGUACCCACGAGAGAGAAGUUAAUUUGCUAGAUUUAUUUAUGAAAAUUUACAAUGUUGAACUAAAAUGAUCAUUUUUUGAGUAAGAGACAUAAUAUCAUGGAUUUAGAGUCAUGAAAUUUCCAGCAUCAAAAUCAUACAUAUUCACUUCCACUUAAAAUUUGAAAUUUGGGAAAUCAUGCUUUCCUAUAAAUAAUUCUAAGUUUUUUAUCACAGAAUUGUAAAAAUUUCCUAUGAGAGACAUAAUUUUCCAAAGCUAGUAACAUACAAUUUAAGUCAAAUUCUUAAAAGUAAUGACUUAGUAUCACUGAAUGUUUUUCUAACAUUAAGUACUUAAAUUAGUACGAGUAAUAUAUUUUCAAAAAUGAUUCACAGAAUUAGUAUAAUAAAUUUAUCUGCUUCUUAUAAGAAAUAUAAUUCCUUGGAUUUAGUAUAUUGCCAUUUCACCAGCUUUGUAUCAUGGAAUCCCACAAUAAUUCAAAUUACAAAAUAUUCUAAACUUUCAUGAAUUUCAAUGAGAAAUUUUCUUACUGUUCUCUUAGAAAUAGUACCAUGAAAUUCUCAGCUUCCAUUGAAGAGACACCGUUUCCUAGCUAGAUAUAAUAUCACGAAACACGAAAAACUACUCUGUGUUUAUUUUAAAAUGGUGGAGCUGGACCGAAGCCAACAUCCUGGAAAGGAUGCUAAACUCUGACGUUGCGACGAUUGCUAGAUAAGAUCGAAGGGUUGGCGUUUCCACUCCAUGUGACCAAGAUCUCCAUGACCGACGUAAUGAUAUUGACUACCACCUACACAACUUACUGUCUAUUCCUAGCAAAUUAGGAACUUAGACAUGUGUAACAUAAGUCAACUACUCAACUACAAGUAUUCAUCACCGUCUGUUGUUCAUCGUAAUUCACAUGCAUGCAAUCUGGACGAGCCAACUGAAUCAUAUUCAGCCAACAAUUCCAUGUAAUUAUUGUGUGAAAAGCAAGGUGUGACAAUUUAAGUGCACAAUGAAGUACCUAUACAGCAGGAUAAAAGCUAUCCCAAAUUUAGGAGUAUCAUAUGUGCAAACAUAACAUUUUGAUCGGUAGAUGGCAUUUUAAUAUGGAAAAUAACAAGUGCAGCCUAUGAUCCCCAUUUAACGCGAUUAAUGCCCAAUGAUUUUGUAAUUAGGCAUAGCGGGGAGUUAGUUAGACUAGUGUCAUACAUAUGACACUAGUCUAGGUUACUACCUUCAUAAUGCAAAGUAUCAUAUAUGGUUUCAUUUAUUAGGUUAUAGACCUUGCUUUGUGUUGCGUUAUGUGACGAUAACAUAUUAUCUUAGCACACACACUUAUAUCCUCAUUAUGCACAACUCAGCCCAAUCCAUGGUGCAACAUCCUCUUUUAGUCCACAUUUUAAAGAGGUUAAUUUCUUUAAUUAUUACACAAUCCAUGGUGCAAUAYUCUCCUUUUUAAGGAUGCAUGGCAGCAGCACAAUCCCUCCCUCCUUUUCUUUAAUCAUGCAUGCAUGCCCAAUUCAUGGUGCAAUGUUCUUCUAUUUUAACCACAUGCAUGAGACGCCCCAUAAUUAAUUCCUCUUUUGACCAUGCAUGCCCAAUCAAUGGCAACGUUCUGCUUUAACUAUGCAGGACAGCCCCAUAAUUCCUCUUUUAAUCGAAUGAUGAAAUUUCCUGCACUAAUCAUGCAUACWWUUUUUGAUUUCUUGUUGGUCUCCGUUCUCAAUUGAGAUUUCUGUCGGAAGGACUAUUAAUCGUUGCCGCGGACGAUGAACAAAAGUAGGCUGGUUGAACCCUUUACUUCUUAUAAUUAUCGGGUGGGCGAAAGAAAAAUUCAGAGAAAUGCACUGUCCUUUAUUAUUAGGUAUAGAUAUGCAAUUGUACAAAUAAGUCGAAAGGGUGCUAGCUUUAAUAAUAAUAUAUUUGAGGUUUUGCCAAAAAAUGUUACAAGUUUGCACAGUUUAAUAUGUAUUUUCAUUCAUAAAUAGAUAAACUUUGGAUGGKAUAAUUUUUUCCCUUUUUUUCGCCAGAUAUUAUAAUUAUUCUAUUUCAAAACAGAUGACAUCUUUAGUUUUCAUUUUCCCCAGUAUGAAAUUUUGGCAGUUAUAUAUAGGCACACAAUUACAAAAAUACUGUGAAUAUAUUUUCGUGGCAAAUCAAAAGAUAUAAUUUCAGCUUCCAUUACAGUAGGUUUAAUAUAUUUUUAUCACGAGGGCUUGGUUAUUUUUUGGUAGAAAAACAAAUGAAAAGGUCCUUUCUCCAAAGACAAUAAAAUACGUACAUAUGCGCCUGAACUUGUCCUUGAGGUGUUGCUUGUGAUCACUGUUGGUGACACGGAAGUAGAAAUCURGRAACGUGCUCUGCUCCAACACGKUGCUAGGGUUGGCCGUUCCUAUGGCCAAGAUGGAGGCCGUGCCCAUGGCCUUCUUCUGCCCAUGCACCCUAGGCACCUCACCCUGGCUACCCAUGCCUACGUCUACACUGGCUUCCUGAGCGUAAUGCUAGCUUCAAGAUGGAGGUUGUGCUUGGCUUCUCAACUCAUGGAGCUUAGCAUGCCUAUUUAUAAGGGGCUGCAUGUAUUGAUGGUAGGUGUGNNNNNNNNNNNNNNNNNNNNNNNNNNNNNNNNNNNNNNNNNNNNNNNNNNNNNNNNNNNNNNNNNNNNNNNNNNNNNNNNNNNNNNNNNNNNNNNNNNNNCUUUUCUUCUUUUCCCUUUUUGCUUCAGACAUUUUGUACUCGGUGGAGACUUUUUUGGCUAAUAAUAUAUGGCCGUAUGCAUCACUCGAUGCAGAGGCCAGGGCUCGACCUCCUUUUCUAAAAAAAAGGCGUAUUUAAAGCAAGCAGAAAAGUUAUAAAGUUUUAGGAAUACAGUAAUUGCUCUGUCGACUACCAAGCAUAUAGAGGACAUCUUGGAGCAGAAUUUCUCCCUCGGCCAACAACAGUCUAUUAUUYCCUUCCAUGAAAUUCAGCCAAGCAAAUAGACAGCGAGGUAGUAUUUUGGUACCAACAUGCCAAGCUAGCGGAAUUCUUCACAGGAAAACAACAACUUAUACGUAGAGCUCACUGCACUAUGUACCAACAUUCCGAUAGCAGGUUUAUUUAAUCAUUUAUACGUAUGUGCAGCUCGAUCCAAUCCAAUCUAAAGGGGGAUAGGGUCGAGGAAGAGCGCCUUGACGAGGUCCUUGGCGUGGCUGCCAAAGGUGAAGCCGUCCCUGCCGUGUAGAUAGAUAACCUCAGACAUUCCGGCUAUGUUCACCACCAGCUGCGCUGCCGGCAGCAGCGCACGGUCGAUCUCCAUACAAGUUCGGUUCAUCACCCUCCACAUGUGCUCGGUCAUGGCGGCGAUCGCCGCCACGGCCUCCUCCCCCGUGCAGCCCUUCUCCAGCAUGUAGCACUCCACGGUGCUAACCACAUCUUUCUUGUUCUUCCCCAACCUGCAUAUAGUAGGGUCAACGCAUGGGUUGUCAAAUGUCAUGAAUGAAUUUUCUUCCUUUUUUGUGGUUUGAAAAUUCUUUCUUUUUAUUUUUUCUKKAAAUUUAUAAAAUAAAAAUGAAGAAUUUGUAUGGAAUUUUUUGGAUGAACAUAUGUAUACAUGUACCUUAUAUGAAGAGAUGUCGUUGAGGAAGCGGACGAUGAGUGCACCCGCUCGAACCACGUCGGGACGGCACGCUCACCCAMUCAAAUACCUCUUGGGUUGCGACUUUGCUAUCAUAACCCAUCAGGGCCAUGACGACAAACAUAGGUAUGCCAGAGGACAUGCCAGAUAUCCCUAUGUGUUCCUCAAAGGUAGGACGGUGCUUGUUAUUUGUCCAUUCUGCCUCCUGCAUAUAGUAUUCCGACUGCAGUUGGAACUGCACUCACAAUAAUUUAAGACAUGCCCUUAGUUUGGAACUCUUGCCAAAAUAAAUGAUGUUUAGCUACUUUUAAGGAGGAAUUUUGAGUACUACACUUUACUACUAUAGUAUAUGCACAUAACGCAUAAAUUAUACAGACUUAGUUUUUAAGUACCAGUCCAGAUACUUGAAACAAGUAACUUCAAAUAUUAUAAAGUUUGACUGUACAUGUUGUAUACUCAGAAUGUCACUUCUUUAUGAACGGAGGUAGUACAAUCUUAUUAAUCAUUUAUAUGUUAAAAAUAAUAAAGGAAAAUACCAUGAUGUAUGGAACCUGGAAGAAAUUGGACAACCUGAAUGUGGGUAGAAGGUUAUGCGAGAAAGAAAAUGAUUAAGGAGAAAAUUAAUAGUAUAGGUGUGUGGAAGGGAUAAACUUUUCAUCAAGUACAAAAAAAUCAGCAUAUGUGCAUACGGCUUUCUUAGCAUAAGACAUGCGGUACUUCUCAUGUGGUUCUAGAAGAUCCCCAAAUUCUUUGAAAUUGCUUAGGGUUUUGAGGUAUAGCGUGUGUAGGUAUUCGGGUAGAAUAGAAACUGCGCUUUCAUCCAACCUGCAGAUAAAAACAAUACGUGUAAAUAAAAGCUUGAAUUUAGGUAGUCAAAUUAUAUCCUGCAUUUUUUGGAGGAGGUGCUAUAGAGGUCUACUAAAUGCCAAUUAUAAGGUCCCUUCAAUUACGUCAAAAUAAGCGAGUUACUUCUACAUAUGUACCUUUGCAUUGCUUGGUUGAGACUAUGACACUCAUCUAUGGUGGCAUGGACAUCAAAAGUAUCGUCCAGAAAUGAGGCAAUUCCAAAAAUCUUCGCGAAAAAACAAGCGUGCACGAGAGUGCUCCUCUUCAGGAAGCAUUCCACAGCUCCAAGAGUAUAUCUCCACCAUACGGUCCCGAGUGUACGUCAGAUUUACAGUAUCGUAAAGCUCCCUCCACCACCUGCAUGUUAGAAAAUUUAACAUCGCCAAUUUACCUCGAAUAAGUCUUUACUUCCCAGUGGUGAUUUCUUCUCCCAAUUAUCUUUGGAGGAUUAUCGCUGCAUGCAUCAUUGCAAUGCAGAGUCGGGGGCAGCUAGCCCUCCUUUUCAAAAAAAUAUCUUUGCAGGAUAGUAAUAGAUUUCUUCUUUUAAUUAAUAUUAGCAGGUUCUAUCUGCAUAACUUGUGUAAAUGUAUUUGAUCUAGAAAAAAACUCCCAAUUUCUAAGCCUCAAGAGGUCUAUGUGGGACUCGUUUUAAAUUUAUAAUUCUCAACUUCACCCCAUCGAUCAACAAACAUGCAACUCAUUAUUUAUGUUACUAGAAUUGGCAGCUAUGUUUUUAGGUAUGAAACAAUAUGGAUUGGAUUCAAAGUUGGUACACCGGUUAGCAUUUUCUUAAAUUUAGAAAAAACUAUGAAAUCAAUCACACACCAUGGUAUUGGUAAGAAACUUGCAUGUGUAAAUUUCAUAAAAUAGAAAAAACAUGUGUGGCUUGAAAAUGAGAAAUUGAGAGUGGUUUGGUUUCAGUUUCAAAACUAAGACUNNNNNNNNNNNNNNNNNNNNNNNNNNNNNNNNNNNNNNNNNNNNNNNNNNNNNNNNNNNNNNNNNNNNNNNNNNNNNNNNNNNNNNNNNNNNNNNNNNNNCUAUCGGUCUCUUUCGAUGAUUUUCUGAUAUAUCAAUUAAUGAAAAACUUAGCAAAUCAUUUUCCUGUCGGGCAGGGUUUGGAAGCGGUUCAAGUGCGUGACUCCCGAUAUCGAGCAUGAGAAGCUGACCUUUAGAGCGGCUCAGGUAAGUAGUAGUAUGAUAUACUUCUAUUUUUCAAUACAUUUAUGAUGCUAGAUUAUUAUUUUGAUUAUAUAUAUUCUAUUCUCGUAAAGUGCGACCAGCAGCCACGGGGGACACAUCUAUGCGGAUACUAUGUUUGCGAGACCAUUCACAUGUUUACCUCUGAGCACAAGGAUUACAGAUACGACGUAAGCAAUGAACAUUCACACCUCUAUUUUUACCCGUCAUUCUUUGUUAUCAUGAUUGAUAUUCAUAUUCAUCUCCUCUUCUUAUAUAGUACACGGCCAUGAGGUAGAAGUACCUACCAGAGCAACGCGCGAUUGCUGUUGCAGAGGAGCUUGCGACCUUUCUGAGGACGGAAGCUAUAGAUGACAAAGGACGAUUUAGUGUAGCUAGGGGCCAUUACUGAUGUUGGUCCAUGUAAUCGAAUAGACGGGCUCUAGUCUCGAUAAUUCAGAUCUCCAUAUAAUUGUAUAUAUAUGCUCGCUUGUAAGAUGAGUUAAUCUUAUAUAUAUAUAUAUGCAUAAACAUGUAUAUUUAGAAUUAUAUGAAAACUAAUUCCCGAACACCAAACGAGGCAUCACGUUAAUCUCCCGAACACCUAAACCCUAAAACCCUAAAAUAAACAAAAUCUGCAGAAACUCUUUAGUCCCGGUCCAUGUUAAGACCCGGGACUAAAGGGCCUGCCCCUGAGGGCGCUCCGAGGCGUCCACAUGGAGCACCUUUGGUCCCGGCUUGGAACAGGGCCGGGACUAAAGGUUAGGCCUUUAGUCCCGCCUCUUUGGUCCCGGUUGGUGAACCGGGACUAAAGCCCCUUACGGGCCGAGACUAUAGGCCCUGUCCCCACUAGUGAUACACAGGGAAACCUAUUUUUUUUUCAAAGGAAGGCCACAAAGCGCCAAAUUUUCAUUCAGCUCAAUAGCAUUGAUUUAUUUGUGUAAUAAUACUAAUAUGGUGCAGGUUCACUAACUAGAGUCAGAAAUUGUUUUUCAAAACAUUUUUACACAUGAAUUUCAUAUAUUGAUCUCUAUGUUUCAGCCAAGUGAAAGUUGCUGUAUAUUCAAGUGGCUUUCAUCACUUAUUCAACAUGUUUAUAAUUUAUUUAACUUACUCAUAUUAUUAAUGUUUGUGACGGGGGAUAAUUGAUGUGGAAUUUCACUCGAGAAAGUGAACUCUAAUGGAAUACAAUAGAGAAAUUAAUAGGGGUCAACUCUAUUGAACACCCACAUAUUUUUUCUGAGACACCAGAAGAUGAAAGAAUUUGGUUCGUUUUGUAGCAUCGGCUCUGCACACUGUUGACCCACAUGAUUAAGGUCGUAAGUUGAUCUCGGACAUACAAUCUAAUCAUGACACAUGACUCACACAUGUGUGCUAGGGACUAGUAUAUUUAGACUAAAAAAAACGCAAUGUUUUAUCGUGGUUGGUAACAUUGCUUAGGAGUCAUAUAAAUGUUUCCGAAAAACCGGUGAAAUAAUAAAACACUUACGCACCAUAGAAAAGAAGACGAAUUAGACGGUAGACCGGAUAACCUAUAAUCCUCGUGGGGAGAGGCGCGGACGCGGCGAGGUCUUGCGCUCGUUGGAGGCACCCCGUCACAUCGAUGGCAUGGAUCUACGAGAUGGAGAUCCUGGUCGGGUGCCGGGGGUGGUCUGGUGGAUGCGCGGGGUGGCCAAGGAGGAGCACGUGCACGAGGCCUAUGACAAGGAUGGCGUAGAAUUAGAUCGGCUCGUCGACGAGGCGCACACCGACGAAGACAAGCAUCUCAUCAAGGGUGUGCCUGCAAGGUGCUCGAGAGAAUGUCUAAAAGAGAUGGGUGACUCACCUGGGCGUUUGGGUACCCGAACCCGCUACCCGAACCCGAACAGAACCGAAUUACCCGGGUAUCGGGUAAGGKUCGGUUCUCAUUUCUUGACUAUUCGGUUUUCGGGUUAGGGUUCGGGUUCUAGUGUGGAAAACCCGAAAUACCCAUACUAUUCAAAUUAUUCAUACUGUCCAAAAUUUUCAUGAUAUUAUUACACUAACUUGUUACCCAUACUAACUGAAAUACCCAUAUUACCAAAAAUACCCAUACUAUCCGAGUUAUUCAUAUCAAAAGUUGAUGUAUGCUCCGAAUAUUUGGNNNNNNNNNNNNNNNNNNNNNNNNNNNNNNNNNNNNNNNNNNNNNNNNNNNNNNNNNNNNNNNNNNNNNNNNNNNNNNNNNNNNNNNNNNNNNNNNNNNNCGCAAUUAAGUACGUCUAUUUUUUUAAGAUUGAAUUAUUUACGACUCUCGGGGAUAUGUAUACGUCAUGUGGGGCCUACGAUACUCGGCUUAGAGAGAAACUUAAGCCAAGUGGUACACUCGGCUUACAAAGGUGCCAUUUGACACCACCGUUAGCUCACACGACCAUCGUGCUGCUUUAUUUCGCCAAGAGACAUUGUUUUGAUCUCAGCUUAUAAGUAAGCCAAGUGCACGUGAAUAGGAUCUUGGCUUACACUGUGUAAGCCGUCUAAUAUAGUCCAAGACACAUAAGCCAGUACAUACCUAGAGCUAAUUAUCCACAUUUUGAGCUAUCUGGACAUGUACCUUGAGAAAUGGUUUGUGAAUGUUUGUUACCAGGUGCAACAAGGUCCAAUUGUUAAGGAUAAAAUACCCUUUCAUAUUUGUAUGGAAUUUUGGAAAUGGUAAUUAUAGAGAACCCCUCUUCACUAUUCUGUAUAAAUAGACUAUUCUAUUUGUAUAGAUACGGUAGAGGGAUGUAUCCAACCCUCUUUAUCUGCUAGUUAUCCCUCUUUAGUUUAAGAGGAUGGAUUAGUUUGGUACCUCGCAUAAGGCUCAUAACUUUUGGGGGUUGCGGGUUUGAUUCUCACUACCAGCUCCUGGUGGGACCAAAAAAAUUUCAUGUGUUAAAACGCUUGGCCUGAUUUCAAAAUUGUCAAGAAUUUUAUAGGUUGUUUUUAUUGCAAAAUGAUGAGUCUCCUUUCAUAGCUUUCCAAUUACGAGUAUGAGAAUUUAAAAUCAUGAAAAUUCUCGACACCCGUCUUACAAUAAGCCAAGGUUGAUCUCGCAUUAGCCGAGUAUGUCUCAUACUACUCUGCUUUAUUAAAUUUUACAUGUAGUUUAUGUAAGCAAAACUUAGCUACCGUAGUCAACUUUYCYAUAAAGUACCGAAAUAUUAGAGCGUUUAGGCUAAGUCAUGUUGGAAGCAACUUAGCUAGUAACGUAACAGAUUUUAAAAAAAACUUAAUGUGUCAUGUAAUGAGAAGAGAGGUGUUUAAAGUAACAUACUACGAGUAUGUUAUUGUAACAUAGCGACUUCGAUAAAAGAUAAGUCUACAAGCUAAUAAAUAAAUCCAUCUAUGACAUUAGUACAAUGUUCUUUUGCACUAUGAAUGGAGUAACUUAGACUAGUGUCAUAUGUAUACUCUUGACUAUGAUCAGUCUUGAUAACUAGUACUCAGUGGCGGAGGUAGCAAUCUGGCAAGGUUUGGCCUCCGCCACACCUUAAAAAUCCCAGCUUCAAGCUAUAUGCACGAUCAUAUAAAGGAAAGCUUCAAUCUCAUGAUGAUGUGUGACUGGCCGCUUGCAUCUGCCGUACCUAAAUAAAAGUUCUGCCUCCGCUACUGCUAGUACUAGUACAAAAAAGGAACUGCUAGUCUUAAAUCUGUGCCGCCAAUAAGAUCUUAUAUCUGUAUGUAUUCACCUACACUCAACGGUAAAAACUGCAGGUGAGAAAUCGACCAUCAAGAAGCGGCACCUCUACAUCAACGAGGCACUGCUGGCUGCUAAUCCUGAGAUGGCCACGUACAUGGCGCCUAGCCUGGACAUGCGGCAGGCCAUCAUCUCCGAGAAGGUCCCAGAGCUCGGCGCCGCUGCGGCCACCGCUGCGCUCAAGGNNNNNNNNNNNNNNNNNNNNNNNNNNNNNNNNNNNNNNNNNNNNNNNNNNNNNNNNNNNNNNNNNNNNNNNNNNNNNNNNNNNNNNNNNNNNNNNNNNNNGAGGUAGUUCUUAUAACUACGUCAAGGAUCGCGAUAUUCAUCACAUGUGCGGUAUAUUGGACACCCGAUCACACGAUCCUAUGUGACAUAUUCAGAAGAGGCAGCACAUAGGAUUCUGUGUGGACGAACAUUAGAAUUGCCCACAUGUCCGGACGUAGCUACUUCGUGUCACGCGUACGACAACAACUACUCAUCACGAACUCGCACGUGUGGCACGAAGCAAUUUUACGCUGAUAUUUUAUGGCAACUUUAUUUAUCCUGGGGAUGUCAACUUCUCUAUUUUCGUUAACUACCGUUGCCAUGUUUAAUUAACGAUAGUUGCCACGUAUGAUCAAAUCAUAGUUGUCAUGCAUGGUCAAUCGUAGUUGUUAUGUGUGAUUAACUAGUUGUCACAUGUGGUCAAAUCAUAAUUGUCAUAUAUAAUCAAUCAUAGUUGUCAUGUGUGAUUAACUAGUUGCCACAUAUGGUCCACCAUAGUUGUCGUGCGUGAUUAACUAGUUGUCUGACAUGCACAAACUGUAGUUGUCAUCUGUCAUUGUACGAGUGUCAUGCGGGUGAGCAGUUCACCCACACGGCGUGGACUGGAUGGUGUCCGUGUGAACGAGGACCGGUUCACCCACACAACGUGGACUUGACUGUGUCCGUGUGGAUAAAGAUCGGUUCAUCCACACGACGAAGCUGACAACCGCUUGUUGCACGUCGUGCAAGGCUGUGUGGGCAAGCGUGCGAACCCCCCACACAACACACUACGCCUAUGGAACACUCCAAUUUCGUCAGAAAUCGUCAAGAUUCGUGCAAACCAGAACGUACGAAGAUUAAGAUGUGUAAACAAAGUGUAGAAAUGCCACACAUGUGGGCGCUAUCAUUUGGGUUCGCCAAUUAGGUUGUUUUGUUGGACGAUUUGUCCAUGUGUUUAAUCUUUUUUUCUCGAUAAUGGAAAGAUUGCAGUGUGUUCUAAAUACUGUUGUUUACAUUGUGGUACUAUUUCUGGUGUACCAACUCAAGAAAGGAGAAGUGAUCCCCAGUGAACUUUUUGACCCAAUGAGCUUCUGCAAGUGGUGAAACCAUGAGACAGAAACAAUGGAAGUUGUGUUACUACAAAACAAGACCAGUGAGGGAGGAUCCCUGCGGCAGUUCGAUACGGAAGAAGGUGUGGACACUGAACUCAAUCCACAACAUAAUAAUACCUCUAUCCGGGAUUGUAAGGCAGGCACGGGUUUUAGUGUUCAAGUUGCCUAAUGAAAUGUAUAAUAUGCCACCAUAAGUACAUGUUUAGAAACUUCGUUCGACGGUGAAUCCAAUGAUGCACAUUGGUGACAUAUAACACACAUGUAACGGCAACAAGUCCACGAACAUUGUAAAAGAGGAAACUCUACAUGGAUCUUCUCAAUGCCACGGGAAAGACGCGGCUGGUCGGGCAUUUUUAGGAAAUUAAAAGAGAUUAUAAUGCCACUGAAAGUUUCAUGUGUUUCAUCAANNNNNNNNNNNNNNNNNNNNNNNNNNNNNNNNNNNNNNNNNNNNNNNNNNNNNNNNNNNNNNNNNNNNNNNNNNNNNNNNNNNNNNNNNNNNNNNNNNNNUAACCCCCUCUGUCUCGCGGCUCCACCUCUGUUCGUGUCAUUCCAAUUUUCUCUUCUCGAAUUUGUUCCUCUGUUGAUUUCCGUUGCCUCUUGUAAAAUCACCAAGGCGCAUGUAUAUAAAGUGAUGAAAUUAUCUGUGAAGUAUCGAUGUGGGAUUAUGAGGGCAGAAGCGAUAUCCCUCUCAUGUGUUUUUUUUGUCAGCCCAGAUGCGUUUCUCUUAUCCAAUGCCAUAGGGGCUCUCUGCAAAAAUUAAACGUUUUCCUGUUCGUAACACAUAAAAAGGUACCGCGGGUUUAAUUACCUAAAAGACAGUGGCUUUUUUGAAAAACGGCAGCGGUGGGUUUUCUGACGGAAGCAAUAGCCUCUUUAUUAUUAUUAUUAUUAUUAUUAUUAGGUAAAGAUAAAAAAUUUCUCAAGUAAAUAAUGUCACAGAAGGUUAAUACGUUUCAAUAAAAGCGUCUUUGCAUUUUGAUCAAGAAUCGAUGCUAUUUCUUAAGGAGAAGGGAAAUAGACUUACUCUUAUAGUAUCAUUGCCCGUAUCUUUAGAUUUUUGCCUGUGACCAAGUUCAACAAAUUUAUUAAGAUGGGUAGCGACAUCUUUAUUGUACGAGGCCGUCUAGUUUUUCAGCCAACAAAUAGUUCCGAAGCAUACCAAAAAAAACCAUAAUAAUAGCUGUGCUUUUCUAAGGGAAAGCAUCGUUGUCAGGCCGCAUUUUUUGUUCUCACAUGGGUUACAAUCGGCUUCCGGGCUGAAAUUCGCGUCCAUUUCUGGUCCCAUAGACCCAUUCGAACAAAGGCCGAAUCAUUCGACGCCGAUACAAAACCCAACUUGGGCCCUGACGACCUUCUAAAAAAAAUAACUGGGCCCUGACGACAUUUGCGCAACCCCCCGUUGCUUCCAGCGAAAUUACCCCGUCCCGCUGGCGAAAGCACCACCUCUGGAACGGCACAGGGAGACCCACAGCCCGAUCCCAGCCGCCCGCCUCCCCCAUCGGACGGCCCACAGGGGCCAGUCGCCCGCAAAACGUGCGCCGAGAGAUGUGGCUGUGGCAUGAGGAAAAUUCUGCUAACACCCCCCGCGUCUUGCUCAUUUCGCUAUGCACCCUCGUCCCGUCUCGCGCCCCACGCAACCCUAAUAAACCCUCCUCCUCCCGGCCGCCGCCACAUCCACUCCCCCCNNNNNNNNNNNNNNNNNNNNNNNNNNNNNNNNNNNNNNNNNNNNNNNNNNNNNNNNNNNNNNNNNNNNNNNNNNNNNNNNNNNNNNNNNNNNNNNNNNNNCAUGGUUGUCAAAAAACUUGGUAACUCAAAGAAUUAUUCUGAAUUUCAAUUUUUUUAAAUAUACUAUAAUAUUUCGAUUCACCCCGACAACUAAUUCUUCAAAAUUUACUCAGGUAUAUAAUCAAAAAGACUCAGAAGCAUUACCAUUUAACUGCAUACAUUCAAUCAUUCGUGAACAUUUUUAAAAUCGAGAUUUUUUUACUAUGUAUAAACAUUUCUUUAAAAUUCCAAACAAUAUUUUAAAUUACGAACUGUUUUCAAGUAUUUUCUUGUGAAUUGGCGAAUAAUUUAUUUAUUAAAAAUUAGCCAGCUUUUAUGUUGACCAGUGGGCAGUUCUACAACCAUUUGAAUUAAAACUAAAACUGAGCCAUCCACAUAGUUUUAGAACACAGAUAGAAAACACACUCUUAAUUUCACAGAACGUUUUUUUGCAUAAACACCAAAAAUAAGAAUAACAGGAGGAUCACUCCCGGCUCCAUUUUCAUCACGAAGCCCAUGACCAUAGGCACCAACAGCAUCUCUUGAGAAGCAGUACUGAAAAUAUUACAAAACAGAAUCAUGGAUUCAUGAUGCAUCAAAGGCAAACAUCAGAGAUAGUAAAUCUUAUAGGAUCUGAACAGCAGCACCUCUUUAGAUGGAGACAGUUGGACGCUUCCCCCCUUGGUGGUAAAGAAGGCCAGAGGUAGCUGUCCAAGAUUGAUAUAUUGGUGCAGAGGAGCUAUGCUAAAUUUGUGGACAGGCGGUAACACGAAAUAGAAACAGAACGAAUGGGGCUGGAAUCCCCUACCUAUUUCAAUCUCUGCACACUGCACGGUAUGAAGAUCCAAACGAAAAUUACAGGAAUUAACUUUCUUUGCUGAGAAAUAUUAAAAUGCCAUAAGAAGCUGGUGGUGACCAGGUUCAGAUGGAGAGAACCAAGAAUCCCAUUGCAUUCAUAUUCAACCAAGAAGUGACCUUAAUGAUGAUAUGGUUUGCAGUAGAGAAUACAGAAUUCACACUUUGAGAGCAAAAAUUAGUGACUCAAAUACUGCAUCGUUGAAGCUCUUCAGAAAAUUGGUGAGCAGAUGAACCCACGUUCUUGCCCCUUCUCCUCAUUUGUUGCUGGAUGCUAUAAGAACACCACCUUGGCUGAAMUCUGCAUCAGGUCAAUUGCCAUGAAACUAUCUCCAUNNNNNNNNNNNNNNNNNNNNNNNNNNNNNNNNNNNNNNNNNNNNNNNNNNNNNNNNNNNNNNNNNNNNNNNNNNNNNNNNNNNNNNNNNNNNNNNNNNNNCACAAAGGCAAUACUGCUGAAAACAGCGUCAUUCCAGGUUAGUUCCAUUCAAAUCAUGCAAAUUAGAGUCCAAAACAAGGGCAAAAGAGUUUGGAAAAGUAGAUACGAUGGAGACGUAUCAGUAACACUAGUGAAGAAAGGGCAUUUAGUCCCGGUUGGUAAUGGCCUUUAGUCUCGGUUCGUCAACCGGAAUAAAAGGUCCGACCCUUUAGUCCCGGUUGACCACACCUCGGGACUAUAGGUCUCUCAUGAAGCGGGACUAAUCUUCGCCAUGCCCCCGGCCGUUCCUAACCGCUGGAACCGGGACAAAUAGUCACAUUAGUUUCAGUCUCAAACCCGACCGAGAGUUCGGGACUAAUGCUCCGGAUGAAAGGUAUGUUUUCUACUAGUGCAAGUGUGCGUGUGUGCAUGCUGCCCAUCCACGUUCACGUCUCAGGCUCCGUGGAUGAUGAGGUUGCUUCUUCUACGAAAAUAUGCUGCCAAGGACUAGUUUUGGUCGUCCUGUUGUUGGUGAGGGCUACUUUCCAGGAUGGUCAACUUAGGUGUGUAUUUUUCUGUUUGGGUUGAGCAUCUCAUGCCUCUAUGCUUUGGACGCCAUGUUCACGCCCUUGCUUCCGUGUAAUGUGUUAUACCUCAUCUCUAUUUAUUCUAACUCUCUUUAUCAAUGAAAUGAUAUGCAAGCUCUUUGCGUAUUCACGAAAAAAUAAUAUUUUUGUUGUUCUAUAUAGUGUCACUUUAAAACUCCCCCGCCACAAGGACCCUGUAUUUUUAGUACUCCGGCUACAUCGGGAUUGUUAAAACGGCUAGCAAUACUUUUAUUUUCACUUUAGGCCCUGUUUGAAACCACAAUAGAUUAUAAUAAUCUAGAUUAUGAAGGCAGAUUAUAUAAUCUGGUUCAUAAAAAUAAUCUAGGUGGGCAUGUUUGGAAUCCAGAUUAUAUAAACUAUAAUCCAGGUUUUACAUUGCGUAAUGACAUGUCUACCCUUUGUUUUUUUAAGAAAGAGGAGGGUGGCGGUGGGGAAUGUAAUUACUUCAACUUUACAAGGUAAUAGGGUCAUUAGCAAUCCAUAAUCUGAUUUUAGCUUAGAGUAGAGUAGAUUAUGAGUUUUAANNNNNNNNNNNNNNNNNNNNNNNNNNNNNNNNNNNNNNNNNNNNNNNNNNNNNNNNNNNNNNNNNNNNNNNNNNNNNNNNNNNNNNNNNNNNNNNNNNNNCCCCCCUCUCCCACCUAUAUAUACGGAGGUUUUAGGGCUGAUUUGAGACGACUUUUCCACGGCAGCCCGACCACAUACCUCCACGGUUUUUCCUCUAAAUCGCAUUUCUGCGGAGCUCGGGCGGAGCCCUGCUGAGACAAGAUCAUCACCAACCUCCGGAGCGCCGUCACGCUGCCGGAGAACUCUUCUACCUCUCGGUCUCUCUUGCUGGAUCAAGAAGGCCGAAAUCAUCGUCGAGGUGUACGUUUGGUGAACGCGUAGGUGCCGUCCGUUCGGCACUAGAUCGUGGGACUGAUCGCGGGACUGUUCGCGGGGCGUAUCGAGGGACGUGAGGACGUUCCACUACAUCAACCGCGUUCACUAACGCUUCUCCUGUACGGUCUACAAGGGUACGUAGAUCACUCAUCCCCUCUCGUAGAUGGACAUCACCAUGAUAGGUCUUCGUGCGCGUAGGAAAAUUUUUGUUUCCCGUGCGACGUUCCCCAACAGUGGCAUCAGAGCUAGGUUCAUGCGUAGAUGUCUUCUCGAGUAGAACACAAAAGUUUUUGUGGGCGGUGAUGUGCAUUUUGCGGACCUCCUUAGUUUUUUCUUGAUUCCGCGGUAUUGUUGGAUUGAAGCGGCUUGGACCGACAUUACUCGUACGCUUACGAGAGACUGGUUUCAUCGCUACGAGUAACCCUGUUGCUCAAACAUGACUGGCAAGUGUCAGUUUCUCCAACUUUAGUUGAAACGGAUUUGACGGAGGAGGUCCUUGGAUCAGGUUAAAUAGCAACUCAUAUAUCUCCGUUGUGGUGUUUGCGUAAGUAAGAUGCGAUCCUACUAGAUACCCAUGGUCACCACGUAGAACAUGCAACAACAAAAUUAGAGGACGUCUAACUUGUUUUUGCAGGGUAUGCUUGUGAUGUGAUAUGGCCAACGAUGUGAUGUGAUAUAUUGGAUGUAUGAGAUGAUCAUGUUGUAAUAGAUAAUAUCAACUUGCACGUCGAUGGUACGGCGACCGACAGGAGCCAUAGGGUUGUCUUUAUACUAACGUUUGUGCUUGCAGAUGCGUUUACUAUUUUGAUAGGAUGUAGCUUUAGUAGUAAUAGCAUGAGCGUUCUACCCCGAUGGCGACACGUUGAUGGAGAUCAUGGUGUGGCGCCGGUGACAAGAAGAUCGUGCCGGUGCUUUGGUGAUGGAGAUCAAGGAGCACGUGAUGAUGGCCAUAUCAUGUCACUUAUGAAUUUCAUGUGAUGUUAAUCCUUUUAUGCAUCUUAUUUUGCUUAGAACGACGAUAGCAUUAUGAGGUGAUCUCUCACUAAAAUUUCAAGACGAAAUUGUGUUCUCCCCGACUGUGCACCGUUGCUACAGUUCAUCGUUUCGAGACACCACGUGAUGAUCGGGUGUGAUAGACUCAACAUUCACAUACAACGGGUGCAAAACAGUUGCGCACGCGGAACAGUCGGGUUAAGCUUGACGAGCCUAGCAUGUGCAGACAUGGCCUCGGAACACAUGAGACCGAAAGGUCGAUCAUGAAUCAUAUAGAUGAUAUGAUUAGCAUAAGGAUGCUUACCACUGAAACUAUACUCAACUCACAUGAUGAUCGGACUUGAGCUAGUGUAAGUGGAUCAUGAACCACUCAAAUGACUAGAGAGAUGUACUUUUUGAGUGGGAGUUUAGCGAAUAAUUUGAUUAAGUUAAACUCUAAUUAUCUUGAACAUAGUAUAAGUUCACUUUGAAUAUAUUUGUGUUGUAGAUCAUGGCUCACGCAACAGUCACCCUGAAUUUUAAUACGUUCCUAGAGAAAGCUAAGUUGAAAGAUGAUGGAAGCAACUUUGUAGACUGGGCUCGUAAUCUUAAGCUAAUCUUACAAGCUGGGACGAAGGAUUAUGUCCUUAAUGCUGCGCUAGGAGAUGAACCACCCGCUACGGCUGAUCAGGAUGUUAAGAACGCUUGGUUAGCACGUAAGGAGGACUACUCAGUAGUUCAAUGUGCAGUCUUGUAUGGCUUAGAACCGGGACUUGAACGUCGCUAUGAGCGUCAUGGAGCAUUUGAGAUGUUCCAAGAGUUGAAGUUUAUCUUUCAUAAGAACGCCCGGAUCGAGAGGUAUGAGACCUCCGAUAAAUUCUAUGCUUGCAAGAUGGAGGAGAACUCGUCUGUCAGUGAACAUGUGCUCAAAAUGUCUGGGUACUCAACCCGUCUAGCUGAGCUGGGGAUUGAACUCCCGCAAGAGGCUAUCACUGACGGAAUCCUUCAAUCACUGCCGCUGAGCUAUAAAGGCUUUGUGUUGAACUACAACAUGCAAGGGAUGAACAAGUCUCCCGGCGAGUUGUUUGCGAUGCUGAAAGUCGCAGAGUCUGAACUCCGUAAAGAGCAUCAAGUGUUGAUGGUGAAUAAGACCACUAGUUUCAAGAGAAAUGACAAAGGCAAGAAGGGUAAUUCAAAGAAGAGCGGCAAGCCUGUUGCCAAUCCGACGAAGAAACCCAAAGCUGGACCUAAGCCUGAAACAGAGUGUUACUAUUGCAAGGGUAUGGGUCACUGGAAGCGCAAUUGCCCCAAAUAUCUGGCAGAUAAGAAGGUGGCCAAAGAAAAAUCAGGUAUAUUUGAUAUACAUGUUAUUGAUGUGUACUUAACCGGCUCUCGUAGUAGUGCCUGGGUAUUCGAUACCGGUUCUGUUGCUCAUUUUUGCAACUCGAAACAGGAACUGCGGAAUAGACGAAGGCUGGCAAAAGAUGAAGUGACGAUGCGCGUAGGAAAUGGUUCCAAGGUUGAUGCAAUCGCCGUCGGCACAGUUUCACUUCAGUUACCAUCGGGAUUAGUUAUGAACUUGAAUCAUUGUUAUUUAGUGCCUGCGUUGAGCAUGAACAUUAUAUCUGGAUCUUGUUUAUUGUGAGACGGUAACUCUUUUAAGUCAGAGAAUAAUGGUUGUUCUAUUUCUAUGAGUAACAUCUUUUAUGGUCAUGCACCCAAUGUGAGAGGAUUGUUCAUAUUGAAUCUUGAUAGCGAUACACACAUACAUAACAUUGAGACCAAAAGAGUUAGAGUUAACAAUGAUAGCGCCAUAUUUUUGUGGCACUGCCGCUUAGGUCAUAUUGGUGUAAAGCGCAUGAAGAAACUCCAUGCCGAUGGACUUUUGGAGUCACUUGACUUUGAUUCACUUGACACGUGCGAACCAUGCCUCAUGGGCAAGAUGACUAAAACUCCGUUCUCCGGAACAAUGGAGCGUGCAAGUGACUUGUUGGAAAUCAUACAUACCGAUGUGUGUGGUCCGAUGAGCGUAGAGGCACGCGGCGGAUAUCGUUAUUUUCUCACCUUCACUGACGAUUUGAGUAGAUAUGGUUAUGUCUACUUAAUGAAGCACAAGUCUGAAACAUUUGAAAAGUUCAAGCAAUUUCAGAGUGAAGUUGAAAAUCAUCGUAACAAGAAGAUCAAGUUCCUACGGUCUGAUCGUGGGGGUGAAUAUCUGAGUUUCGAGUUNNNNNNNNNNNNNNNNNNNNNNNNNNNNNNNNNNNNNNNNNNNNNNNNNNNNNNNNNNNNNNNNNNNNNNNNNNNNNNNNNNNNNNNNNNNNNNNNNNNNUUCAACAAUUUCUGACUUCAUUUGGUAUAUUUCGUGCAUUUACUUAUUUUUUUUGAGCUAGUUGACCCUGAAAUUGAAAAGCACUACAAAUGAACUCUGAAAAUGUUGAAAGUUGGCAUGCUAUCAUCAUUUCACCCACAUAGCAUGUGUUAAAAAGUUGAGAGGGCUACGACAAAAACUGGAUGCAGUUCGUGUACAAAACUGACAAUCUCUCUCAAAGUAGCACGGUUUCGAACCAGAACUCAUCUCUUACAAAGGGAUUUCAUUUUUUUGAACUUAUUUGAACUCCAUACUUUUUGUGUGUUCAAAAUGCACCAUUCAAAGGCACAUCACAAAAUUUCAACAAUUUCUGACUUCAUUUGGUAUAUUUCGUGCAUUUACAUUUGUUUUUUGAGCUAGUUGACCCUGAAAUUGAAAAGCACUACAAAUGAACUCUGAAAAUGUUGAAAGUUGGCAUGCUAUCAUCAUUUCACCCACAUAGAAUGUGUUAAAAAGUUGAGAGGGCUACGACAAAAACUGGAUGCAGUUCGUGUACAAAACUGACAAUCUCUCUCGAAGUAGCAGGGUUUUGAACGAGAACUCAUCUCUUACAAAUGGAUUUCAUUUUUUUGAACUUAUUUGAACUCCAUACUUUUUGUGUGUUCAAAAUGCACCAUUCAAAGGCACAUCACAAAAUUUCAACAAUUUCUGACUUCAUUUGGUAUAUUUCGUGCAUUUACAUUUGUUUUUUGAGCUAGUUGACCCUGAAAUUGAAAAGCACUACAAAUGAACUCUGAAAAUGUUGAAAGUUGGCAUGCUAUCAUCAUUUCACCCACAUAGUAUGUGUUAAAAAGUUGAGAGGGCUACGACAAAAACUGGAUGCAGUUCGUGUACAAAACUGACAAUCUCUCUCGAAGUAGUAGGGUUUCGAACUAGAACUCAUCUCUUACAAAGGGAUUUCAUUUUUUUGAACUUAUUUGAACUCCAUACUUUUUGUGUGUUCAAAAUGCACCAUUCAAAGGCACAUCACAAAAUGGACAAUCUCUCUCGAAGUAGAAGCGGCCCCCACAAUAAGAGACGACAUUCUUCUUCUCUCAUAUAUGGUGGACACUAGCUCACCUGAUUUUUCAACCGUCGAUGAUGGUCGCUACUCCUACUUCCCCUAGUGCAUAACCAAUAUCUAGCACAAGGUGAAGAAGGAGAAGCGACCCCCACAACAAAAGUGGUUCCGCGGCACGCCACGUGGUUCCGCUGCACGCCACGUGGUUCCGCUGCACGCCACGUGGGACUAAUGGUCUUUCAUUUUUAAAUGAUUGUUUUAAUCAAAAACAGAUCUGUUACAAAAGGGAUUUCAUUUUUGAACUUAUUUGAACUGAAGAAUUUUUGUAUAUAUAUGUGGUCGAAAUAAAUGAUACCAUGAAGUUAGAAAGGGCUAAACCAUUCAAAAGUAGCAAAUGAAGUUAGAAAGGGCUAAACCAUUCAAAUUUGGAAACUAUAAUGGCACAAAUAGAAACUAGACAUAUAUAAAUUGGUCCAAGAAGUACAUGAUACUAGUCCAAACAGUACAUAAUAAUAGCUACCAUAGAUAUAUAUACAAGUGUUCGACGUUAAGAACAUUACUCGUCUGAAUCAUCUAAAUCAGAAUGUCCACGUUCCUCGAAGUGACGCUGGCCAUAAUUGACGACUCGAAUCCUGCGGUACAACUCGUAUGAAACGUAUGCAUCUUUUGCUGCAUACUCAAUGUUGAUAUCAUCAAGUGGGCCCUUCUCCCAAAGUCUGUGCUGAGACUUUGGGAAACUGGUCUUCAUAUCACCAUAUGACUCGUCGAUCAAGGCAACUGCCAUAUGAUCCAUGGAAGUCCUGUCAUGUCGAAGCCUGAAUAUCGUUUGGAGAUCAACGAGGCAACCAGCUGGUAUCUCAAUACCGAAGUUGUGCCUCAUCUUCAGCUUGUCGUUCCUUAUGUCAACGGAAGCAAAAGUGAUGCCGCUGCAAAGGAACUCCAUGAGUUCUGGACAAUGCUUGUCACUCCUGCAACAGAAACAAAUUAAAAUGGAACAAAUGUUACAUACUGCCGCAAUAAGGAAACAUGUUUCACUACAACUAAAGAGAAACUUAUCUUUAGGAUUCAAAUAGAACAUAUGCAAUGGAACCUAGAGAGAUCACUAUAGCUAUCCAAUGGAACCUAGAGAGAUCACUAGCUAUAUGCAAUUUUCAUGACUAUGACAUAUCAUAUUGCUAUUCAAUGGAACCUAGAGAGAUCACUAGCUGUAUUCAUUUUUCAUAACCUUGGAUCAAAGAACACCGCAUAAAAUUGUAUCACUACAACUAUGAUUUCAAUGGAACAUAUUGAACCAAUCAGAUUUUUCAGAUUAUGGAACACUAUUCCAAUCAGAUUGUGUUUCCUUCAACUAAUCAAAAUUGUUUCACUACAACUAUUUGAAGCGAACCAACUAUGAUUCCAAUGGAACAUAUUAAACACUAGUUGAUUCUAAUACGAUUUUUCAGAUUAUGAAACACUAUUCCAAUGAGAUUGUGCUCCCCUUCAACUAAUCAAAAUUGUUUCACUACAACUAUUUGAAGGGAACCAACUAUGAUUCCAAUGAAACAUAUUAAACACUAGUUGAUUCUAAUACGAUUUUCAGAUUAUGGAACACUAUUCCAAUUAGAUUGUGCUCCCCUUCAACUAAUCAAAAUUGUUUCACUACAACUAUUUGAAGGGAACCAACUAUGAUUGAAACAAAUAAACUUACAAUGUCAUUACCUUGGAUCAAAGAAAGCCUCAAAACUUACCUCGCCCAUUGGAAGAUCAAGACAUGGCGUGCGAAGCAUAGUUGGAUGACGGCAACACCGUGUUGAUCGGCCGUGUACUCCAGAUCAAGCCCCAAGGACUUCUCAUGAUCCGCUGCGUGGUCAAACCAUUUUUCCUUCAACUGUUGAAGAAAAAACGGCACCUCGUUGCUCAGGUUCGUGUACAUGACAUCGAGCAUCGUCGUGCCAUGUGCGAGCACCUUACGGAAGCUAGUUGGCAUGGUGGAAGAAGAGAAGGGAAGAAGAGAGGAGAAGAACAGAGAGGGUGACGCGAGAGAGAAGAAGAACAGAGAAAUGGCGACUGUACGCUUCGGUUCGUGCUUUUCAUCGCCCGAAACGACGCGGGAUGCAAACCGUUUGGGCCUUUAGUCCCGGAUUGAGCCACCAACCGGGACUAAAGGGGGAUACCAACCGUCGCCACCACUACGGCAGGCCACGUAUUAGUCCUUUAGUCCCGGAUUGAGCCACCAACCGGGACUAAAGGGGGAUACGAACGGUUGCCACCACCACUGCCCACCACGUAGCCCUUUAGUCCCGGUUUGGGACACGAACCGGGACUAAAGGCUCCUUACGGGCCGGGACUAAAGCCUCGAGGGAGGCAUUGAGAAUUGGGGCGACGUGGUCGGGCCUUUAGUCCCGGACCAGAGACAGGCCGGGACUAAAGGGUCCAGGCCAAAGGCCCGUUUUCCACUAGUGGCCGCGAGUCAUAUCUAUAAUAAGAAGGUGUUUUAAAAAUAUUCUUAGACUUGAACCUCAAAGUUACACGCACACUAAAUCUUACUUUUUAGAGAUACUAUCUCGUUAUCAACUUGUACAAUCUAGUUUGGAAAGAGUAUAAUANGGGCUCGGAGAUGUGUAUAAGAGACAGAACUAAAAAUACAUCAAAGUAAAAUACAUGACGUAUACGGUUCUGUGUACCGGCGCAGAACAUCAUUACAUAGUUUAGCAAAGGUUAUUCAAACAGAUAUGGUGAAAAAUUUCAGUAUCACAAAUUUAGUUAUUUUGGCCAUUUAUGCGCAAAUAACUCAGCCAAAAGAUGUUAAAACAACCUUAUUUUUUAUUACAUGGAAAAUAUUAUCGAUCCAUUAAUUUAAUUCUAUACAAACAUUAAUUUAAUGAUUAGCGCAACAGUUAAUAUGACUUGAAGUAAAAUGUUACUAACAGAGCUGAGGUGUCCAACAAAAUAUUGUAAGAAUACAUAAAUUAUAGUUAGAAUAAUAACUUUUAUUGAGGAAGAUGUAUGUUGCGCUAAGAAUAGCCGUACAUGCAAACUGGUUUUUCAGUCCAGCUAUUUCAUCGGCCUGAAAACAAAAUGACAUAAAUUUGCCAAACAAACCAUAGCACUUUAAACACCAAUGAAUGGUCGAUCUGACAUCGUACUCUGGUUCAAUGCAUUGUAACAUCAUCAAUACCUUGCAAAACUGGAAAACGAAAUUCUCGUAAUGGGUGUGCUCUUAUACCCAAGUAGCAAACUAUUAGCAAAAUAUAUAGAUUGUUGCAAACUAUUGUUGUGAGGUAUUACUGAGGUUCUACAACCUUCCGUCCAGAACCUCACUAAUACCUCGCAAAACCUAAGGAGACAAAAUCGUAAAGACGAUGAUCUCACAUUCCUUAGUAAUGGAGUAUUGACAAAAUAAAGGCACAUAAAAGAAAAACUAAGGCACACAUAUCAUUCUUGCUAUAUAUGAUGAACAAAAGAAUGUAUCUUGCAAACCUAAUAAACCUGUGUGGUCCAUGAUAAUCAAAAUAGCUAACCACAACAUACAUGACGACCUACUUAACAACAUAAUAUAAUGUUAGUGAUAAGGUUUAGAAAUAUCCGACUCACAUAAAUAUAAGAAAGCAACAAUCAUAUCUAGAUCUAUUUUAUGUGGUUUAUACUUGGCUAUAACUCCCAUGUUCAAAUCCCAUGUAGCAAAGCAAAAUCAUAUCAGUCUUGUUCUUACACACAACAUCACAUCCGGUAGCCCAUGCAAAUAUUGCAAGAAGAGAAUGAAGUACACAAAAGGAAGUAGAGUAGAUGCAGGGAACGGCAGCGAACCAGUGGAUAUAUGUAAUGCACCUUUGAUUUUCCGGUUGGAGUCGAAGAAAACAUGGGUGGCCGCCAUUGGCGUACCAGACAAUCUGCACGACACAGAAAGAUCAUGGAGAAGAAGACAUGGUUUCUGUGGACAAUGGGAUGGUGAUCAGCUGCGAUGAGACUUGAAUGAUCACCUUGUGCGUUUUUAGGAGAUAAGCAAGGCAUGUCAGUUUAAAAUAAAAGAGACACUUACAGUUAGUUUCUUUUCGUUUUCAAUCUGUACAUUCAUGCAGAUUUUUUUGGGAAAAAUACAUGGACGCGGAUGUUUUUUGUACGUUCACAAAUCUUGUAUGCGCUCUCAGUUUUUCUAAGACCUACAUAGCAAGUACAUUCUUGUUGUGUUAUCCAGAGUUUUAUAUAAUUCUAAGAUGUAAUACUUGGGCCAAUCAAAUCAAUGGCUAGAGAGACACACGUGAGAUACAUGAGAUAUUUUAUUUUAUGGAGAUACGUGCGAUUUUGGGAGGAGUGUGCCAUGGAAAAAAAAUAGAAGGGAGAGACAUAGUAUAUACUUCCUCCGUCCCAAAAUUCUUGUCUUAGAUUUGUUUAAAUAUAAAUGUAUCUAGUCAAGUUUUAGUAUUUAAAUACAUCCAUUUUUAAACAAAGUUAAGACAAUAAUUUUAAGACAGAGGGAGUACAAAGGUUGAGCCAGGAAAUAAAAGGAUAUGUGAGACGUGAGAGUUUGGGUCAUGUCUUGGACGCGAGAUUGAGCGAGUAAAAAAUAGGGAUGCCUGAGAGAUUGGGUCAGAUUUAGGUGCGGUUUUAGUUGGUUGAUUCUUUUUUUUUNNNNNNNNNNNNNNNNNNNNNNNNNNNNNNNNNNNNNNNNNNNNNNNNNNNNNNNNNNNNNNNNNNNNNNNNNNNNNNNNNNNNNNNNNNNNNNNNNNNNAAAAAAAAGUCAAGAGGGAGAAUUAUACUCACCCAAAAUAGAAAUUGAUAUAUUUUUUUUCUUGGGAAAAUGUUUCCAUCUGAUUGUGCGGUGCACAACACACUUCACGCCGCACACGUGUUUCGCAACAUUGGUCGUGUUGUAAGAUCGCAACAGAAUACGUGUUACGGAUCUAUAAGUCGUGUGUCGAUCAUUUAUGUAGCCUUGUCUUCUCAAGAUGUCUGUUUUUCUUUUGACGCCCCCCCCCCCCCCUUCCAUGUCCGCUCGUGAUAAAUGACCAUAGCCGCUCGAGCGCGCACGCCGGAGCUACGUUUCAUCCCAAUGCUACAUCACUUUAUGCUUUGUUGUGAGCCAUUGUCGUUGGUCAAGCUCCAUGGCCCUUCCAUUGCCAGUCAUGAUCAUCUCGUAGGCAACACCGCACGUCCCUUCCCCAACCAGAACGAGCUCCUACUCAAGGUCAUGAUGUGAGGGGCACAUCGUCGUGGAUAUGAUCGACAAUCGAUGCCUCCAUCGAGCUUUUGUGAUCACGUAGGGGGAUCUGUAUGGACCACCAAUAUGGGUGCUAAAACCGGCGGGUCUUGGAUAGGAGGUCCCGAGCUGGUGAUCUUAGCUAGAUGGUUACCUCCGCCUCAGAUCUGCUUGAAAAUCAAUGUAGAUGGAGCAGUUGCUAGACAGGAAAAAAAAAGAACAGUUGCAGCAGUCUGUCGAGACAAUCAGGGUUCUUUUCUUGGGUCGUCUGUGGUGGUGGUCCAGGGAGUAACGGAUUCGGUGGUGCUUGAGACACUGGCUUGGAGAGAGGCUCUAGCUCUUGUAAAAGACCUUAACAUACAAAGUUUUUUAGUCGCUUCGACUGUUAAGAAGUCGUCAAUGAUAUUACCAAGGGAACGGGAGGACCCCAUGGGACCAUUAUUCAUGAAAUAGUAGGGCGUAGUAGUAUUUUUCAGACGUGUUUUUUUACUCAUGAAUGUAGAAAUUUUAAGCAUGAGGUUCAUAAACUUGCUAAGUUCUCUUGUAAUGUAGGCUAGGUCGACACUUAUGGUUGGAUAAUCCCCAUGACCGAACUUUCUCUGGAAUAAAGCUUGGCGAGUUUUUCUAAAAAAAACUACUAGAUAUAGAAAGUUUGUCUAGGUCUCAGUCGACUGAGACUUUGGUCAAGUAGUGUAAUAUGCAAGAAGAAAAAAACUGAAAAAAUAAUAUCUACACGAAUCUCAAUGCAAAAUCAACGGAUUAAAGUAUCGAUUAAGACUUGACGACAGUCGACUGAUUUUUAACAAAGCCGAUAGAAAUAUAGAUUGCCCUUUCCCCUCCCUCGUCCCAGCCGCCAUCAGCAGACGGACCUUCCUCGAUGGAGCAUUGUUAGAUCCGCCCCCUUGCCCUGCACAAUCCGUACGUCAACCAAGGCCGGCCACCCUGCGUGGUUCCUCGCUGCCGCGGAAGGCUUCGCCGGCGACCGGUCCAACGAGAGGUCCUGAGCAUCAAGGCGUCCUUUGCCCCCCAACCACCAGCCUCAACCAUCCAAGCUGUGGGUGCACUGCCCGGAGGCCGUGCACGUCGGCACCCCCUGUCUCCUCUGCAUCGCCGGCGACCUGAUCCUCUUCCGGGUCGACAAUCUCCGAUCGUGUCCCAGACAGCCGUUUCUCGACGCGGCCGGAUGGAUUGCGACUAUCUCAUCUACCAUGCUGACCCCCGGUUUGCGAGUGCUCAGCUUCGAAGACACUGAGGUUGGUCUUCUUCCCCGUGGUCUCCACCACUACACCAUCGCUGCGCUGGUUCCUUGUCCUCUCUGCAGCUUCCACAAGUUCGAGCUCUCCGAGACAUCCAGCUGGACCUCCAUGGUGCUUCGAUUGCGUCAUCCCCACUAACACGGAUCUUUUCUACUGUACUACCAUAGUACUUCCAGCGUCAUCGAAAUCGGUGGUAAAUAAGGCACCAUGGGCUGGGUCGAUCUCUGGCGAGGCAUCCUGCUCUGCGAUGUGCUGCGUGAGAAGCCAACUCUCAGAGGAAUAACCGUUGCCGCUGCCGAUGGAACAGAUCAUCCGCGGUGAUCGUUUAGGCCGUGCAAUGGAUUGCCGAGGCAUUGCCUUCAUCAAUGGCUGUCUCAAGUUUGUUCAACUGGACAUCAGCGCAAGUUACCACAUGGACAUCAUGGACCCGGAAACAGGGCAUCCAACUUUGCUGCUAUGGAUUUUAUGGUGAGUUCGGCACAUCAAGCCCUCUAUCGAGCCCCUAUCAUACAUUGGCUCAAGCCAUUGUGGAAGGCCCCUCUUCCUCUCAAGAUCAAAAUCUUUGUGUGGCAGUUACUCCGCAAUUGCCUUCCCUCGGGGAUAGAGGUGCGCAUAUGUCGGGUGAUGACAUGGGCCUCUUAUGCGUGAUCCCGGAGUCAACGACCCACAUUAUUUUUUACUUGCAUGGCGGCAAGGGCCAUGUGGGAAUUCUUACGCCAGGCCCUGGGACCCGACUGGGAGGCCCAGGACCUCACAGAGUUCCUACAAACCAAAGACCAUCACACUAGGUAGCGCCGACACCUGUUCUAGCUCAUCUUUGCUGCUAGGGGUGGACACGGUCCGGUCCGGUCCGGUCCCGGUCCGAACCGACGUUUGGACCGGCCGCCGGCGGUCCGGUCCGGAUCGGACUGAGCAGGUUGGCGGUCCUCUUUUCAGGGACCGCACCGGCGAGGCAAAAGCCCGGGCCGGACCGGCCAGCAGCGACGGCGAGGUGGUGACCAUGNNNNNNNNNNNNNNNNNNNNNNNNNNNNNNNNNNNNNNNNNNNNNNNNNNNNNNNNNNNNNNNNNNNNNNNNNNNNNNNNNNNNNNNNNNNNNNNNNNNNGGGGGGGGGGAGGGGGGGUAGACCUAAAAAUGUUGUACGAGAUGACCAUGUGUGACCAUCUAACAAUGUCCGUCAACGCAUGCCAUGUCAGCCUGAUAGGUGGGUCCUACUUGCCGGUUUGGUUGUUUUCGCGACCAAAUUAGAACACCAGUGCUUCGUCUUACAGGUUAGGCGCAAUUUCAAUGGUUUUUUUGUGUCCUGACACAAUUUGAUACAAAAUCAUUAUCCUACCACCAGCUGUGAUGGUUUGCAUAAAUAACCUGAUAACCAGGCAGAUGUAGUGGCGGAAAUAUAGUUCCAAUCCGAGCAGGGUGUAGAGCAGUACUGGACUAUGCUAGAUUGGGUACCACAUUACCCAGGAGGCCGAUUUCACUGUUUUUCUUUUUGACAUAGUUUAGCCCGAUCUGACCUCAUUCAUGAUUUUUUUUUUGGAUCUGGUCCUUUUUUUUCUACCGCUAUCCGCUGUGGCGGNGGGUCGGGUCAAUGCAGACGGUGCCGUUUGACCGCGCUGACCCGAUGACACUANNNNNNNNNNNNNNNNNNNNNNNNNNNNNNNNNNNNNNNNNNNNNNNNNNNNNNNNNNNNNNNNNNNNNNNNNNNNNNNNNNNNNNNNNNNNNNNNNNNNUGUUGGAAAUAUGCCCUAGAGGCAAUAAUAAUAUGGUUAUUAUCAUAUUUCCUUGUUCAUGAUAAUCGUCUAUUGUUCAUGCUAUAAUUGUAUUAACAGGAAACAGUAAUACAUGUGUGAAUAAAUAGAUCAUAAUGUGUCCCUAGCAAGCCUCUAGUUGGCUAGCUCGUUAGUCAAUAGAUGAUCAUGGUUUCCUGAUCAUGGGCAUUAGAUGUCAUUGAUAACGGGAUCACAUCAUUGGAAGAAUGAUGUGAUGGACAAGACCCAAUCCUAAGCCUAGCACUAGAUCGUAUUGUUCGUAUGCUAAUGCUUUUCUAAUGUCAAGUAUCUUUUCCUUCGACCGUGAGAUUGUGCAACUCCCGGAUACCGUAGGAGUGCUUUGGGUCUAUCAAACGUCACAACGUAACUGGGUGACUAUAAAGGUGCACUACGGGUACCUCCGAAAGUGUCUGUUGGGUUGGUAUGAAUCGAGAUCGGGAUUUGUCACUNNNNNNNNNNNNNNNNNNNNNNNNNNNNNNNNNNNNNNNNNNNNNNNNNNNNNNNNNNNNNNNNNNNNNNNNNNNNNNNNNNNNNNNNNNNNNNNNNNNNNNNNNNNNNNNNNNNNNNNNNNNNNNNNNNNNNNNNNNNNNNNNNNNNNNNNNNNNNNNNNNNNNNNNNNNNNNNNNNNNNNNNNNNNNNNNNNNNNNNNNNNNNNNNNNNNNNNNNNNNNNNNNNNNNNNNNNNNNNNNNNNNNNNNNNNNNNNNNNNNNNNNNNNNNNNNNNNNNNNNNNNNNNNNNNNNNNNNNNNNNNNNNNNNNNNNNNNNNNNNNNNNNNNNNNNNNNNNNNNNNNNNNNNNNNNNNNNNNNNNNNNNNNNNNNNGGCAAGUUCUAUACCGACAAACAAAGGGAAUCGUAUACGGGAUUGAUUGAAUCCUUGACAUCGUGGUUCAUCCGAUGAGAUCAUCGUGGAGCAAGUGGGAGCCACAAUGGGUAUCCAGACCCCGCUGAUGGUUAUUGGCCAGAGAGGUGUCUCGGUCAUGUCUGCCUGUCUCCCGAACCCGUAGGGUCUACACACUUAAGGUUCGANNNNNNNNNNNNNNNNNNNNNNNNNNNNNNNNNNNNNNNNNNNNNNNNNNNNNNNNNNNNNNNNNNNNNNNNNNNNNNNNNNNNNNNNNNNNNNNNNNNNGUCAGUGAUAGCCUCUUGCGGGAGUUCAAUCCCCAGCUCAGCUAGACGGGUUGAGUACCCAGACAUUUUGAGCACAUGUUCACUGACAGACGAGUUCUCCUCCAUCUUGCAAGCAUAGAAUUUAUCGGAGGUCUCAUACCUCUCGAUCCGGGCGUUCUUAUGAAAGAUAAACUUCAACUCCUGGAACAUCUCAAAUGCUCCAUGACGCUCAAAGCGACCUUGAAGUCCCGGUUCUAAGCCAUACAAGACUGCACAUUGAACUACUGAGUAGUCCUCCUUACGUGCUAACCAAGCGUUCUUAACAUCCUGAUCAGCCGUAGCGGGUGGUUCAUCUCCUAGCGCAGCAUUAAGGACAUAAUCCUUCGUCCCAGCUUGUAAGAUUAGCUUAAGAUUACGAGCCCAGUCUACAAAGUUGCUUCCAUCAUCUUUCAACUUAGCUUUCUCUAGGAACGUAUUAAAAUUCAGGGUGACUGUUGCGUGAGCCAUGAUCUACAACACAAAUAUAUUCAAAGUGGACUUAGACUAUGUUCAAGAUAAUUAGAGUUUAACUUAAUCAAAUUAUUCGCUAAACUCCCACUCAAAAAGUACAUCUCUCUAGUCAUUUGAGUGGUUCAUGAUCCACUUACACUAGCUCAAGUCCGAUCAUCAUGUGAGUUGAGUAUAGUUUCAGUGGUAAGCAUCCCUAUGCUAAUCAUAUCAUCUAUAUGAUUCAUGAUCGACCUUUCGGUCUCAUGUGUUCCGAGGCCAUGUCUGCACAUGCUAGGCUCGUCAAGCUUAACCCGANNNNNNNNNNNNNNNNNNNNNNNNNNNNNNNNNNNNNNNNNNNNNNNNNNNNNNNNNNNNNNNNNNNNNNNNNNNNNNNNNNNNNNNNNNNNNNNNNNNNNNNNNNNNNNNNNNNNNNNNNNNNNNNNNNNNNNNNNNNNNNNNNNNNNNNNNNNNNNNNNNNNNNNNNNNNNNNNNNNNNNNNNNNNNNNNNNNNNNNNNNNNNNNNNNNNNNNNNNNNNNNNNNNNNNNNNNNNNNNNNNNNNNNNNNNNNNNNNNNNNNNNNNNNNNNNNNNNNNNNNNNNNNNNNNNNNNNNNNNNNNNNNNNNNNNNNNNNNNNNNNNNNNNNNNNNNNNNNNNNNNNNNNNNNNNNNNNNNNNNNNNNNNNNNNNNNNNNNNNNNNNNNNNNNNNNNNNNNNNNNNNNNNNNAAUUCAUAAGUGACAUGAUAUGGCCAUCAUCACGUGCUCCUUGAUCUCCAUCACCAAAGCACCGGCACGAUCUUCUUGUCACCGGCGCCACACCAUGAUCUCCAUCAACGUGUCGCCAUCGGGGUUGUCGUUCUACUCAUGCUAUUACUACUAAAGCUACAUCCUAUCAAAAUAGUAAACGCAUCUGCAAGCACAAACGUUAGUAUAAAGACAACCCUAUGGCUCCUGUCGGUCGCCGUACCAUCGACGUGCAAGUUGAUAUUAUCUAUUACAACAUGAUCAUCUCAUACAUCCAAUAUAUCACAUCACAUCGUUGGCCAUAUCACAUCACAAGCAUACCCUGCAAAAACAAGUUAGACGUCCUCUAAUUUUGUUGUUGCAUGUUNNNNNNNNNNNNNNNNNNNNNNNNNNNNNNNNNNNNNNNNNNNNNNNNNNNNNNNNNNNNNNNNNNNNNNNNNNNNNNNNNNNNNNNNNNNNNNNNNNNNCAUACUGCACCGGGAGAUCCAUUGCAUCAGCUACAUGAUCGACGACGCCAGGGUUUACGACACCGUCGUGCUGGCCCUGGCCUCGGCCACGCUCGUCAACCCCACCUCGGCGGUGCUUACCAAGAGGCUGCUGAAUCUGGGGUACGAGGACGACGAGAUGAGCACCUGGGACUCCACCAUGGAGCUCAAGCUGGCGCACCAUACCAUACCACCACAGGGUACGGUUUCUCAGGAUCGGCCUCGGCGGGGAGGUCACCAUCGCGGCAGCCGAGUUCUUCGGGGCGUACGACACUACGACUGGGGCUAGGCCAUGGCGAAGAACGAGAGGCGUGAGGUCGUGUACGAGGCCGUGGCGCCGCCCUGGACUAAGGUCACCAUCAGACCAUCGCGACGAGGAGCGGCAUCGAUGUCCCCUUCACCUAUAGGCAGCGGAGGAGGGUUUCCAAGGGGGGUGGCCUCUACACCGGCAUCAACAUUUACAACUUCAACUUGAAGACCGUCGAGGAGAAGCUGCCGGCCCUUAAUUCUCUUUUAUCUUAUAUAUCGUCAAUUGCACUAUCUUAAUUAUACUAGCAUAUCUGUGCAGUGAAGGAAUAAGACGAUCGACAGCUUUGUGUUCCUGCUCCACACCCAUAUACAUGUCUGUGUUGUACUAGAAUGCAUGAACAAAAUGAUCGAUCAUGCAUGCUCAUGAAACAUCCAAACCUAAGUACCAUGCAUUUUACCAGUCGACGCCAUUGCAGCAUUAUAUAUACUAGUCGCCGACCCGUGCAUUCGCACGAGCUAGUUUAGUUAAUGUAAGAUAAAAUGCUUAAUAGGUUCACUACUUGUAACGUGUUUUAGACAGCCGGAACUAAUUUGAAUUUCCAGUUCUUGUUGAUCGUUUGAAGUCCACGCAUUGAACGAAUAACAGUUUCUUGGUUAAUUGAAUUUUAGCAAUCAAUUCAUAUAUUUACCUAUUCCGAGCGGAGGAACUGUCCGGUCUCGAAGUUUCAUGAAUUAGUACUUUGUUGUUCUAUAUAGUGAUCUAUCGAUCAUCCAUAACUAACAAUAUAUGUUGAGAGCUACAUUCUCGAGUGUCUAUUGUCGGUAUUUUGACACAUAUCUUAGUUAUUACUUCUUGUAAAUUUCCUAUAUCACGAAAUCAGUCGGACUACAUAACGAGAGGCACAUGACUUUUGAUAUUUGGUUUUAACCAAUAAAAUGUGGCUCCAUCUCCCAAAAAUUAUAUAACAAAAUUCACAACAAAAGGGAUUUUUAUAUCUAUUAAAAGCCAAGUGAGUACCUAACAAAUGCACCUGACUUUACUUGCGUGAACUAAAAUAGAUGACAAAAUGCUAAAGAACAAAUAAUAGUUUUUGUGAACUAAAAUUAUUCAAAGUAGCAUAGGUGAAUUUUAUAAAGAAUAAGAUUUUAUGGUAAAGCAUUCUCAUGACACCGCCUACUCCUCUAGAGCCCACUAGUGGGGACAGGGCCUAUAGCCCCGGCCCGUAAGGGGCUUUAGUCCCGUGGCUGUUGGUCGCACUUUACGAGAAUAGAAUAUAUAUAAUCAAAAUAAUAAUCUAGCAUCAUAAAUGUAUUGAAAAUUAAUAGAARUAUAUCAUACUACUACUUACCUGAGCCGCUCUAAAGGUCAGCUUCUCAUGACUCGAUACCGGGAKUCACGCACUUGAACCGCUUCCAAACCCUGCCCGACAAGGAUAAUGAUUUGCUAAGUUUUUCAUUAAUUGAUAUAUCAGAAAAUCAUCGAAAGAGACCGAUAGAGCGCAAGAAUGAUUAAAAUUACCCUUGGAGCAUGUCCUGCAGGCUUUGGAACUGUUCCAAGGGUCUCGAUAAUGGGUCGAAGGCAUCAACUCUUCCCUUAUCAAUUUGAAUGUCCAACAGAAUCCAAUGAAAGCUGCACAUGUAUAUAUAUAUAUAUAUGUGUGUGUGUGUGUGUGUGUGUGUGUGUGUGUGUGUGUGUGUGUSUUAUWCUAAUUAUACUUAUAAGUGAAUGGACACAACAGAGUAAAGAACCCUCACUUGAAGUUGUAUGGAAACAGUAUGUGGUCACAGAAAUUUUGAUCUAUUAGAAACCUUAGAAGGUUUUCCUCCGUCUCCUUGGGUUUAUCAGUUAGCGUCGCUAUAUGUAUUUUAUCUGGGUCAAUAAACCCAAUAUUUAGGAUGUUCCUACUUUUACAUUCCAGAAUCUUCAUUCUGCAUAAUAGAGUACAAGUUAUAUGUAGACAAUGAAUUGAAAUAACUAAACAAGUUAUAUGUAGAUAACGAAUUGAAAAACUUACAAACAAUAGCAACUCAUAAGCGAUUUGUCGAGGGCGUCGGCAUUGUACAUCUGGAAGAGUUCAUCAAAGUCGAUAUGGAUUUCUUCGGGGCGGCCGUAGUACUCCCGUGGGACACUCGCCACGAUCAUCGUUCUCCCAUUCUUUGAUUCACUUAAGUACCAUGUAUGCAAGUAACGCAUAUUUGUUGGGAGAUCAUCUUUGCUGACCAAAGGCGCUUCCAUGACAAACUGUGGCUUAGGGGCUACCACAGCCUUGGGUAACCUGUCGUCUUGGGAAGCCAGGACGUCUUCAACCGGGAUACCCCAUUCAUCCGCCCACUUCUUUGCUAAUUCCAAAUCUUGCCCCUGCACCAGAGAGGGAACAUUCUCGGGUAACACCCUGAGGGGUGGGAUCGACUGUUUGGCCUGUUGUCCAAGCUGAGGAACGUCUGAUCUUUUUUUCCUUGUAGUUGAACUUGAUUUGCUCCCACUUGCACUUGCACGUGAUCUGCUCUUUUUCCCUUCCUUCUGCAAUGUGCGUGUAUAGUCAUCGGGCUUAUGGUGUAAGUCAUAUUGUGAUGGAAGGGUCGUGAAGUAUUUUGCAUAUGCUAUUUGCUUCUCGGUGUAUUCCGGGCGGGGCUCGGGUUCCUUCUUUUUCAUCUGCGCAUCAUAAUGUCCCUUUGCUAUCCUGGCGUUUUCCUCGUCGGUACGAUCAUAAGGUCUGAUAGGAAGAUUAGCAUGAGGUACCUUUGGGAGGGGCGACAGUUUGCGCUUUGGGGAGCUCCGUUGCUUAGAACUCAUCGACGGAGCGUUCUUGCUGGCACGCUUCCGCUUAGUAUCCUUAGCGGGCGGCGGCGGAGACGGACGACCCAAGUCCGGCGGCGGUGAUCGAGAUGGACUCGUGUUGUGCUGGCCGUCGUCAUGUGGAGGGCUUGGAGGUGAUGGAGGUGUAGGUGACCUGCGACGACUCGAAGGCGGUGUUGUCCUUGGGGCCGAGCCUGGAAGCUUGAUGUAGUUCUUGUCCCAUAGGAUGACUCCACCGAGUACUUCUCCGAGUGUCCUCUCAUCUUCGGGUCCAGCUAUGUCGAGCUCCAUAUCAUGAAACCCCGCCAUGAUUUCAUCCACCCCGACUUUAGCAAAGCCAGCUGGAAUCUCACGGCCAUGCCAGCGUGCAUCAGGGCCAGAAGGUAAAGCUUGUCCGACGGCCACCUUCAUGGAUAUGUUCUUGAAUUUCUGAUGGAGUUCACAUGAUGUUCACUCCUUGAUUCCAUCCACGAGGUAGCCGGGACCGCCCUCUAUCAUUCUUCGUGNNNNNNNNNNNNNNNNNNNNNNNNNNNNNNNNNNNNNNNNNNNNNNNNNNNNNNNNNNNNNNNNNNNNNNNNNNNNNNNNNNNNNNNNNNNNNNNNNNNNAAUUUAUUUCAUCGGCAUACAUUAUACACAUGUAGAAUACAUCUGUAUGAACGUAUAGAGUUAUUUUCAGAAUUUUAUGAAACUUGAAAUGUGAAUUUUGUAAUUUUUUUUUAAAGAAGGAGCUUCAUGGAGCUCGUCCUCCAAAAGGCCUUACUCUAUAUGAGACCAAAGUGCCAAUGAAGUCCUAAAUUUGGAAAUUCAAGCUUUUCAAUUAAAAAAAUCGCAGAAAAAUAUGUAUAUACAUAUUAUAUAGACAUAAUGUAUAUAUGUGUAAAUUUUCAGAUCAAAAUACGUUUAAAUGAGAGAUAUCGAUGACCUUUUAGCACAUGUAUUGUCCAUUCUCAAAGUCCAUGAUUUUGUUUACAGUUUGCAGAUCUAGAUAUUUCAUCCUAAAAUAUUAAGCACGUACACAUUACAUUCUUGUAUACAUUUGUAUUUUUACUGAAGUUCCUGAAACUAAAAAGUUUGGAUUUACUUUUUUUUUAAAUGUCGUACUCUCUCAUAUAACUGUAUAAUAACUAGUUAAACAGCUAUUUGGUUGGCUUCCGUCAAGAUAAAUAGUGGUUUCCACCAAAGCUACUACUCUCCCCGUUCUUAAAUAUAAGGUUUUUUAGAAGUUUCACUACAAGAUCACAUGUAAAAAUAUUUAUACGUAUUUUAAAGUAGAUUCAUUUAUUUUACUUUGUAUAUUUUCCUCUUGUGAAAUAUCUGUAGAAAGACUAAUAUUUAGGAACGGAAAAAGUAGUCCAUAUUAAUAUUUUUGCGAAAGCUACUCGUCCAUAUUUACAUCUUUCCCUCAAAUACAUGCAUGCUAACGGUCACAUGCUAAACACAUUUCCCCCAAAUACAUGCGCUAAUCCUUCUUCUUCCCGCCAAACAGUAGCCCUACCAUAAAAUUUAUAUGAUGGCUUUUGACUUGUCAUSUGGAUAUUCGGACUUCUGCGAAGCUCUAGCAKAUUUUCUUCCAGUUUGCGGAAUUGCACUGAAUAUAGAUAAGAGAUGCGUCCGCGGACAAAAACAAGUCCGCGUUGGAUGGCAAAGUGCGUUCAGACAGCUCAGUCCGGACGUUCCUUGCUAUUUAAGGGUCUGCAUUGGACAUGCCCUCACAUAUCACAAACUAUUUUUUGGACACCGUAUAUAGCAUCAACUAGUAAUGAGUUCUGAUUCUAAAUCAACAUGCAGGUGUGUUCGACAAGUUCAGAGAUGACACAGGCAGUUUCAGUGCAAGCCUAAGCAACGACCCGAGGGCUCUGCUGAGCUUGUACCACGCGGCUCACAUGGCGGUACCAGGCGACGCUGCUCUAGACGACGCCAUCACUUUCGCACGUCUUCACCUCGAGUCCAUGAAAGGAGAGCUCGGGUCACCAAUGGCGCAGCAGAUCGCCCGCGCCCUCGACCGCCCUCUCACGCGGUUCUCUAGACUGCUGGAGACCAUGCAUUACGUUUCGGAGUAUGUGCAGGAGGAGGCGCACGACGACACACUGUUAGAGCUUGCUAGGCUCAACUCUAACCUCAUGAGAUCCCUUCACCUCAGGGAGCUCAAGGCCCUGUCCUUGUAAGUCCAUUACUACAUUUCCAGUUUGGUCAGUUCUCUUCAAGAGAAAGGUGUGACAGCUCCCGGUUGUCUAGGCAUCCUUUAUAAACAGUAAAAUAAAAAAAAUAGUAAAUAAAAUCUAAAAAUACUGAAACUUUGUCAUUAUCAAAGAUGAUCAGACUUUGUAGGUUCCUACUAGUUUUCUAUGUCAAAAUAUCAUGAGAAAGACAUACAAACAAUUUUCAGAUUAAAGUGCUAAAAGGGUUCAAAACUUUAAGCACUUAAAUAUUUUCCAUGUGUAGAGCUCCUUGAAUAGUUUUUUGGCAUGAAAACUUGCAAAUANNNNNNNNNNNNNNNNNNNNNNNNNNNNNNNNNNNNNNNNNNNNNNNNNNNNNNNNNNNNNNNNNNNNNNNNNNNNNNNNNNNNNNNNNNNNNNNNNNNNACGUUCGGGUGCCUCCCCUACGGCCUGGUCUACCGACCGGACCUUGCCGGAGAGAAGGAUGACGCCGGCUGCUCCAUCGCGCUCAACGCCGGCCCCCGGUUCUUCAACGCSCGGCUCAAGGAGACCGUGGCGAGGCUCAGGGUGGCUCUCCCCGAGGCCGCCUUCACCUACGUCGACCUGUACGCCGCCAUGUACAAGCUGAUGAGCGAAGCCAAAAAGUUCGGUUUUGGGGAUCCUCUGCGCGUGUGCUGCGGGUACGGCGGCGGCCAAUACAACUUCGACAAGAACAUCCGGUGUGGCGAUCCGGUCCUGGGGGGGAAGUCGUGCGUGGACCCGUCCAAGAGCGUGAGCUGGGAUGGGGUGCACUUGACCGAAGCGGCUUACAAGUUUAUCUUCGACCAGAUCGUGGACGGCGCUCUCUCCGACCCUCCGGUGCCUUUGCGUCGGGCCUGCCAGGGCAAAGGGCAAUGAACAUGAUGUUCAUUAAUUAGACUGCGGAUGUAGGAUUUUUUCUGACGUCCGUACUCCAAAUAAAAUAUGCAAUGAGUAUCUAUUUAUAACUCUUGUAAAAAAAUCAAUGAAUAAGAAAUGUACCUCCCUAUGUAUGUAUGGUAAAAUCGUGUGUUGAACUUACACAGUAAGUAGAAUGCCAAAAUUUAUAAUUUACUUCAAUAUGAUAUUUGAACUACAUGACAAACAUGUAAGUACACUCGGCGCGAGCUGUACUAGCCCCUAGCCCCAUGCUAGCAUCUGCGUAAUCAGCCCCUCACCGGCGGCGACCACUGACCCCCUGGUGCUGACCACGCCCCGGUCGCGUCAACCACCCCUUUCCCUCUCGCGGACACUCCGGCAGCUAUAGGCACCAUACCGACCCAUUGUGUUUCGGGUUUUCAAUCAUGACACUUUCGGACCUCAACGCUCAGGCUUGGUUUGAUUUUGAAGACAAUUUGCGCACGAGCUUUGGUGUCCCGGUACAUUUUGUGGAGGGUAGAAGAACCUUCAAGAAUUUUUCUUGAUGGCACAGAUUUCUAGACAAGAAACUCGUCUCAAUGUUUACUCAGUUAGGCUGAUCCUGCAAUCUUGCUUCGAAGAAAUGUUAUUCGUUUUGAAGUAUCUUUCCUAGAAAGCUUGUGUUUCUGGUUCUCUAGUUUCUCAACCGUAGGUACAUCCACACUAGAUCUAGUGUGUUUGACAAUAUGUCCUUUAAUAGUGGUAUUACUACCAAAGAUAACAAUACCUACUCUCAUUCUCAAGAUUAAAAAAUGAUUCCUUUUGCACCGCUGGCAAAUUCCAUCAUUUCUCCUGCUUUGAAUCUCGUUCAGUCCAUAAACACAUACUAUCCCAUCUCGAACAGAGACCAUUCGACUGAUCUCAUCCACUUGAAAAUUCAUGUAAAAGUUGGUCAUUCUACUUUCUAAUAGAGUCAUGAGUUCCGCGGCUCUGNNNNNNNNNNNNNNNNNNNNNNNNNNNNNNNNNNNNNNNNNNNNNNNNNNNNNNNNNNNNNNNNNNNNNNNNNNNNNNNNNNNNNNNNNNNNNNNNNNNNGAUGUUGCUUGUCAUAAAUAAUUUACUCCAGAACUACUCUGGUGUUUCUGCCUAUACUGGUCUGGUCUGUGAAGAAGACAUAGUAAUAAUUGUGUAAUUUAGGUUACAAAAAAAUUGUAUGCACAGUGAACAUGAGGACAAUUGGGCCACUUAGCUGUCAAUUGUUAUUUGAAAAUUAACUGCAAGAGGUUGUCUUGGUGCUGCAUAGAGAAAAUGCAUGUUUGAUCCGUUUCUAAUUGGGAAUGGUAUUGCAUGGCAGUCAUGUGCUGAAUUGCAGUGUAUCAUUAUUCAUUAACCUGCAAGUUGGAAGCGUUUUUCUUUUCUUUUCAUUCACUUUGAGAAGUCCAUGUUGAUUACGCAGUAGCAGCAACCUCUUACUGGUUCAUAUGCCAACAAGGUCCAGAUCAAAUUGUUCAAACACAUGAAACUAUCAGUGAACAAUUUAACCAAAAACUACCACUUGGUCUUAGAAAACUACCACAUUUAAUUUUGUGUCUAAACCCACUUCGGUUCUAAAAAAUUCCUUCAAAACCGUUUGGAAUUUUGUGCCUAAAGCCCACUUCUGUUCUAAAAUUUUCCUUAAAAACGGUUCGGGCAAAAUUAAACGUGAUUAUGACAUACUUGGCCCACAUGUCAGGGUUAACUGUUAUGAUAGGUGGGCCCACCUGUCAGCACUCUCUCUCCUCCAUCCACUCACCCAUCAGCCUGGGCAUUCGGGUAUUUUGAUUAUUUCGGUUCGGAUAGUUCGGUUUAUGGGUAAUUCGGGUAUUUGAAAAUGAGAACCAAAAUUGUUUCUGUCAAAAUAAUACCCGAACCCAAAUUACCCAAAAUUUCGGUUCGGGUAAUUCGGGUACCCAAAAUAUUCGGAGCAUACAUCAACUUUUGAUAUGAAUAACUCGGAUAGUAUGGGUAUUUUUGGUAAUAUGGGUAUUUCAGUUAGUAUGGGUAACAAGUUAGUGUAAUAAUAUCAUGAAAAUUUUGGACAGUAUGAAUAAUUUGAAUAGUAUGGGUAUUCGGGUUUUCCACACUAGAACCGAACCUACCCGAAAACCGAAUAGUCAGAAAUGAGAACGAACCUUACCCGAUACCCGGGUAAUUCGGUUCUGUUCGGGUUCGGGUAGCGGUUCGGGUACCCAAACGCCCAGGUGAGUCACCCAUCUCUUUUAGACAUUCUCUCGAGCACCUUGCAGGCACACCCUUGAUGAGAUGCUUGUCUUCGUCGGUGUGCGCCUCGUCGACGAGCCGAUCUAAUUCUACGCCAUCCUUGUCAUANNNNNNNNNNNNNNNNNNNNNNNNNNNNNNNNNNNNNNNNNNNNNNNNNNNNNNNNNNNNNNNNNNNNNNNNNNNNNNNNNNNNNNNNNNNNNNNNNNNNGAGCCUAACUCUCCUCUCGCUGCCUGUUGGGCCUAUUGGGCCCGCGGGCCUUCAUCCUGGCCCACCUGUCGGGUAGGUUUCUAGUCGUAUGCACGCCGUGAUGGCCCAAUAGGCGGCAUUUUUUUUUACUUUAAUAAUUUUUAGUCCUAGUUUAUAUUUUAAUUCUUUGCUAUUCAAUAUUUUUUUCUCUUCUAUUUUAGUUUUCUAUUGAGUUGAUCUUUUUUUGUUUCUUUUUAUUAAUGUUUUACUUGAUUCUUUCCAACAAAUAAGCACUUUGAAAAUUUUAGUAAAUUAUUCUUAACUCAUUCAUUUUAGUUAAUAUUUUAGUUGAUUCUUUUUAGUUGACUUUUUUUUUUGUUUUCUAUUAAGUAUUUUAAACAAAAAAAACUUUAUGAAAUUUCUGACUUCAUUUGAUAGUUUUCGUGAAUUUACUUAUUUGUUUUGAGCUAGUUGACCCUGAAAUUGAAAAGCACUACAAAUGAACUCUAAAAAUGUUGAAAGUUUGCAUGGUAUCAUCAUUUUCGCCCACAUAGCAUGUGCUAGAAAGUUGAGAGGGUUACGGCCAAAACUGGAUGCACUUCGUGUACGAAACGGACAAUCUCGUCUACGAAGUAUCAGGGUUUCGAACNNNNNNNNNNNNNNNNNNNNNNNNNNNNNNNNNNNNNNNNNNNNNNNNNNNNNNNNNNNNNNNNNNNNNNNNNNNNNNNNNNNNNNNNNNNNNNNNNNNNCCCCCGAGGUUGUAGACCGUCUGGAUCGCCGACGAGAUCCUCUCCAUGAGAUCGGGGACGUAGGCCUCGACUUGCUCCGUGGUCAUGUUGUCGAAGUAGCCCACGGUGAGGUCGUUCUGGCCCAUGUCCAAGGUGUAAAGCGCCUUGGAGAUCAACUGCUCCGGGUUGGGCAGGAUCUCCCGGUAGACUCCGCCGAUGUCGUUGUCGUAGACGAAGCGGCUCCUGUUGAUGAACUGCUGGAGCUGCCAGACCUGCACGUCCAGGGAAAUGGGGCUGUACCCUGAGGUCCACAAGCUCCCGUUCACUCGCCUGAUGGUUCCGGCGGCGCUCGCGAAAUUGGCUCCCUGCGUGAAGUUGCUCCCCAGAGAAUCCAGAUACGCACUCAGGUAACGGAGGCCCAGGCUUUGAGCUGCAAGCAAUACGUACACGUCGUAAAAAUUCUCCCGUUUUGAGCUGUUUGCGCGGGAAAAGGGUAAAAAAAAAACUAGCUUCGGUUAACAUGCCGUAGACAAACGUACUCACGUACAUACCCAUGAAGUCGAUGGUGAGGCGGCCGUCGCUUUGCCGGCCGGCCGGCAUGCCGAAGAAGGUCCGGCCGUAGGGCGGCUGCACCGCCGGGAAGAGGGCAGGGAAUGCACCGGUGUCCGAGUAGGAGUCGCCGAAGUUGAAGAUCGCCGGGAAGUCGCACGGAGAUUCAUCGGAGCGCACCCUCUCUAGUACCACCAGCAACACGACGAACGUGAUGAGUUUGCUGGUCGCCAUGGUGGUGCGGCGGCGAGCUCUCGGCCGGUGUCCCUGACGGUGAAGCGGCUGGGAGAGGAUUUAUAAUACACGCCGGCACCAGCAGGUCGUCAGAGUCCAGCACCCGUGUUGGACUGGCGGUUGGAAUAGCUACGUUUUGUUGAUAAGUAUCCUCCCCGUGUGAUGUUGAUGCACCACCCUCUAGAGAAUGACGGGUGAUCACCGUUUGCGUGGCACCUUAGGACAAGCAACUACGAGGCGUGCUUGACCCUUGAUCACUCUCUAGUGCUACAGUAUCUUGACGUUCGGUUCCAUGGUGAUGUGGCCAAUAUGCAUCCAUUUUUACGACAAAUAAUUCUGAACGGAUGAAAUAUCAUGUACAGUAUUUGACGUUAUCAUGAUGAUGAUGUGGCCAAAACCGUUAUUACUUCUGUCAGAGAACUUGCGCAGAACAAGGAAAAACGUGUGUGGGAGGGUCAGAGACACGUAUCUGAACGGUGACGUGGCCCGCCUAGUGUCCGUCAGCAGCAACGCGGUGUUUCGAGUGGAGCAUGUCGUCGGUGGUCUAGCUCGUGAGCGACCCGAUCAAGUAGGAGGAUUUCAAGUUCAAGAUCCGUGUGUUUACUGUUAGAGACUCACUACUCGCCCCGAUCUCUCGUUUGAUUUACUCAUGGAUACAGGUUAAAAUGUUGUUGUGUCACUAGUGGCUGGUGGCCCUUGUUUUAUGGUUGGCCCGCACAGUGGACGGUGGCUAAGAGCAUCCCUAAGAAACUCCGUAUAAUGCUCCGAUCUGUAAAAUAACUAUCGAAAUAUGGAUCGGGRARGAAAUUGCUAUCAGACCAGACCCCGCAAACGCGUCCGAUCUGUAAAUUUUUUUGUCGGGGCGACAAAAAUUCGUCCUCAACCUUCAGAUUCACGGGGUGGGAGGCCGAUCCAAGCUCGUUCCUUAUCCGCAACGAGAUUUGGCACGAGAGAAAUUUCCGCACGGCCGUUCCCCGCUCCCCCUCCUCGACAACCCAUUUCCCCCGCCCACCGCGCGUUCUGGACCUUCUUCCCSSCAUUCUUAGCCGGCGUGGAAGCCUCCCACCCGACGGAUCUCGUAAACGUGGAGGUCGCGCACGUGCAAUCAUGUCCGGCGGAUCUCGUUGCCGGCCAUGUNNNNNNNNNNNNNNNNNNNNNNNNNNNNNNNNNNNNNNNNNNNNNNNNNNNNNNNNNNNNNNNNNNNNNNNNNNNNNNNNNNNNNNNNNNNNNNNNNNNNGAAUUAUCGAGACUAGAGCCCGUCUAUUCAAUUACAUGGACGAACAUCAGUAAUGGCCCCUAGCUACACUAAAUUGUCCUUUGUCAUCUAUAGCUUCCGUCCUCAGAAAGGUCGCAAGCUCCUCUGCAACAGCAAUCGUACGUUGCUCUGGUAGGUACUUCUACCUCAUGGCCGUGUACUAUAUAAGAAGAGGAGAUGAAUAUGAAUAUCAAUCAUGAUAACAAAGAAUGACGGGUAAAAAUAGAGGUGUGAAUGUUCAUUGCUUACGUCGUAUCUGUAAUCCUUGUGCUCAGAGGUAAACAUGUGAAUGGUCUCGCAAACAUAGUAUCCGCAUAGAUGUGUCCCCCGUGGCUGCUGGUCGCACUUUACGAGAAUAGAAUAUAUAUAAUCAAAAUAAUAAUCUAGCAUCAUAAAUGUAUUGAAAAUAGAAGUAUAUCAUACUACUACUUACCUGAGCCGCUCUAAAGGUCAGCUUCUCAUGCUCGAUACCGGGAUUCACGCACUUGAACCGCUUCCAAACCCUGCCCGACAAGGAWAAUGAUUUGCUAAGUUUUUCAUUAAUUGAUAUAUCAGAAAAUCAUCGAAAGAGACCGAUAGAGCGCAAGAAUGAUUGAAAUUACCCUUGGAGCAUGUCCUGCAGGCUUUGGAACUGUUCCAAGGGUCUCGAUAAUGGGUCGAAGGCAUCAACUCUUACCUUAUCAAUUUGAAUGUCCAACAGAAUCCAAUGAAAGCUGCACAUGUAUAUAUAUAUAUAUGUGUGUCAGUAACUUAUCAAUUACACUUAUAAGUGAAUGGACACAACAGAGUAAAGACCCUCACCUGAAGUUGUAUGGAAACAGUAUGUGGUCACAUAAAUUUUGAUCUGUUAGAAACCUUAGAAGGUUUUCCUCCGUCUCCUUGGGUUUAUUAGUUAGCGUCGCUAUAUGUAUUUUAUCUGGGUCAAUAAACCCAAUAUUUAGGACGUUCUUUCUUUUACAAUCCAGAAUCUUCAUUCUGCAUAAUAGAGUACAAGUUAUAUAUAGACAAUGAAUUGAAAUAACUAAACAAGUUAUAUGUAGACAACGAAUUGAAAAACUUACAGACAAUAGCAACUCAUAAGCGAUUUGUCGAGGGCGUCGGCGUCGUACAUCUGGAAGAGUUCAUCAAAGUCGAUAUGGAUUUCUUCGGGGCGGCCGUAGUACUCCCGUGGGACACUCACCACGAUCAUCGUUCUCCCAUUCUUUGAUUCACUUAAGUACCAUGUAUGCAAGUAACUCUGAAAAUAGUUGAAAGUUGACAUGCCAUCAUCAUUUCAACCACAUAGCAUGUGUUAAAAAGUUAGAGAGGGCUACGACAAAAACUGGAUGCACUUCGUGUACAAAACGGACAAUCUCUCUCGAAGUAUCAGCGUCGAUGAUGGUCGCUACUCCUACUUCCCCUAGUGCAUAACCAAUAUCUAGCACAAGGAGAAGAAGGAGAAACGACCCCCCACAGCAACAGUCGACAUUCUUCUUCUCUCAUGUAUGGUGGAUACUCCCUCACCUGAUUUUUAAACCGUCGAUGAUGGUCGCUACUCCUUCUUCCCCUAGUGCAUAACAAAUAUCUAGCACAAAGAGAAGAAGGAGAAGCAACCCCACGCCACGUGGGACUAAUGGUCUUUCAUUUUUAAAUGACUAUUUUAAUCAAAAAUAGAUCUGUUACAAAAGACAUUUCAUUUUUUGAACUUAUUUGAACUGAAGACUUUUUGUAUAUAUAUGUGGUCGAAAUGUGUGAUACCAUGAAGUUAGAAAUGGCUAAACCAUUCAAAAGUAGCAAAUGAAGUUAGAAAGGGCUAAACCAUUCAAAUUUGGAAACUAUAAUGGCACAAACAGAAACUAGACAUAUAUAAAUUGGUCCAAGCAGUACAUGAUACUAGUCCAAACAGUACAUAAUAAUAGCUACCGUAGAUAUAUAUAUUGAAGGUGACGCUGGCCAUAGUUGACGACUCGAAUCAGAAUGUCCACCUUAUUCGAGGUGACGUUGGCCAUAGUUGACGACUCGAAUCUUGCGGUACAACUCGUAUGAAACGUAUGCAUCUUUUGCUGCAUACUCAAUGUUGAUACGAUCAAGUGGGGCCUUCUCCCAAAGUUUGUGCUGAGACUUUGGGAAAUUGGUCUUCAUAUUACCAUAUUCCUCGUCGAUCAAGGCAACUGCCAUAUGAGCCAUCGAAGUCCUGACAUGUCGAAGCCUGAAUACCGUUUGGAGCUCAAUGAGGCAACCAGUUGGUAUCUCAAUACCGAAGCUGUACCUCAUCUUCAGCUUGUCGUUCGUUAUGUCAACGGUAGCAAAAGUGAUGCCGCUGCGAAGGAAGUCCAUGAGUUCUGGACAAUGCUUGUCACUACUGCAACAGAAACAAAUUAAANNNNNNNNNNNNNNNNNNNNNNNNNNNNNNNNNNNNNNNNNNNNNNNNNNNNNNNNNNNNNNNNNNNNNNNNNNNNNNNNNNNNNNNNNNNNNNNNNNNNAACAACUAUGUUGCCAUUACAGUGCUAUCUGCAGAUAUCAAAUACAACUAUGUUGUCAUUACAGUGCUAUCUGCAGAUAUCAAGUAGGAAAAUUUUAAGAUGUUCUUAUUUGACGAUUAACUACUUGAUGAUACAAAAGUAUUAUUUAUUUUGUUUUGGUCAUUUGUAUAUGUUUUCAGCUGCUCAAUGUGUACCAGUACCGCCGCACCUACCAGUAUACGCCUGCAGCCACGGCCUCGCCUGCCGCCCAGCGCCUCGCCGACCCCGCCGCCUCCAGGAGCUCCGGCAGCCGCCGGCGACCUCCAGCAGGUCGGUGCCCCGCUGCCCUUUCCCUCUCCUUCCCUUGCUCUCUCUCCCUCUCCUCCUCCUCACCGCCCCAUCUCUCUUUCUCUUUUCUUCAGGAGCUGCCCCAUGGAGCCAUGGCCGCGCCCCGCGAGCUCCAGCUCGACGGACCUCAAGCUGCCGCCGGAUUCGGCCGGGAAACGGAGGGAACCGUCCAUCCUCGACCUACGGUUGUCUCUGCCUCGCCGGAACGCCGCCGCCUCACGCCUUGCAAGAGCCAGCAACACUACCUCGACGACGCCNNNNNNNNNNNNNNNNNNNNNNNNNNNNNNNNNNNNNNNNNNNNNNNNNNNNNNNNNNNNNNNNNNNNNNNNNNNNNNNNNNNNNNNNNNNNNNNNNNNNGAAUUAUCGAGACUAGAGCCCGUCUAUUCAAUUACAUGACGACAUCAGUAAUGGCCCCUAGCUACACUAAAUUGCCUUUUGUUCAUCUAUAGCUUCCGUCCUCNGAAAAGGUCGCAAGCUCCUCUGCAACAGCAAUCGUACGUUGCUCUGGUAGGACCUUCGUCCUCAUGGCCGUGUACUAUAUAAGAAGAGGAGAUGAAUAUGAAUAGCAAUCAUGAUAACAAAAAAUGACCGGUAAAAAUAGAGGUGUGAAUGUUCAUUGCUUACGUCGAAUCUGUGAUCCUUAUGCUCAGAGGUAAACGUGCGAAUGGUCUCGCAAACAUAGUAUCCGCAUAGAUGCGUUCUCCAUGGCUGCUGGUCGCACUUUACGAGAAUAGAAUAUAUAUAAUCAAAAUAAUAAUCUAGCAUCAUAAAUGUAUUAAAAAUAGAAAUAUAUCAUAUUACUACUUACCUGAGCCGCUCUAAAGGUCAGCUUCUCAUGCUCGAUACCGGGAUUCACGCACUUGAACCGCUUCCAAACCCUGCCCGACNNNNNNNNNNNNNNNNNNNNNNNNNNNNNNNNNNNNNNNNNNNNNNNNNNNNNNNNNNNNNNNNNNNNNNNNNNNNNNNNNNNNNNNNNNNNNNNNNNNNGGUGGUAGAGCAUCUCUAGCAAAACGCGUAUAAAGACCGAACCCGCCAAAAAGUACGUUCACACUUACGCGUAAAAACGGACUUUUACGGUACCUGCACAGACGCAGACAGAGGCAGAUUCCCCAAAACGGUCAUAAAAAAGGAUAUUCGCAGAAGAUGCUAUUAUACGGAUCGUCAAUGCGGGAUCUGCUCGGACGCCGCCGCGUCGACCCGCAAACCGGAAAACCUUCCAAUAAACCAUAGUUCAAAUUUGACAGCGGUUCCGGCAAAUGAGUUCAAAUUUUAACAAUAAAACAUAGUUCGCGCGUGAAAUGAAAGCAUAGUUUAAAAGACAAACGCAAAAGGACCUCAUGCAUCCGGGUCGCUCUUCACUCCGCACCAUCGAGGUCAUCGCCGCCUCUGAAUCCAUCGACUCCCUUGAAUCCAUCGCUUGCAUUUGUCCCUACUCCAGCACCGAAAUCAUCGGCGAUAUUGGUUUCGACUUCAAACGAGAAACCAUCGCCGUCAUANNNNNNNNNNNNNNNNNNNNNNNNNNNNNNNNNNNNNNNNNNNNNNNNNNNNNNNNNNNNNNNNNNNNNNNNNNNNNNNNNNNNNNNNNNNNNNNNNNNNAUUUAUUUGUGUAAUAAUACUAAUAUGGUGCAGGUUCACUAACUAGAGUCAGAAAUUGUUUUUCWAAAACAUUUUUACUACAUGAAUUUCAUAUAUUGAUCUCUAUGUUUCAGCCAAGUGAAAGUUGCUGUAUAUUCAAGUGGCUUUCAUCACUUAUUCAACAUGUUUAUAAUUUAUUUAACUUACUCAUAUUAUUAAUGUUUGUGACGGGGGAUAAUUGAUGUGGAAUUUCACUCGAGAAAGUGAACUCUAAUGGAAUACAAUAGAGAAAUUAAUAAGGGGUCGAACUCUAUUGAACACCCCACAUAUUUUUUUCUGAGACACCAGAAGAUGAAAGAAUUUGGUUCGUUUUGUUAGCAUCGGCUCUGCACACUGUUGACCCACAUGAUUAAGGUCGUAAGUUGAUCUCGGACAUACAAUCUAAUCAUGACACAUGACUCACACAUGUGUGCUAGGGACUAGUAUAUUUAGACUAAAAAACGACAUGUUUUAUCGUGGUUGGUAACAUUGCUUAGGAGUCAUAUAAAUGUUUCCGAAAACCGGUGAAAUAAUAAAACACUUCGCACCAUAGAAAAGAGACGAAUUAGACGGUAGACCGGAUAACCUAUAAUCCUCGUGGGGAGAGCGCGGACGCGGCGNNNNNNNNNNNNNNNNNNNNNNNNNNNNNNNNNNNNNNNNNNNNNNNNNNNNNNNNNNNNNNNNNNNNNNNNNNNNNNNNNNNNNNNNNNNNNNNNNNNNAAAUGAACCCGUAGAAAAAAAAAGAUGAGGACAUAUACCAACUACAUUUUUUUGGAACAGAGGAAAAAGAUUGUCUCGUCUAUUAAUUAAGCAAAAGUGAAUUGCUCAGCUAAUUAAUGAAAAACUAAGCUAAAACUGAAAUAAUCAAUUGAGCGGCACAAAUAGGGUACUCCAUGGACCCAUCUACAAAGAGAUAGCACACAAGAUCGUCAUCAUUUCUCCCCAAGUAGACAUGAUCGCCAUCCGUAAUCACUAAGCAAGCAAGUCUGACUUUGCAGCGAGUGAUCAUCGACCCAACUACCACCGUAGAUCCUUUGCCGAGACACGUGGAGACAUGUGUCAGAACUCAGCCAGCCGCGACGAGGAUAUUGUAGCUUCGACUCAAAGGGAGAUCUACGAAGGAAAAAUAUGCGACUCUAGCUCCGGGAAAGACCACCAAAUAGACCACCCCGCACUAUAGUGAUGACUUCCCCAUAACAAACAAGCGGAGGCAGUCCCACGGAAAUAGUGGAGAAGRGUCUACUACUGAAACCAAUAUCACGCUUCCAUCACCACUCACCCUGCCAUCGUUACCAUAGAAGNNNNNNNNNNNNNNNNNNNNNNNNNNNNNNNNNNNNNNNNNNNNNNNNNNNNNNNNNNNNNNNNNNNNNNNNNNNNNNNNNNNNNNNNNNNNNNNNNNNNGAUUGUCAGUUUUGUACACGAACUGCAUCUAGUUUUUGUCGUAGCCCUCUCAACUUUUUUAACACAUGCUAUGUGGGUGAAAUGAUGAUAGCAUGCCAACUUUCAACAUUUUCAGAGUUCAUUUGUAGUGCUUUUCAAUUUCAGGGUCAACUAGCUACAAAAAAAAUAAGUAAAUGCACGAAGAAUACCAAAUGAAGUCAGAGAUUGUUGAAAUUUUGUGAUGUGCCUUUGAAUGGUGCAUUUUGAACACACAAAAAGUAUGGAGUUCAAAUAAGUUCAAAAAAUGAAAUCCCUUUGUAAGAGAUGAGUUCUGGUUCGAAACCGUGCUACUUUGAGAGAGAUUGUCAGUUUUGUACACGAACUGCAUCCAGUUUUUGUCGUAGCCCUCUCAACUUUUUAACACAUGCUAUGUGGGUGAAAUGAUGAUAGCAUGCCAACUUUCAACAUUUUCAGAGUUCAUUUGUAGUGCUUUUCAAUUUCAGGGUCAACUAGCUCAAAAAAAUAAGUAAAUGCACGAAAUAUACCAAAUAAAGUCAGAAAUUGUUGAANNNNNNNNNNNNNNNNNNNNNNNNNNNNNNNNNNNNNNNNNNNNNNNNNNNNNNNNNNNNNNNNNNNNNNNNNNNNNNNNNNNNNNNNNNNNNNNNNNNNUCUCCCACUUGCACUAGAGUCAAUAAUCUAGCCCUCACAUCAUCAUGUGAAUUACAUUGUAAUAAAUCUAACACCCAUACAGUUUUGGUGUUGAUCAUGCUUUGCCCGUGGAAGAGGUUUAGUCAGGGGUCUGCUACAUUCAGAUCCGUGUGCACUUUGCAUAUAUUUACGUCCUCCCCUUCGACGUAGUCGCGGAUGAGGUUGAAGCGUCGUUUGAUGUGUCUGGACUUCUUGUGAAACCGUGGUUCCUUUGCUAAGGCAAUGGCACCCGUGUUGUCACAGAACAAGGUUAUUGGAUUCAGUGCACUUGGCACCACUCCAAGAUCCGUCAUCAAUUGCUUCAUCCAUACACCCUCCUUAGCCGCCUCCGAGGCAGCCAUGUACUCCGCUUCACAUGUAGAAUCUGCUACGACGCUUUGCUUGGAACUGCACCAGCUUACCGCACCCCCAUUAAGAAUAAAUACGUAUCCGGUUUGCGACUUAGAGUCGUCCGGAUCUGUGUCAAAGCUUGCAUCGACGUAACCUUUUACGGCGAGCUCUUCGUCACCUCCAUACACGAGAAACAUCUCCUUAGUCCUUUUCAGGUACUUCAGGAUAUUCUUGACCGCCGUCCAGUGAUCCACUCCUGGAUUACUCUGGAACCUACCUGCCAUACUUAUGGCCAGGCUAACGUCCGGUCUAGUGCACAACAACGCAUACAUGAUAGAACCUAUGGCUGAAGCAUAGGGGACGGAGCGCAUAUGCUCUCUAUCCUCAUCAGUUGCUCGGCACUGAGUCUUACUCAAUGUCGUACCUUGUAAAACUGACAAGAACCCUUUCUUGGACUGUUCCAUUUUGAACCUCUUCAAAACUUUAUCAAGGUAUGUGCUUUGUGAAAUUCCUAUCAGGCGUUUUGAUCUAUCCCUAUAGAUCUUAAUGCCUAGAAUGUAAGCAGCUUCUCCUAGGUCCUUCAUAGAGAAACUUUUAUUCAAGUAAUCCUUUAUGCUCUCCAAAAUCUCUAUGUUGUUUCCAAUCAGCAAUAUGUCAUCCACAUAUAAUAUUAGAAACGCCACAGAGCUCCCACUCACUUUCUUGUAAAUACAAGAUUCUCCAACCACUUGUAUAAACCCAAAAUCUUUGAUCACCUCAUCAAAGCGUUUGUUCCAACUCCGAGAUGCUUGAACGAGUCCAUAAAUGGAUCGCUGGAGUUGCACACCUUGUUAGCAUUCUUAGGAUCGACAAAACCUUCGGGUUGCAUCAUAUACAAUUCUUCCUUAAGGAAACCGUUAAGGAACGCCGUUUUGACAUCCAUCUGCGAGAUUUCAUAAUCGAAAAAUGCAGCUAUUGCUAACAUGAUUCUGACGGACUUAAGCAUCGCUAUGGGUGAGAAUGUCUCAUCGUAAUCAACUCCUUGAACUUGUGAAAAACCCUUUGCCACAAGUCGAGCUUUAUAAACGGUCACAUUACCGUUAGCGUCCGUCUUCCUCUUAAAGAUCCAUUUGUUCUGAAUAGCCUUGCGGCCCUCAGGCAGUACCUCCAAAGUCCACACUUUGUUCUCAUACAUGGAUCCUAUCUCGGAUUUCAUGGCUUCUAGCCAUUUGUUGGAAUCUGGGCCCACCAUUGCUUCUUCAUAAUUUGCAGGUUCAUUGUUGUCCAACAACAUGAUUGAUAAGACGGGAUUACCGUACCACUCUGGAGCAGCACGUGGUCUCGUCGACCUGCGUGGUUCGACAGAAACUUGAACCGGAGUUUCAUGAUCAUCAUCAUUAACUUCCUCCUCAACCGGCGUCGCAACAACAGAGGUUUCCCCUUGCCCUGCGCCACCAUCCAGAGGGAUGAGAGGUUCGACAACCUCGUCAAGUUCUAUCUUCCUCCCACUCAAUUCUCUCGAGAGAAACUCCUUCUCGAGAAAAGCUCCGUUUUUAGCAACAAACACUUUGCCCUCGGAUUUGAGAUAGAAGGUGUACCCAACUGUCUCUUUUGGGUAACCUAUGAAGACACACUUUUCCGCUUUGGGUUCCAGCUUUUCAGGCUGAAGCUUUUUGACAUAAGCAUCACAUCCCCAAACUUUAAGAAACGACAACUUUGGCCUUUUGCCAUACCACAGUUCGUAUGGUGUCGCCUCAACGGAUUUUGAUGGUGCCCUAUUUAAAGUGAAUGCAGUUGUUUCUAAUGCAUAACCCCAAAACGAUAACGGCAAAUAGGUAAGAGACAUCAUAGAUCGCACCAUCUCUAAUAAAGUACGAUUACGACGUUCGGACACACCAUUACGCUGUGGUGUUUCAGGCGGUGUCAACUGUGAAACAAUUCCACAUUGUCUUAAGUGAGCACCAAACUCGAAACUCAGAUAUUCACCCCCACGAUCAGACCGUAGGAACUUGAUCUUCUUGUUACGAUGAUUUUCAACUUCACUCUGAAAUUGCUUGAACUUUUCAAAUGUUUCAGACUUGUGCUUCAUUAAGUAGACAUAACCAUAUCUACUCAAAUCGUCAGUGAAGGUGAGAAAAUAACGAUAUCCGCCGCGUGCCUCUACGCUCAUCGGACCACACACAUCGGUAUGUAUGAUUUCCAACAAGUCACUUGCACGCUCCAUUGUUCCGGAGAACGGAGUUUUAGUCAUCUUGCCCAUGAGGCAUGGUUCGCACGUGUCAAGUGAAUCAAAGUCAAGUGACUCCAAAAGUCCAUCGGCAUGGAGUUUCUUCAUGCGCUUUACACCAAUAUGACCUAAGCGGCAGUGCCACAAAAAUAUGGCGCUAUCAUUGUUAACUCUAACUCUUUUGGUCUCAAUGUUAUGUAUGUGUGUAUCGCUAUCAAGAUUCAAUAUGAACAAUCCUCUCACAUUGGGUGCAUGACCAUAAAAGAUGUUACUCAUAGAAAUAGAACAACCAUUAUUCUCUGACUUAAAAGAGUUACCGUCUCACAAUAAACAAGAUCCAGAUAUAAUGUUCAUGCUCAACGCAGGCACUAAAUAACAAUGAUUCAAGUUCAUAACUAAUCCCGAUGGUAACUGAAGUGAAACUGUGCCGACGGCGAUUGCAUCAACCUUGGAACCAUUUCCUACGCGCAUCGUCACUUCAUCUUUUGCCAGCCUUCGUCUAUUCCGCAGUUCCUGUUUCGAGUUGCAAAAAUGAGCAACAGAACCGGUAUCGAAUACCCAGGCACUACUACGAGAGCCGGUUAAGUACACAUCAAUAACAUGUAUAUCAAAUAUACCUGAUUUUUCUUUGGCCACCUUCUUAUCUGCCAGAUAUUUGGGGCAAUUGCGCUUCCAGUGACCCAUACCCUUGCAAUAGUAACACUCUGUUUCAGGCUUAGGUCCAGCUUUGGGUUUCUUCGUCGGAUUGGCAACAGGCUUGCCGCUCUUCUUUGAAUUACCCUUCUUGCCUUUGUCAUUUCUCUUGAAACUAGUGGUCUUAUUCACCAUCAACACUUGAUGCUCUUUACGGAGUUCAGACUCUGCGACUUUCAGCAUCGCAAACAACUCGCCGGGAGACUUGUUCAUCCCUUGCAUGUUGUAGUUCAACACAAAGCCUUUAUAGCUCAGCGGCAGUGAUUGAAGGAUUCCGUCAGUGAUAGCCUCUUGCGGGAGUUCAAUCCCCAGCUCAGCUAGACGGGUUGAGUACCCAGACAUUUUGAGCACAUGUUCACUGACAGACGAGUUCUCCUCCAUCUUGCAAGCAUAGAAUUUAUCGGAGGUCUCAUACCUCUCGAUCCGGGCGUUCUUAUGAAAGAUAAACUUCAACUCUUGGAACAUCUCAAAUGCUCCAUGACGCUCAUAGCGACGUUCAAGUCCCGGUUCUAAGCCAUACAAGACUGCACAUUGAACUACUGAGUAGUCCUCCUUACGUGCUAACCAAGCGUUCUUAACAUCCUGAUCAGCCGUAGCGGGUGGUUCAUCUCCUAGCGCAGCAUUAAGGACAUAAUCCUUCGUCCCAGCUUGUAAGAUUAGCUUAAGAUUACGAGCCCAGUCUACAAAGUUGCUUCCAUCAUCUUUCAACUUAGCUUUCUCUAGGAACGUAUUAAAAUUCAGGGUGACUGUUGCGUGAGCCAUGAUCUACAACACAAAUAUAUUCAAAGUGAACUUAUACUAUGUUCAAGAUAAUUAGAGUUUAACUUAAUCAAAUUAUUCGCUAAACUCCCACUCAAAAAGUACAUCUCUCUAGUCAUUUGAGUGGUUCAUGAUCCACUUACACUAGCUCAAGUCCGAUCAUCAUGUGAGUUGAGUAUAGUUUCAGUGGUAAGCAUCCCUAUGCUAAUCAUAUCAUCUAUAUGAUUCAUGAUCGACCUUUCGGUCUCAUGUGUUCCGAGGCCAUGUCUGCACAUGCUAGGCUCGUCAAGCUUAACCCGAGUGUUCCGCGUGCGCAACUGUUUUGCACCCGUUGUAUGUGAACGUUGAGUCUAUCACACCCGAUCAUCACGUGGUGUCCCGAAACGACGAACUGUAGCAACGGUGCACAGUCGGGGAGAACACAGUUUCGUCUUGAAAUUUUAGUGAGAGAUCACCUCAUAAUGCUACCGUCGUUCUAAGAAAAAUAAGGUGCAUAAAAGGAUUAACAUCACAUGAAAUUCAUAAGUGACAUGAUAUGGCCAUCAUCACGUGCUCCUUGAUCUCCAUCACCAAAGCACCGGCACGAUCUUCUUGUCACCGGCGCCACACCAUGAUCUCCAUCAACGUGUCGCCAUCGGGGUAGAACGCUCAUGCUAUUACUACUAAAGCUACAUCCUAUCAAAAUAGUAAACGCAUCUGCAAGCACAAACGUUAGUAUAAAGACAACCCUAUGGCUCCUGUCGGUCGCCGUACCAUCGACGUGCAAGUUGAUAUUAUCUAUUACAACAUGAUCAUCUCAUACAUCCAAUAUAUCACAUCACAUCGUUGGCCAUAUCACAUCACAAGCAUACCCUGCAAAAACAAGUUAGACGUCCUCUAAUUUUGUUGUUGCAUGUUCUACGUGGUGACCAUGGGUAUCUAGUAGGAUCGCAUCUUACUUACGCAAACACCACAACGGAGAUAUAUGAGUUGCUAUUUAACCUGAUCCAAGGACCUCCUCCGUCAAAUCCGUUUCAACUAAAGUUGGAGAAACUGACACUUGCCAGUCAUGUUUGAGCAACAGGGUUACUCGUAGCGAUGAAACCAGUCUCUCGUAAGCGUACGAGUAAUGUCGGUCCAAGCCGCUUCAAUCCAACAAUACCGCGGAAUCAAGAAAAACUAAGGAGGUCCGCAAAAUGCACAUCACCGCCCACAAAAACUUUUGUGUUCUACUCGAGAAGACAUCUACGCAUGAACCUAGCUCUGAUGCCACUGUUGGGGAACGUCGCACGGGAAACAAAAAUUUUCCUACGCGCACGAAGACCUAUCAUGGUGAUGUCCAUCUACGAGAGGGGAUGAGUGAUCUACGUACCCUUGUAGACCGUACAGGAGAAGCGUUAGUGAACGCGGUUGAUGUAGUGGAACGUCCUCACGUCCCUCGAUACGCCCCGCGAACAGUCCCGCGAUCAGUCCCACGAUCUAGUGCCGAACGGACGGCACCUCCGCGUUCAACACACGUACAACUCGACGAUGAUAUCGGCCUUCUUGAUCCAGCAAGAGAGACGGAGAGGUAGAAGAGUUCUCCGGCAGCGUGACGGCGCUCCGGAGGUUGGUGAUGAUCUUGUCUCAGCAGGGCUCCGCCCGAGCUCCGCAGAAAUGCGAUUUAGAGGAAAAACCGUGGAGGUAUGUGGUCGGGCUGCCGUGGAAAAGUCGUCUCAAAUCAGCCCUAAAACCUCCGUAUAUAUAGGUGGGAGAGGGGGGNNNNNNNNNNNNNNNNNNNNNNNNNNNNNNNNNNNNNNNNNNNNNNNNNNNNNNNNNNNNNNNNNNNNNNNNNNNNNNNNNNNNNNNNNNNNNNNNNNNNCAUACAUUAACAAAUUAUUAGAUGGAUGGUAUUUUGAAGGGGAAAAUCCGCUUUACAGAAAAACCUCGAUUAACAAUGCAGGUUUCUCCAUCUAUAAUGGUGGAAAUAUUGUAAAUGCCAUGUUCAACGUUCAUUUCUAUUUUUGAUGACUCUUUGGGUACGUGGAUUCAGAUUUUGCUUCUAUUGAUUUGGAUAAAAGGGGUCCCAUACAAUUAUAUGUUCACUAUUGGUGAUUAUGGUGUGAGCUGAAAGGCAAUGUUGCAGCACUAGUUACCCAAUUCACUAGUGAAGUAGAAUACAUGACCAUUGCGGCCUUAAGGUGGAGGUGAAUGGCACGUCGGUCCUCAAGGGAAACUCGUUCAAGGACAAAUCUAACACUGUGAGCUGGGAUGAUGGUGUGCACAGUUGACCAUGACGGCUUACAGCUGUGGAGAUAGCUGCUCUAGCUACAGUUUGAGAUACUUCAUAAAGUAUGCGACCUAGCUUAACAACGGCUAUUCAAUAUUCGAGGAAUCCCUUUUCCGACCACAUACAUGUUUCCGUGAGUAUUAGUGUAACCAAUUUAUCGAAAAAUAUAUAUACCCAUAUUUAAAUUCAUCUACAGUCAUAUUGUUGACUAGCGCUCUCUGACCAGCCGGUCCGCCACGACACGCCUGCCAGGCACUACUGAAAAACGGGCCUUUGGCCGGGAUCCUUUAGUCCCGGCCUGCCUCUGGGCCGGGACUAAAGGCCCGGCCACGUCGCCUCAAUUCUCAAUGCCUUCCUCGAGGCUUUAGUCCUGGCCCGUAAGCAGGGGCGGAGCCCAAUGGGUCAACCCUGUGGCACAAGCUACACGGUCCAAGAAAUGUUUUAGUGCUAAUUAACAGUCAUUUGGCCCAAGGCAACAGGGUGGCCCAGCAAGUGUGCCACAGGUCCUAUGUUGAAACCAAACCGUGCGAUCGCGUGGUGGCUUCGCUUCCAACAGCCCACUACCCAUGUCACGUUCAUAUACCCGUAUACGCUCGAUCCCUUCACGUAAAACUUUAGUUGUUAGCCCGUGUGUGUAGAAUUAUUCGUACACCUGCACGUAAGAAUGUAACAAACUAUCGAUCCAUCUUUCCAAUCCAUGAUUUUUCUACACUUGAAAAAAGAGAUCUCGAUCCGUCUCCUCAUCUCAUGUAUUAUGCCCCGAGCAGGCGAGGCGAGCAAAUCGGUGCGCAACCUCGGUAAUCGAUCGAAUCAAUCCGUUCGCGAUGGAUGGCGGGCCGGCAAACGCAUACGAUCUAGAAGCAACCGGCAGGCCGCAGACAACGGAUCGACGACUCACGCAGCAGUCCGUAGCGCCGAUGCGACCACGCCUCCCGCACAAGUUGUAGCCACGUCGCACGCCGGUAUUGCUCUUCCCCUCUCUUAGCUAAUUAGUAUUAUGUUUUUGAAUUUUUCAUUCAGAUUACAGUCAUUAAUUGAUUCAAAUUCUGCUCAAUAUCCUUUUCUUUUGUGUUGUUUUUUCUAUAUAUUUUUACAAGUCACAGCAAUUGUAUGUACAAAAUUGUGGCUAGUAAGUUACAUCUUACUGAAAUAUAUUUAAAUCUAUGUGUUUUGGCAAAACAUGGGGCAUCAGCUAUUGUUUUAAGUUGUAAUUAGGUAUACUUCAUUGGCUUCACAAUUUUGAUUUCUCAUUUGUAAUUUUAGUUGUUACAUGCCUAUAAUAUGGACAAGUUUCUUGUCAAAAGAAAGGCACCAUCACAUUCACAAUUAGGUAUCCAUGAUAUCCUUUUCAAGUAACUGUGUCACACUAUAUUAAGCAGUUUGACUAUUGCCUUUUGUUUUUAAAGAAUCAAUUCCUAUUAUAUUUGGUAAUUCAUGUUACAAGUUGUGAAACAAAUCUUUAUUAGUGCAUUGUUGCUCGAAAAUUUAUGUCAAGGUUAAGUAGUGCAUCAGGGUAACAUUAGCUUCAGAUCCGCCCCUGCCCGUAAGGAGCCUUUAGUCCCGGUUCGUGUCCCAAACCGGGACUAAAGGGACACAUGUCCUGCCGUAGUGGUGGCAACCGUUGGUAUCCCUCUUUAGUCCCGGUUGGUGGCUCAACCCGGGACUAAAGGCCUAACACGUGGCCUGCCGUAGUGGUGGCAACCGUUGGUAUCCCUCUUUAGUCCCGGUUGGUGGCUCAACCCGGGACUAAAGUCCCAAACGGUUUGCAUCCCGCUUCACAAAACCACAACCGAAGCAGAGUCUCUGUCGCGCCGCCCUUUCUCUGUUCUCCUUCCUCUCUCGUUUCUUCCCUUCUCUGUUCUUCCCCUCUCUUCUUCCCUUCUCUUCUUCCACCAUGCCAACUCGCUUUGGAGAGGUGCUCGCACAUGGCAAGACCAAGCUCGAUGUCGUGUACACGAACGAGAGCACGGAGGUGCCGCAUUUUCUUAGACAGUUGAAGGAACGAUGGCUUGACGCCGCAGUGGAUCAUGAGAAGUUCUUGGGGCUUCAUCUGGAGUACACGGUCGAUCAACGCGGUGUUGCCGUCAUCCAACUAUGUUUCAAACACCAUGUCUUGAUCUUCCAAUGGGCGAGGUAAGUUUUGAGGCUUCCUUUGAUCCAAGGUAAUGACAUUGUAAGUUUAUUUGUUUCAAUCAUAGUUGGUUCCCUUCAAAUAGUUGUAGUGAAACAAUUUUGAUUAGUUGAAGGGAACACAAUCUGAUUGGAAUAGUGUUCCAUAAUCUGAAAAAUUGUAUUAGAAUCAACUAGUGUUUAAUAUGUUCCAUUGGAAUCAUAGUUGGUUCGCUUCAAAUAGUUGUAGUGAAACAAUUUUGAUUAGUUGAAGGGAACACAAUCUGAUUGGAAUAGUGUUCCACAAUGUGAAAAAUCUGAUUGGUUCAAUAUGUUCCAUUGAAAUCAUAGUUGUAGUGAUACGAUUUUAUGCGGUGUUCUUUGAUCCAAGGUUAUGAAAAUUGCAUAUAGCUAGUGAUCUCUCUAGGUUCCAUUGGAUAGCAAUAUGAUAUGUCAUAGUCAUGAAAAUUGCAUAUAGCUAGUGAUCUCUCUAGGUUCCAUUGGAUAGCUAUAGUGAUCUCUCUAGGUUCCAUUGGAUAGCAAUAUGCAAUAUGUCUAGCUUGUUGAAUAUUUCCAAAACCGUGGGAGAAUAUAUAUAUAUAUAUAUACAUGUCAUAGUUAAUUUACGGUUUCUUGAUCAAUUCGUAGGAUAUGAAAAUUGCAUAGGAUAGCAAUAUGUUCUAUUUGAAUCCUAAAGAUAAUUUUCUCUUUAGUUGUAGUGAAACAUGUUUCCUUAUUGCAGCAGUAUGUAAUAUUUCUUCCAUUUUAAUUUGUUUCUGUUGCAGUAGUGACAAGCAUUGUCCAGAACUCAUGGACUUCCUUCGCAGCGGCAUCACUUUUGCUACCGUUGACAUAACGAACGACAAGCUGAAGAUGAGGUACAGCUUCGGUAUUGAGAUACCAACUGGUUGCCUCAUUGAGCUCCAAACGGUAUUCAGGCUUCGACAUGUCAGGACUUCGAUGGCUCAUAUGGCAGUUGCCUUGAUCGACGAGGAAUAUGGUAAUAUGAAGACCAAUUUCCCAAAGUCUCAGCACAAACUUUGGGAGAAGGCCCCACUUGAUCGUAUCAACAUUGAGUAUGCAGCAAAAGAUGCAUACGUUUCAUACGAGUUGUACCGCAAGAUUCGAGUCGUCAACUAUGGCCAACGUCACCUCGAAUAAGGUGGACAUUCUGAUUCGAGUCGUCAACUAUGGCCAGCGUCACCUUCAAUAUAUAUAUCUACGGUAGCUAUUAUUAUGUACUGUUUGGACUAGUAUCAUGUACUGCUUGGACCAAUUUAUAUAUGUCUAGUUUCUGUUUGUGCCAUUAUAGUUUCCAAAUUUGAAUGGUUUAGCCCUUUCUAACUUCAUUUGCUACUUUUGAAUGGUUUAGCCAUUUCUAACUUCAUGGUAUCACACAUUUCGACCACAUAUAUAUACAAAAAGUCUUCAGUUCAAAUAAGUUCAAAAAAUGAAAUGUCUUUUGUAACAGAUCUAUUUUUGAUUAAAAUAGUCAUUUAAAAAUGAAAGACCAUUAGUCCCACGUGGCGUGGGGUUGCUUCUCCUUCUUCUCUUUGUGCUAGAUAUUUGUUAUGCACUAGGGGAAGAAGGAGUAGCGACCAUCAUCGACGGUUUAAAAAUCAGGUGAGGGAGUAUCCACCAUACAUGAGAGAAGAAGAAUGUCGACUGUUGCUGUGGGGGGUCGUUUCUCCUUCUUCUCCUUGUGCUAGAUAUUGGUUAUGCACUAGGGGAAGUAGGAGUAGCGACCAUCAUCGACGCUGAUACUUCGAGAGAGAUUGUCCGUUUUGUACACGAAGUGCAUCCAGUUUUUGUCGUAGCCCUCUCAACUUUUUAACACAUGCUAUGUGGUUGAAAUGAUGAUGGCAUGUCAACUUUCAACAUUUUCAGAGUUACUUGCAUACAUGGUACUUAAGUGAAUCAAAGAAUGGGAGAACGAUGAUCGUGGUGAGUGUCCCACGGGAGUACUACGGCCGCCCCGAAGAAAUCCAUAUCGACUUUGAUGAACUCUUCCAGAUGUACGACGCCGACGCCCUCGACAAAUCGCUUAUGAGUUGCUAUUGUCUGUAAGUUUUUCAAUUCGUUGUCUACAUAUAACUUGUUUAGUUAUUUCAAUUCAUUGUCUAUAUAUAACUUGUACUCUAUUAUGCAGAAUGAAGAUUCUGGAUUGUAAAAGAAAGAACGUCCUAAAUAUUGGGUUUAUUGACCCAGAUAAAAUACAUAUAGCGACGCUAACUAAUAAACCCAAGGAGACGGAGGAAAACCUUCUAAGGUUUCUAACAAAUCAAAAUUUCUGUGACCACAUAUUAUUUCCAUACAACUUCAGGUGAGGGUCUUUACUCUGUUGUGUCCAUUCACUUAUAAGUGUAAUUGAUAAGUUACUGACACACAUAUAUAUAUAUAUACAUGUGCAGCUUUCAUUGGAUUCUGUUGGACAUUCAAAUUGAUAAGGUAAGAGUUGAUGCCUUCGACCCAUUAUCGAGACCCUUGGAACAGUUCCAAAGCCUGCAGGACAUGCUCCAAGGGUAAUUUCAAUCAUUCUUGCGCUCUAUCGGUCUCUUUCGAUGAUUUUCUGAUAUAUCAAUUAAUGAAAAACUUAGCAAAUCAUUAUCCUUGUCGGGCAGGGUUUGGAAGCGGUUCAAGUGCGUGAAUCCCGGUAUCGAGCAUGAGAAGCUGACCUUUAGAGCGGCUCAGGUAAGUAGUAAUAUGAUAUAUUUCUAUUUUUAAUACAUUUAUGAUGCUAGAUUAUUAUUUUGAUUAUAUAUAUUCUAUUCUCGUAAAGUGCGACCAGCAGCCAUGGAGAACGCAUCUAUGCGGAUACUAUGUUUGCGAGACCAUUCGCACGUUUACCUCUGAGCAUAAGGAUCACAGAUUCGACGUAAGCAAUGAACAUUCACACCUCUAUUUUUACCGGUCAUUUUUUGUUAUCAUGAUUGCUAUUCAUAUUCAUCUCCUCUUCUUAUAUAGUACACGGCCAUGAGGACGAAGGUCCUACCAGAGCAACGUACGAUUGCUGUUGCAGAGGAGCUUGCGACCUUUCUGAGGACGGAAGCUAUAGAUGACAAAGGACAAUUUAGUGUAGCUAGGGGCCAUUACUGAUGUUCGUCCAUGUAAUUGAAUAGACGGGCUCUAGUCUCGAUAAUUCAGAUCUUCAUAUAAUUGUAUAUAUAUGCUCGCUUGUAAGAUAAGUUAAUCUUAUAUAUAUUUGCAUAAUUAAUUUUAUUUAAAUUAUAUGAAAACUAAUUCCCGAACACCAAACGAGGCAUCACGUUAAUCUCCCGAACACCUAAACCCGAAAUCCCUAAAGCCCAAAAAUAAUUUCAUUCAAAAAAACCCAAAAUAAACAAAAUUUGAAACUCUUUAGUACCGAUCCGUGUAACGAACCAGGACUAAAGGGCCUGCCCAUGGGGCGCUACGAGGCGCCCACGUGGAGCACCUUUAGUCCCGGCGUGGAACAGGGCCGGUACUAAAUGUUAGGCCUUUAGUUCCGGUUGGUGAACCGGGACUAAAGCCCCUUACGGGCCGGGACUAUAGGCCCUGUCCCCACUAGUGAGGGUAAAUGACGAUGAGCACGAUGUUCAUUAAUUAAGCUGCGGAUGUAGGAUAUUUUUCUAAAUACAUACUUGAAAUAUUUGUAUAAAAAUCUGCAGUAUUCAUACUCCAAAUAAAAUAUGCACUGAGUAUCCGAACAAUUUUGAUUCUUCAUAUAUAGUACUCGCUCCGUCCCGAAAUUAUUGUCGCAAUGGCAUUUUUUCACAAAACCCCUCCCCAAACUCCCGACACAACCCGCGCUCCUCGUCUUCUCCAAUCGACAAGCGACCGCUACGACAGAGGCACAUCGACGCCGGAGCUCCCUUGUUCAGCUUCGCCGCGCUCCUCCCCUGCUCUCCCGCGCAUCCUUCUCCACCGUCGCAACUGCCUUCUCCGCCGCUCCCUUCUGCCUCGCGCAGCUCCGAUGCCCCCUUGCCUAUCACUUGAAUCUCCCCUUUUGCAACCAAAAAAUGGUUCUUCUUCCCCCCCGUUUGUGUCUCCUGCUCGCGCACGGAGACGACACAUCCUCCUCGUUGACCCUGCCGCCGGAGGAGACGCGGGGCAGGCAACAAUGGCUCGCAUUGCGCUUGCACGACCUCGGGUGCGCGUGGGCCCCCGAAUUGCGGGCAUACGUACCGGUCGCCGCCUCGGUCGUGCGCCCAUCCGCAGAGGAGGAUGCGGGGAUUUCGCUCGCUGCCAAGGCGUCCUUGGUGAGAUUUCUCGCCCGCGGCAAAGGAGGGGUGUCACCAUGGAUUUGAUUGUCAAACAACUACAGACUACAUGUACUCCGAGCAGGGCAGGUUCUGAAACUCCAUCGGAAUUGUGUCAGUCAGGUUGUUGAUGGACAAGUCUAUUCUACUUACCCAGCUUGCCCAACUCGCGUGGGAUGCUUGUUAGAAGUAAACCUGACGUCCGCUUAUGAGUGUCCGAGAAUACACGUAUAUGUUGCCGAGUUGGUUUGCAGUAGGCCUAACUUAGCAAUAUAUAUACAUAUACUCCUGUGUAGUCUUUGUACCAGAAAAACGAAAAACAAUACAGAGUAUUCCAGGCUCGACAUGGGCCUUCAGCAAUACAUCGACUCGGCGUCUUUCGUCUAGAGUUUUACCGAGCCGUUCGAGUUCAAUCGCCGCGUUAAGCUAGCUCCAGUUCACGUGUAUGUACACGGCCAGAAUCCAUUAAGCUGCCUGCUAGCUUGCUGCCUAGCUAGCUUGCACUUGGUGUUUUGGCUUCCCGGAGGAUACAAACUAUCACUCUAAAACCAAUAAUUGAUAUCUAGAGCCUCGACGAUCUACGAUCUACGAUGGCGGACAGCGACGUUGAGUCGGUCAAGUCCGGCAAGGGCGGUACCAAGGCGAACAAGAAGGGCGUCAAGUCAGUAACCAGUGGUGGAGGAACGAGCGGCGCCAACGUCUAGGCGCAUCGCAACAUCCCCAUCCAGUACCCGAUGCUCACCGACGCCAACUACGGCAUGUGGGCGGUGAAGAUGAAAAUUAUUCUCCGAACCCUUCGAGUGUGGCAGGCAAUCACGGACGACGACGUCGAUGACGAGUCCGACGAAGGUGCCAUGGCCGCCAUAGCCCAGUCCGUGCCGGAUUCCGUGCUAAUGACAUUGGCGGAGUUCGAGACGGCAAGAGAGGCGUGGAACGCACUCAAGGAGAUGAGGAUCGGAGAAGAUCACGUCACCAAGGCUCGGGCACAAGUGUUGAAGCGCCAAUUUCACAAGUUGCAGAUGGAGGAAACUGAAUCGGUGAAUGACUAUGCCAUGCGUCUUACUACUUUGGUGGGAGAGAUCCGCGCGCUUGGUGCAAAGCUCGAUGAGACCGAGAUUGUGAAGAAAUUUUUCAGUUCGGUGACUGAUAAAUUCACGUACAUCAUCGGCACGCUCGAGCAGCUUUACGACAUCGACGACAUGACCAUAACGGAGGCAAUCGGACGCUUGCGGACAUGGGAAGAGAAUGUUCGUGGCUGUCGGAAAGGCAAAGGAGGAGGUAGCGACCAACUCAUGUACUCGCGCGCAGAUUGGGAGGCCCCAAGUAGCAAAGGAAGGCGUGAUGGUGGCGAAGGCUCAAGCAACGUGAAGCGCGACGGACAAACCGGAAAAGACAAAGGAAAAGGCAAGCCACAAGGUCGUGGUAAGGCGGACCAAUCUAAAGGGCGGAAGCAACGGAACUUGGAUUUAUCCAAGGUUCAGUGCUAUAACUGCAACGAGAUGGGUCACUUUGCAAAGGAUUGUCCGAAUCCUAACAAGAGGGAGAUCAAGGCAAAUUUGGCAAAGCAGGAAGACGAAGGUCCAGGUCUUCUGAUGGCCGAAGUUUGUGAUCUCGCGGAAACGGUGGUUGUGAAACCAACCCGGAAGGUGCUACUUCAUGAGAAGAAUGUGACACCUAAGUUAUCCGGGGAUCACAAUGUGUCGUGGUAUCUCGACACGGGUGCCAGUAACCACAUGACGGGAUGCAAGGAGAAAUUUCUCGAGCUGGAAUAUGAUGUUCAAGGCUCGGUCAAGUUCGGUGAUGCUUCAACUAUGGAGAUUUGCGGGCAAGGAUCUGUCCUCUUCGAGGGUCUCAUAGGCGAACAUCGCAUACUCACCGGAGUGUACUACAUCCCACGGCUUCGCAACAACAUUAUCUCUAUUGGGAAGCUUGACGAGAAUGGAUGCAAGGUGAAUAUCGAGAACGGAGUGAUGACGAUCUUCGACAACCUCCGAAACGUGCUAGCUCGUGUUAAUCGCACACGGAAUAGGCUCUAUAUCCUCAACCUUGAUCGAUCUCAACCGGAGUGUUGGCUCGCCAAGAGUGAUGAUGAUUCAUGGUUAUGGCAUGCUAGAUUUGAACACGUUAACUUCUACGCCUUGAAGAAGAUGUCAAAGAUGGAGAUGGUAUCCGGGAUGCCAUUUAUCGACCAUGUUGAUCGAGUAUGUGACGGGUGCUUGGUUGGAAAACAACACCGCAGGCCGUUCCCUGCUCAGUCUACCUAUCGUGCAAGUGAUGCACUCGAGCUGCUCCAUGGUGAUCUAUGUGGCCCUAUCACCCCAGCAACUCACGCGGGAAAGAAGUAUUUCUUCCUCGUGGUAGACGACUACUCGAGAUAUAUGUGGGUCGUUCUCCUACGAUCUAAAGAUGAGGCGUUUGAAGCGUUCAAGAAGCUGAAGGCUGCAACGGAGAUGGAACACAAAUUGAAGAUUCACGCUCUAUGGACAGAUCGCGGCGGAGAGUUUACGUCGAACGAAUUCAACGAUUACUGCGAGAAGAUUGGCAUAAAAAGGUUCCUCACGGCACCUUACACGCCGCAGAAGAACGGGGUCGUUGAAAAGCGCAAUCGAACUGUCGUUGACAUGGCAAGGAGUUUACUCAAGAGCAAGAACCUGUCGGGGACUUUUUGGGGAGAAGCUGUCUCGACGACGGUCUAUCUUCUCAACCGGGCUCCAACGAAGGCAGUUCUCGGCAAGACUCCGUAUGAAGCAAUUUACGGACGUAAGCCGAAUGUGUCUCAUCUACGGACGUUCGGGUGAGUGGCACAUGUGAAGACGGCGGAGACGCAUCUCUCAAAGCUUGUCGAUCGUAGCACCAAGAUGGUGUUCAUCGGAUACGAGAGGAGUUCCGACACCAAGGCAUAUCGCUUCUACGAUCCACAAACCAAGCGUCUACGGAUUUCACGCGACGUCGUGUUUGAAGAAAACCAAGCGUGGAAUCGGAGCGCCGCAGCCGACGAUGCUCCAAACAGUAACAUAUUCACGAUUGAAUUUCCAACUGAUGAUGAUGCAGGGGAGGAUGUCCAGGUGGUUGGCAAGACGCCCAACCAAGGUGACCACAAUGGUAGUGAUCAUCAUGGUGCCGACACCGACGACGACGCGCAUAGGUCGCAAGGAGAUAGCGACAACGCCGCGCAUGACACAGGCGGAGAUCUCGACGACAACAUCGACAACGAGGCGCAUAGUGACGACGACAAUCAAGAUGAUGGUCACGGUCACGACGACUACGCCGAUGACGCGGAUGUCGAUGACACGCCCGAGACUCAGCCAUCUUCCUCAAGUGCAUCAACAUCGACACAAUUUGUGUCACCUCCUUCGCAAGCCACAACGGAUUCCUCAGGGCCUCGUCGCUACAAGACCCUCAAGAAAGUCUACAAGUACACAAAGUCAGUUACGCUCGAAUACUCCGGACUAUGUGUUUUCGGAGUUGAGGAGCCGGCGAACUUCGUAGAGGCGAGCAAAAGUCCUAGCUGGACGCACGCCAUGGAUGAGGAGAUGAAGGCAAUUGAGAGCAAUGACAUGUGGACCUUGGUAACCCGUCCUCCAAACCAAAAGGCGAUAGGUUUGAAGUGGGUUUACAAGUUAAAGAAGGACACACAAGGUGCCAUUGUGAAGUACAAGGCAAGACUCGUUGCAAAGGGCUACGUACAACGUCAAGGAGUUGACUAUAAUGAGGUGUUUGCACCGGUUGCUCGACUCGAGACGGUGAGAGUGCUCCUAGCUUUGGCAGCACAAGAGGAUUGGAAGGUUCAUCAUAUGGAUGUUAAAUCCGCUUUCCUCAACGGUGAUCUCACAAAGGAAGUGUACGUGGAACAACCCCUCGGCUACGAGAAGAAAGACGAACAAGUGAAAGUUUACAAGCUCAAGAAGGCACUUUACGGACUGAAGCAAGCGCCAAUUGCUUGGAAUUUAAAGUUAGACCAAAGUAUGGCCAUGCUCGGGUUCAAAAGAUGUGCCCUUGAUGGUUCAAAAGUUAGUCUACUAAGCACCGACGAACAUGUGAAGGUUGAAGACACGACCAACGAGAAUUGUUGCUGUCAAGCUACGAAUGAGUCGACGACAGCAAAGUCGGUGAAUGGUACGCUACAAGGAACGAUGAAGGCAACGCCAAGGAGGAAGCAUGCGAGUAGUCGCAUUUGGGAUCCAGGUCGCAUCGAGGAUGUCAUGUUUAGGGGGUGAAUGUUAGAAGUAAACCUGACGUCCGCUUAUGAGUGUCCGAGAAGUACACAUAUAUGUUGCCGAGUCGGUUUGCAGUAGGCCUAGCUUAGCAAUAUAUAUACGUAUACCCCUGUGUAGUCUUUGUACCAGAAAUCAGAAAAGUAAUACAAAGCAAAAGCAAGGCUCGACACGAGCCUAUUUGCAAUCCAUUGAUUCGGUGCCUUCGUUCUCGCCUUGUUCUCGUCGGAUAGUUCGACCAGUCAAGAGCUCGUAUAGUAUACGUGCACGUCCAGCAGGAAUUGCUCUCAUACGUCCGUCGGCUAGCUAGCCUAAGGAAUCCAUCCACCAGAGAGCUAGCUUGCUUGGUACGUGUGACCUGCAGAACCAGUACGAUACGUGUGUAUACAUCCUUGACGGAAAGUACUCGUACGAGGUGCGUCAUACGGACCAAAGCCAACAAUGCUAUCUUGCAGGCGGUUCUUGAAGAGGUGGAGCAGCCAGGGAGUCUGUAUCUUGCUGAGCCCGCAGCUUGUUCUCUGAGAGGUCGAUCUCCAUGGCACUAUGCAGGCUCCCGGGCUCCUUCGGGAUGGUGUCAUCCAGCUGGUUCCGGUAAAUGCAGAGCUUUACGAGCAUGGGAAGCGCCCUGAGCUCGAAUCACAUUUCUCUUGGCGUCGUGCUCAUUGUCAUACUGAAGCUGAAUCACCUUUCUUCUGGUGUUUUGUUCUUUUUCAUAAUGAACCUGAAACACAUUUCUUGUGUUGAUGUGUUCUUUUUCAUACUGACCCUGAAUCACAUUUCUUUUGUUGAUGUGUUCUUUAUCAUACAGAACCUGAAUCAAAUUUCUCUUGUUCAGUCUUUGCUAAAGACCGAACUAGUAAAUCUUGUCAUUACAAAUGUUUAUUCAGAAAUCUUCAUUUUUUCUCAUGAAAUGCUCAGUUUUUUGCUCUCUAAAUUGUGUCUUUAUUUCCUUUGCUCCUCUCUAGAAUUACUAAAUGUUCAGAAUUGUACUGUAUUGGCAUGUCAUAACAAAGCUCGAUUCUUCCAUAUGCCAGUCUUAUGUGUAACAUUUUACACUGAGUUUUUAGCAAACUUGUGUGGUGUUAAAAUUGAAGAUUGUCAAGGCAAACUUGUGUUGUGUUAAACUUGACUAAAUCAUGCACACAUAAAACUGAAGAGAGUGGAUUUUUAGCUCCCGGAUGCCUAGGCACCCUCUAUGAACAGUAAAAUAAAAAAAAUCAAAAUCAAAAUCAAAAAUUUUUGAAACUUUGCAGCAUCAAUGAUGAUGAAACUUUGUAGGUGUUUGCAAAUUUUUAUGCCAAAAAACUAUUCGUGGAGCUCUACACACGAUGUAUUCGUGGAGCUCUACACACGAUGAAAUUCAUAUGUUGAGGUUGACGAUUUAGUUCAGUAACAGUUGAGUGAAUUUCAGUUACGUAAAAGAUGUCAUUAAGUUUAGUCAUGUUGUAUUCCACCCCAUUUUUACUGUCAAAACUGCAUUGCUGGUACUGCCAAAAAGGUUCAGCCUCAAUGCUGCAUUGCUGAAAACAGUAAAUUUUAACAGUUUGGAGUACAGAUUAACUCAAACCUGAAUUUUUAACUGAAUUUUACUCUUUUCUUCUUCCUGAGGAGCAGCAACACUGUCACGUGCAUGGGCAGUGCUCCACCGCGACAGGGGAGCUGCUACUGGAGCUCCGCUGAUGAUCAAAACGAUCACAGCAAGGGAGCUACGGAUUAAUUUCCCUUUAUAUCAGUUGUAGGUGAGAGGCAGAGUACCAGAGGCCUCGCAGAUCGGGGGAGCCGAUUGGAGGGUGUCGGCGUCGCCCACGAGCAGCAGCGUCGGCAGCAGAGGCGUCGCCCACCACAACCACCCGGCGGCUGAAGUAGACUAGCACGGUGACCAGCCCGACGGCCGUGAGCAGCGGAGUCAGGGGCGAAGCGGACCAGCGGGGCGGCGGUGGGUGGCGGAGGAUCCGUUUGUCGAUGGGCGGCGGAGGCCCUGUUCGCGGGUGGACUCGUCCACGGCACAUGACCUUCUCUUGGAGACGGUUGGUUGCAGAGGCUGGCCGUGGCAACGCGGGCGACGGGAGGAGGAAGGAAGGAAGGAAGGAGACGGGGGCUUUAUUUCUGGAGCUUUGCAAGUAGAAGGACUAGAAUGCAAAAAAAAAUGUACUACGCUCGCGUCAUGAAUUACGGGACGAGUAAUGCUACACAUACGGGCGUUCUACGGAAGAUUUACAGGCUCGUUAAGAAUGAUUGGUUGGAAUUUACUUAAAAAGGACGGUCCCACCGGUGAAAUCAGGGGGAGAGCAGUUAGAUUAGGCCACGUCGUCUUCCCGUAAAAGCCUGUUAGAAGCUGUCCGUAUCUUUAGCAUUAUCGAUUACGAGACGGAGGGAGUACUGUAUAUUGUUACACCACUUACAAAUAGAUUUUCGGUGCCGAUUUUUUCUAACACCUGCACAUUUUAUUUGGAAUACGAUACUCGCUGCAGAUUUUAUUUGAACUAUACGUACGGAUGUGUGAAAAAUGGCUACUUCCGCAGCCUAAUUAAUGAACAGUAUCAUGCUCAUUGCCGUUUGCCCUGGCAAGCCCGCCGAAGAGGCACGGGCGGGUCGGAGAGCGCGCCGUCGACGAUCUGGUCGAAGACGAACCUGUUGGCCGCCUCGGUGAAGUGCACGCCGUCCCAGCUCACGCUCCUCGACGGGUCAUCACACGACUUUCCUGCCAGCACCGACGUCCCGUUCACCUGCACCUUAUCACCACACCGGAUGUUCCGGUCGAAGUUGUACUCGCCGCCGCCGUACCCGCAGCACACGCGCAGGGGGUCCCCAAAACCGAGCUCCUUGGCCUGGCUUAUCAGCCUGUACUUGGCGGCGUACACGUCGACGUAGGUUAACGCUGCCCCUGGGAGCGUGUCCCUGAGCCUCGCCACGGUCUCCUUGAGCCGCGCGUUGAAGAACCGGGCGCCGGCGUUGAGCGCGACGGAGCAGCCGGCGGCGUCCUUGUCGGCGGCGAGGUCCGGGCGGAACACCAGGGCGUACGGCAGGCACCCGAGCGGCGCCGUGUUGUGCACCCAGAAGUGCCUCCCCCCGAGGUUGUAGACCGUCUGGAUCGCCGACGAGAUCCUCUCCAUGAGAUCGGGGACGUAGGCCUCGACUUGCUCCGUGGUCAUGUUGUCGAAGUAGCCCACGGUGAGGUCGUUCUGGCCCAUGUCCAAGGUGUAAAGCGCCUUGGAGAUCAACUGCUCCGGGUUGGGCAGGAUCUCCCGGUAGACUCCGCCGAUGUCGUUGUCGUAGACGAAGCGGCUCCUGUUGAUGAACUGCUGGAGCUGCCAGACCUGCACGUCCAGGGAAAUGGGGCUGUACCCUGAGGUCCACAAGCUCCCGUUCACUCGCCUGAUGGUUCCGGCGGCGCUCGCGAAAUUGGCUCCCUGCGUGAAGUUGCUCCCCAGAGAAUCCAGAUACGCACUCAGGUAACGGAGGCCCAGGCUUUGAGCUGCAAGCAAUACGUACACGUCGUAAAAAUUCUCCCGUUUUGAGCUGUUUGCGCGGGAAAAGGGUAAAAAAAACUGCUUCGGUUAACAUGCCGUAGACAAACGUACUCACGUACAUACCCAUGAAGUCGAUGGUGAGGCGGCCGUCGCUUUGCCGGCCGGCCGGCAUGCCGAAGAAGGUCCGGCCGUAGGGCGGCUGCACCGCCGGGAAGAGGGCAGGGAAUGCACCGGUGUCCGAGUUGGAGUCACCGAGGUUGAAGAUGGCCGGGAAGCCGCACGGGGAAUCAUCAGAGCGCGCUCCCGCAGAGAGCUUUAGCACCACCACCGCCAGCAACAGGACACACACGAGUUUGGUCGCCAUGGAUGGAUGAGCCGAUCGACGCCGUUUAGCUCCUGCCGCUCGUCCGGUGCGAAAAUGAUUUUAUGCCCUGCCGCGAGUGCAGCACCCGUGUUGGACCGACUGCUGCUCCGACGCGGCAGCGAUUUUCUAGCCACCAGAAUACUAAUUACCACAUGCAUUAUUCAUGGACUGGUCAAGGUUUAUUAUUAUUUGUUUAUCUUUUGUGAAGUCAGGAUUCAUACACGCCGGCACCGGCAGGUCCAGCACCCCGUCUUGGACUGGUGCUCCGACGUGAUCCUAAUCAAAGAUGUGCAGAAGAUUCAGCGAGGGAUAGCUGCGUUUUGUUGACAAGUAUCCCCUCCUCUCGUUUGUGCACCACCCGAGUUAUAUCAAGAGAGUGACGGGACUGUCACCCUUUACGUGGCAGGUUUGGACAAGCAACUAAGCGUGCUUGACCCUGAUUACUCUCUUAAAAUAAAUGUCUCAAUUUUAUACUAGAUUUAGUACAAAUUUAUAUUAAAUUUGAGACAGUUAUUUUAAAACAAAGGGAGUAUUUGACGUUUCUGUGGUGAUGUAGCCAAGACCGUUAUUACUUGUCAACCUAAAGCUUCAAGAACACAUGACCCGGGAAUGGGAGUACGGGACCUCCGGCAACGACCACGGUUCCUUACCCCCGAGGGCAUCCCGAUCACCAUUCUGCGCGUGGCGCAACGACUCUGCCACUCCAGUAAACACAUAUAUUUUUUUAAAUAUGACAAUUAAAAAAUAAAUAUCAGCACGUGUUCAAAAUAAAUAAAUAUCAGCAGCGAAUAUCUAUAUGUAAGGUGUGUAACCUGAAUUUUUGAUUGAUUUCAUCAAUAAAGUAGCUACAUACAUCGCAUUGAUGAAACGACGGGAGGGAAUCAUCCCUCCUUUUCUAAAAUAGGAAAAUACUAUUUAAGAAGAAUAGAAAUUGGACGAAUACUUAUUUGGAGUAUGAAUACUGUAGAUUUUUAUACAUACAUUUCAAGUAUGGAUGUCUAAAAAAAUAUUCCAACAUCCGCAUCUUAAUGAAUGAACAUUAAGCUCAUCACCAUUUACCCCGGCAGGCCUGUCAUGGCGGACCGACGGGUCAGAGACCGCUCGUAAACAAUCUGAUUGAAGAUAAAUUUAAAUAUGGUACAUAUAUUUCUUGAUAAAUCGGUUACACUAAAACUCAUGGAAAUACGCAUGGGCUUGGAAAAGGGUUCCCCGAAUAUUGGAUUGCCGUUGUUAAACUAGGUUGUAUACUUUAUAAAAUCGAGGAAGUAUCUUAAACUGUAUGUAAAGCAGCUAUCUCCAUAGCUGUAAACCGUCAUGCUCAAUUGCACGCCAUCAUUCCAGCUCACAUCGUUAGAUUUGUUCUCGAAAGAGUUCUCGAGAUCUAAUGCACCGUUCACCUCCACCUUAACAUCGCAAUGGUCUAUUUAGAGCAGCUAGCUAUCUCCAUAGCUGUAAGCCAUUAUGGUCAACUGCACGCCAUCAUUCCAGCUUACACCGAUAGAUUUGUCCUCGAACGAGUUCUUGAGAACCGACGCACCGUUCACCUCCACCUUAACGUUGCAAUGGUCAUGUAUUCUACUUCACAAGUGAAUUGGGCAACUAGUGCUGUAAUAUUGCCUUCCAACUCACAACACAACCACCGAUAAUGUUGGGGAACGUCGCAUGGGAAACAAAAAAUUUCUACGCGCACGAAGACCUAUCAUGGUGAUGUCCAUCUACGAGAGGGGAUGUGUGAUCUACGUACCCUUGUAGACCGUACAGCAGAAGCGUUAGUGAACGCGGUUGAUGUAGUGGAACGUCCUCACGUCCCUCGAUCCGCCCCGUGAACCGUCCCGCGAUCAGUACCACGAUCUAGUGCCGAACGGACGGCACCUCCGCGUUCAGCACACGUACAGCUCGACGAUGAUCUCGGCCUUCUUGAUCCAGCAAGAGAGACGAAGAGGUAGAAGAGUUCUCCGGCAGCGUGACGGCGCUCCGGAGGUUGGUGAUGACCUUGUCUCAGCAGGGCUCCGCCCCGAGCUCCGCAGAAACGCAAUCUAGAGGAAGAACCGUGGAGGUAUGUGGUCGGGCUGCCGUGGAAAGUCGUCUCAAAUCAGCCCUAAAACCUCCGUAUAUAUAGGUGGGAGAGGGGGGACCUUGCCUUGGGGGUCGGCCGAGCCAAAGGGGGGAAGGACUCCCCCCAAACCAAGUCCUACUUGGUUUGGUGGGUGGAGUCCUUCUUUCCUUUCCCACCUCCUCCUUUUUUUCUCCUUUUCUCUUUGAUUUUUCUUCCAAUGCGCAUAGGGCCCUUUUGGGCUGUCCCACCAGCCCACUAAGGGCUGGUGCGCCACCCUCAAGGCCUAUGGGCUUCCCCGGGGUGGGUCCCCCCCCCCGAUGAACUCCCGGAACCCAUUCGUCAUUCCCGGUACAUUCCCGGUACGGUAAUCCCGUCUUAUCAAUCAUGUUGUUAGACAACAAUGAACCUGCAAGUUAUGAAGAAGCAAUGGUGGGCCCAGAUUCCAACAAAUGGCUAGAAGCCAUGAAAUCCGAGAUAGGAUCCAUGUAUGAGAACAAAGUGUGGACUUUGGAGAUACUACCUGAGGGCCGCAAGGCUAUUCAGAACAAAUGGAUCUUUAAGAAGAAGACGGACGCUGACGGUAAUGUGACCGUUUAUAAAGCUCGACUUGUGGCAAAGGGUUUUUCACAAGUUCCAGGAGUUGACUACGAUGAGACUUUCUCACCCGUAGCGAUGCUUAAGUCCGUCAGAAUCAUGUUAGCAAUGGCUGCAUUUUUCGAUUAUGAAAUCUGGCAGAUGGAUGUCAAAACGGCGUUCCUUAACGGUUUCCUUAAGGAAGAGAUGUAUAUGAUGCAACCCGAAGGUUUUGUCGAUCCUAAAAAUGCUGACAAGGUGUGCAAGCUCCAGCGAUCCAUUUAUGGACUGGUGCAAGCAUCUCGGAGUUGGAACAAACGCUUUGAUGAGGUGAUCAAAGCAUUUGGGUUUAUACAAGUGGUUGGAGAAUCUUGUAUUUACAAGAAAGUGAGUGGGAGCUCUGUGGCGUUUCUAAUAUUAUAUGUGGAUGGCAUAUUACUGAUUGGAAACAACGUAGAGCUUUUGGAAAGCAUAAAAGGUUACUUGAAUAAAAGUUUCUCUAUGAAGGACCUGGGAGAAGCUGCUUACAUUCUAGGCAUUAAGAUCUAUAGGGAUAGAUCAAAACGCCUGAUAGGACUUUCACAAAGCACAUACCUUGAUAAAGUUUUGAAGAGGUUCAAAAUGGAAUAGUCCAAGAAAGGGUUCUUGCCAGUGUUACAAGGUACGAGAUUGAGUAAGACUCAGUGCCCAGCAACUGAUGAAGAUAGAGAGCAUAUGCGCUCCGUCCCCUAUGCUUCAGCCAUAGGCUCUAUCAUGUAUGCGAUGCUGUGCACUAGACCAGAUGUUAGCCUGGCCAUAAGUAUGGCAGGCAGGUUCCAGAGUAAUCCAGGAGUGGAUCACUGGACAGCGGUCAAGAAUAUCCUGAAGUACCUGAAAAGGACUAAGGAGAUGUUUCUCGUGUAUGCAGGUGACGAAGAGCUCGCCGUAAAAGGUUACGUCGAUGCAAGCUUUGACACAGAUCCGGACGACUCUAAGUCGCAAACAGGAUACGUAUUUAUUCUUAAUGGGGGUGCAGUAAGCUGGUGCAGUUCCAAGCAAAGCGUCGUAGCAGAUUCUACAUGUGAAGCGGAGUACAUGGCUGCCUCGGAGGCGGCUAAGGAGGGUGUCUGGAUGAAGCAGUUCAUGACGGAUCUUGGAGUGGUGCCAAGUGCACUGGAUCCAAUAACCUUGUUCUGUGAUAACACUGGUGCCAUUGCCUUAGCAAAGGAACCAAGGUUUCACAAGAAGACCAGACACAUCAAACGAUGCUUCAACCUCAUCCGCUACUACGUCGAGGAGGAGGACGUAAAUAUAUGCAAGGUGCACACGGAUCUGAAUGUAGCAGACCCGCUGACUAAACCUCUUCCACGACCAAAACAUGAUCGACACCAGAACUGUAUGGGUGUUAGAUUUAUUACAAUAUAAUUCACAUGGUGAUGUGAGGGCUAGAUUAUUGACUCUAGUGCAAGUGGGAGACUGUUGGAAUUAUGCCCUAGAGGCAAUAAUAAAUGUAUAGUUAUUAUUAUAAUUCCUGUAUCAAGAUAAUAGUUUAUUAUCCAUGCUAUAAUUGUAUUGAAUGAAGACUCAUUUACAUGUGUGGAUACAUAGACAAAACACCGUCCCUAGCAUGCCUCUAGUUGGCUAGCCAGUUGAUCGAUGAUAGUCAGUGUCUUCUGAUUAUGAACAAGGUGUUGUUGCUUGAUAACUGGAUCACGUCAUUGGGAGAAUCAUGUGAUGGACUAGACCCAAACUAAUAGACGUAGCAUGUUGAUCGUGUCAUUUUGUUGCUACUGUUUUAUGCGUGUCAAGUAUUUAUUCCUAUGACCAUGAGAUCAUAUAACUCACUGACACCGGAGGAAUGCUUUGUGUGUAUCAAACGUCGCAACGUAACUGGGUGACUAUAAAGAUGCUCUACAGGUAUCUCCGAAGGUGUUAGUUGAGUUAGUAUGGAUCAAGACUGGGAUUUGUCACUCCGUGUGACGGAGAGGUAUCUCGGGGCCCACUCGGUAAUACAACAUCACACACAAGCCUUGCAAGCAAUGUAACUUAGUGUAAGUUGCGGGAUCUUGUAUUACGGAACGAGUAAAGAGACUUGCCGGUAAACGAGAUUGAAAUAGGUAUGCGGAUACUGACGAUCGAAUCUCGGGCAAGUAACAUACCGAAGGACAAAGGGAAUGACAUACGGGAUUAUACAAAUCCUUGGCACUGAGGUUCAAACGAUAAGAUCUUCGUAGAAUAUGUGGGAUCCAAUAUGGGCAUCCAGGUCCCGCUAUUGGAUAUUGACCGAGGAGUCUCUCGGGUCAUGUCUACAUAGUUCUCGAACCCGCAGGGUCUGCACACUUAAGGUUCGACGUUGUUUUAUGCGUAUUUGAGUUAUAUGGUUGGUUACCGAAUGUUAUUCGGAGUCCCGGAUGAGAUCACGGACGUCACGAGGGUUUCCGGAAUGGUCCGAAAACGAAGAUUGAUAUAUAGGAUGACCUCAUUUGAUUACCGGAAGGUUUUCGGAGUUACCGGGAAUGUACCGGGAAUGACGAAUGGGUUCCGGGAGUUCACCGGGGGGGGGGGGCGAACCCACCACGGGGAAGCCCAUAGGCUUUGGGGAGACACACCAGCCCUUAGUGGGCUGGUGGGACAGCCCCAAGGGGGCCUAUGCGCCAAGAGAAGGAAAUCAAAGGAAAAGAAAAAAAAGAGGGAAGAAGUGGGAAGGGAGGGGGACUCCUCCCACCAAACCAAGUCCAGCUCGGUUUGGGGNCCAAGGCAAGGUCCCCCUCCCUCCUCCUAUAUAUAUGGGGCUUUUAGGGUAGAUUUGAGACGACUUUCUCACGGCUGCCCGACCACAUACCUCCAUAGUUUUUCCUCUAGAUCGCGUUUCUGCGGAGCUCGGGCGGAGCCCUGCUGAGACGAGAUCAUCACCAACCUCCGGAGCGCCGUCACGCUGCCGGAGAACUCUUCUACCUCUCCGUCUCUCUUGCUGGAUCAAGAAGGCCGAGAUCAUCGUCGAGCUGUACGUGUGCUGAACGCGGAGGUGCCGUCCGUUCGGUACUAGAUCGUGGGACUGAUCGCGGGAUUGUUCGCGGGGCGGAUCGAGGGACGUGAGGACGUUCCACUACAUCAACCGCGUUCUCUAACGCUUCUGCUGUAUGAUCUACAAGGGUACGUAGAUCACUCAUCCCCUCUCGUAGAUGGACAUCACCAUGAUAGGUCUUCGUGCGCGUAGGAAAUUUUUUGUUUCCCAUGCGACGUUCCCCAACACCAUAUAACUCAAAUACGCAUAAAACAACGUCAAACCUUAAGUGUGCAGACCCUGCGGAUUCGAGAACUAUGUAGACAUGACCCGAGAGACUCCUCGGUCAAUAUCCUAUAGCGGGACCUGGAUGCCAAUAUUGGAUCCUACAUAUUCUACGAAGAUCUUAUCGUUUGAACCUCAGUGCGAAGGAUUCAUAUAAUCCCGUAUGUCAUUCCCUUUGUCCUUCGGUAUGUUACUUGCCCGAGAUUCAAUCGUCAGUAUCCGCAUACCUAUUUCAAUCUCGUUUACCGGCAAGUCUCUUUACUCAUUCCGUAAUACAAGAUCCCGCAACUUACAUUAAGUCACAUUGCUUGCAAGGCUUGUGUGUGAUGUUGUAUUACCGAGUGGGUCCCGAGAUACCUCUCCGUCACACGGAGUGACAAAUCCCAGUCUCGAUCCAUACUAACUCAACUAACACCUUCGGAGAUACCUGUAGAGCAUCUUUAUAGUCACCCAGUUACGUUGCGACGUUUGAUACACAUAAAGCAUUCCUCCGGUGUCAGUGAGUUAUAUGAUCUCAUGGUUAUAGGAACAAAUACUUGAUACGCAGAAAACAGUAGCAACAAAAUGACACGAUCAACAUGCUACGUCUAUUAGUUUGGGUUUAGUCCAUCACAUGAUUCUCCUAAUGAUGUGAUCCCGUUAUCAAGUAACAACACUUGCCUAUGGCCAGGAAACCUUGGCCAUCUUUGAUCAACGAGCUAGUCAACUAGAGGCUUACUAGGGACAGUGUUUUGUCUAUGUAUCCACACAAAUAUUAUGUUUCCAAUCAAUACAAUUAUAGCAUGGAUAAUAAACGAUUAUCAUGAACAAAGAAAUAUAAUAAUAACUAAUUAUUAUUGCCUCUAGGGCAUAUUUCCAACAGAUAAUAAACACAUAAUUGUAUGGUGUCUGCUUUUAUCCAAAUCACUAGAAGCAAAAUCUUAAUCCAUGUACCGAACGAGUCAUCAAAGAUAGAAAGGAACGUUGAACAUCGUAUUUGCAAUAUUUCCAGUAUUAUAGAUGUAGAAACCAGCAUUGUUAAUCAAGGUUUUUCUUUAAAGUGUAUUUCUCCCUUCAAAAUACCAUCCAUCUAAUUUGUUAAAGUAUGGAACUCUCGCCCAGAGCCGCGGAACUCAUGACUCUAUUAGAAAGUAGAAUGACCAACUUUUACAUGAAUUUUCAAGUGGAUGAGAUCAGUCGAAUGGUCUCUGUUCGAGAUGGGAUAGUAUGUGUUUAUGGACUGAACGAGAUUCAAAGCAGGAGAAAUGAUGGAAUUUGCCAGCGGUGCAAAAGGAAUCAUUUUUAAUCUUGAGAAUGAGAGUAGGUAUUGUUAUCUUUGGUAGUAAUACCACUAUUAAAGGACAUAUUGUCAAACACACUAGAUCUAGUGUGGAUGUACCUACGGUUGAGAAACUAGAGAACCAGAAACACAAGCUUUCUAGGAAAGAUACUUCAAAACGAAUAACAUUUCUUCGAAGCAAGAUUGCAGGAUCAGCCUAACUGAGUAAACAUUGAGACGAGUUUCUUGUCUAGAAAUCUGUGCCAUCAAGAAAAAUUCUUGAAGGUUCUUCUACCCUCCACAAAAUGUACCGGGACACCAAAGCUCGUGCGCAAAUUGUCUUCAAAAUCAAACCAAGCCUGAGCGUUGAGGUCCGAAAGUGUCAUGAUUGAAAACCCGAAACACAAUGGGUCGGUAUGGUGCCUAUAGCUGCCGGAGUGUCCGCGAGAGGGAAAGGGGUGGUUGACGCGACCGGGGCGUGGUCAGCACCAGGGGGUCAGUGGUCGCCGCCGGUGAGGGGCUGAUUACGCAGAUGCUAGCAUGGGGCUAGGGGCUAGUACAGCUCGCGCCGAGUGUACUUACAUGUUUGUCAUGUAGUUCAAAUAUCAUAUUGAAGUAAAUUAUAAAUUUUGGCAUUCUACUUACUGUGUAAGUUCAACACACGAUUUUACCAUACAUACAUAGGGAGGUACAUUUCUUAUUCAUUGAUUUUUUUACAAGAGUUAUAAAUAGAUACUCAUUGCAUAUUUUAUUUGGAGUACGGACGUCAGAAAAAAAUCCUACAUCCGCAGUCUAAUUAAUGAACAUCAUGUUCAUUGCCCUUUGCCCUGGCAGGCCCGACGCAAAGGCACCGGAGGGUCGGAGAGAGCGCCGUCCACGAUCUGGUCGAAGAUAAACUUGUAAGCCGCUUCGGUCAAGUGCACCCCAUCCCAGCUCACGCUCUUGGACGGGUCCACGCACGACUUCCCCCCCAGGACCGGAUCGCCACACCGGAUGUUCUUGUCGAAGUUGUAUUGGCCGCCGCCGUACCCGCAGCACACGCGCAGAGGAUCCCCAAAACCGAACUUUUUGGCUUCGCUCAUCAGCUUGUACAUGGCGGCGUACAGGUCGACGUAGGUGAAGGCGGCCUCUGGGAGAGCGACCCUAAGCCUCGCCACGACCUCCUUGAGCCGGGCGUUGAAGAACCGGGGGCCGGCGUUGAGCGCGAUGGAGCAGCCGGCGUCAUCCUUCUCUCCGGCAAGGUCCGGUCGGUAGACCAGGCCGUAGGGGAGGCACCCGAACGUCCCCGUGUUGUGCACCCAGAAGUACCUCCCGCCGAGGUUGUACACCGUCUGGAUCGCCGACUCGAGCCUCUCCAUCAGAUCGGGGACGUAGGCUUCCACUUGCUCCGUGGUCAUGUUGUCUAGGUAGCCCAUGGCGAGGUCGUUGGCGCCGAUUUUGAAGGUGUAAAGCGCCUUGGAGACCAGGUGCUCGGGGUUCGGCAGGAUCUCCCGGUAGACUCCGCCUACGUUGUUGUAGAUGUGCGAUAACUAUGUCACAUCUAAAUGUGUCCUAAACACACCCUUGCUAAAAAUACAUCCAGGAGCUGCAUUUAAGUUUGAUUUUCACCUAUGUUGUUGUAGACGAAGCGGCUCCUGUUGAUGAACUGCUGGAAUUGCCAGAGCUGCACGUCCAGGGAAAUGGGGCUGUACCCGGAGGUCCACAGGCUCCCGUUCACCCGUCUGAUGGUUCCGGCGGCGCUCGCGAAAUUGGCUCCCUGCGUGAAGUUGCUCCCUAGUGAAUCCAGGUACGCAUUCAGGUAACGUAGCCCCAGGUUUUGAGCUGCGAUACGUCGUACGUGUUAGGAAAAAUAAAAAAUCUCUAGUUUUGAGUUGUUUGUGCAGGAAAGAAAAAACUCUAAAUCCAUCCUAGUUUUGAGUUGUAGAUAAAUGUCAUGAGUACCCAUGAAGUCGAUGACGAGGCGGCCGUCGCUCUGCCGCCCGGCCGGCAUGCCGAAGAAGGUCUGGCCGUAGGGCGGCUGCACCGCCGGGAAGAGGGCCGGGAAGGCUCCGGUGUCCGAGGAGGAGUCGCCGAAGUUGAAGAUGGCCGGGAAGCCGCACGGGGAAUCUUCGGAGCGCACCAUUUCUAGUACCACCAGCAACACCACGAACGUGAUCAGUUUGUUGGUGGCCAUGGUGGUGCGACGGCGAGCUGAAAUCAUUUCCGACCUCUCGACCGUGUGCCGUGACGGUGAAGCUGCUUGAAGUGGAUUUAUACACGCCGGCACCGAGGUCGUCACAGUCGAGCACCCGUGUUGGACUGGCGGUCUCCGACGUGAUCCUAAAGAGAUGGAAUAGCUACGUUUUGUUGACAACUAGUAUUAAGCGGCUGAUUUCCAUGCACCACCCUCCAUAGACCAACGGGUCAUCACCGUUUGCGUGGCACCUUAGGACAAGCAACAAGGCGUGCUUGACCCUUGAUUACUCUCUAGCACUACAGUAUCUUGACGUUUAGUUCCAUGGUGACGUGGCCAAGAUGCAUUCAUUUCUGCGAGAAAUAAUUAUGGACUGAUGAAAUAUCUUCUGUACAAUAUUUGAGUAGCGACACGUGUCGGAGUGGGAACAAGUGAAGGCGAUGGAUUCGGGGGCGGCGAUCAACUCGAUGCUGCAGACUGAAGAACGAUCAGGAUGCAUGAAGUCCUUUUGCGUUUGUCUUUCAAACUAUGCUCUCGUUUCGCAUGCGGAUUAUGCUUUAUUGUUUAAAUUCGAACUCAUUUGCCGAAAUCGCUGUCAAAUUCCAACUAUGUUCUAUUGCGUGGUUUUUCGGUUUGCGGGUCGCCGCGGUGGCACCCGAGCACACACCACAUUGACAACCCGUAUAAUAGCAUUUUUUUGCGAAUAUGCUUUAUACGGCUCCGUUUUGGGGGGUCCACCUCUGUCCGCACCCGCGCCGCCCGCAAGAUCCAUUUUUCACGAACUGUAAACGAUUUUUGCGGGUCGAAAUUAUACGGGGUCUGCUAGAAAUGCCCUUAUGAUCAUGUUGGAGCACCAGCCCAAAACGGAUGAUGGACUCCGACGACUUGACGGUGCCGGCGUGUAUGAAUCCUGACGGCCAGUGCCAUUCUCAAAAGGACAAAAGAAGAAAAAAGGACCAGUCCAGUAGUAAUGCAUGUGGUACUUCAUGUUCUGGAUGGAUGCUGGACUUGACUUGCCGGCCGGCCUGUAUAAACCACAAAUCAUUUUCCCUGCAGCUUCACCGUCACGGGCACCGGACGAGCGGCGGGAAAUGGCUUGAGCUCAUGGUUGAACUACCAUGGCGACCAAUCUCAUGUCCGUCGUGUUGCUAAUGGUGAUAAAGCUCUCUGCUGGGGCGCGCUCUGACGAAUCCCCGUGCAGCUUCCCGGCAAUCUUCAAUCUCGGUGACUCCAACUCGGACAACGGAGCUUUCCCGACCCUCUUUCCGGCUGUGCAGCCGCCCUACGGCCAGACCUUCUUGGGCAAUGGGCAUGCCGGCCGGGCGGCAAAGCGACGGCUGCCUCACCAUCGACUUCCUGGGUACACAUCUAUCUACAACAUCUCAUAGGGAUCGUAUGCAUCGUGCUGCUGCAGAGGUGAUAACCGAUGAUUUUAUUUCCUAACACACGUAACGUACGUAUUGCAGCUCAAGCAUGUUACCUGAGUGCAAUUUACUCAAUAUAACAUGUUUGUCAUGUAGUUCACCAUAGAUAUAUUUCUUAUUCAUAGAUUUUCUACACGAUAUUAUCUCAUUGCAGAUUUUAUUUGGAUUACGGAUACUAGUGCAGAUUUUAUUUGGAGUACGGAUGUCUGGAAAAAUAAUCCUACAUUCAGAAUCUAAUUAAUGAACAUCAUGCGCAUUGCCCUUUGCCCUGGCAGGCCCCACGCAAAGGCACCGGAGGGUCGGAGAGAGCGCCGUCCACGAUCUGGUCGAAGAUGAAUUUGUAAGCCGCCUCUGUCAAGUGCACCCCAUCCCAG